rnacentral:lncRNA from 1 species
GGAAGCUUAAGUAGUUUUUUAUUCCUUAUAAAAUGAAGAUGCCUUUUUUUAAUUAAUUUUUUUUAGGUAAACUGGUUGUUCCUAAUGCUACAGAGGGGCAGUAACAGAAUAAUGAAUAAUGUGCAGCUCUCCCCUGUAUUGUGUGAGGCUCAUUCAUAGCUUGGUCAGGCGUGCUCUGCAGCAGAAGGCUACUGGCAGGAGCUAAGCUGAUGAGGUGUAUUGAUUCUUCCAGUGUUCACAGCCCUGGAGAGUGCGCACACAACUGCCUGCUCAGCAAGGGAGCCAAGACAAGCAUUUACUGCUUUUCCCAGAGACUUGUCAGCUGUGCAGAGUACCUGGACAGCAAUGUAGUGUAGCAACACUUCCUGUCCCUCUGUAGUCCUCUAGUCUUUUGUAUCUUUAUAUUUCAGGAAACAUCACUAAGGCUCCUGCAGAGGAGCAAAAAAAAAAAAAAAUCCCACACAGUCUCUCUGUCCUGAGAGGGGGGUUGGCUCUGCAAUUUUCUUCACUGCUUAACGCUCCAUAAGGUAACUAGUCUGUUUGUGGUUUUUCUGUGAUAUAUUUGCAUGUAGUGGGCUCAGAUACUCCAGUGGAAUCUAGGGCAGCUAUGCCAGGUACUUGCAAGGAAAAGUCUGCAUUUGUGAUAGAAUUUUAAGGUGGUUUUCAUUUUAAUGCUAUUCAGUGGGUUAGCCUUUGAUUGACUGAACUUGGCAAUGUUUAUGCUGCAUAGAAUUCUUUUACCUUCUGCUUCUCGUAUUGUCCUGAUUUUAACAAUAGUAUGUUUUCAGAACUUGUUUUUUUGUUUGUUUGCUGUUAACACUGUAUCGGUAGGUCCUCGGUAGAUCCUCUUUCUCUUAUAACAAGAUGGAAUUAGUGCUGGGUGGUCUAGUGGAUGGGUUUAGUGAUGCACACUCUUUUUGCUGGGGUAAUGGGAUGGGGUGUAUCCUCGGUUCCUUGAAGGUUUCAAAUGAAUGCAAUGGAUCUUGCUCCUUCCCCACACUACACCAGGUCCAGCAAUAUGAACAUACACUUGGCUGUAAAAGAGCCCCUGUCCCUAUGUUGCAGAAUGUCUGCAGAUCCUUGCUGCAUAGCAUUGUUAUGAGAUGUGAUAGUCCCUUUGUCUAUGAGUGUGAGGGUAGUGGGUCUUUAUCUGCAGGGGCAACCAUCUGACAGCAUUAAGGGGUUAAAUUCAGCAGCAGCAGCAGUAGUAGUAGCAGCAAGAAACAGGAUUUUAGCAGUACAGCUGCCAUAACCCACUCCUAGCUGGAUAAAUAUGAUGUUUGAUUGUUAGAGCUAUUUAAUACAUAAUAUAAUUAUUCUUCCUCUUUUUGUGCUGUUUUUUUUUAACCAUCUAAGAGCCAAUGGAAUAUCUAACAUCGUGUUGUUAUUUUAUAAAUGGUUUUGCCUAAUCACUGGUCCUUUAGGAGUUAAUAAAAUGCUAAAUGAAUUAAGCGGUUAUUGACUAUGAAUGAGAUUUUCCACUUUCUAAUCAAUACAAUUUCCAUUUUACUUGAUAUUCAAACCUUGGUACAAUUACAAUAUUACCGGUGGAUUCUAAGCUCUUUAUAGCUGGGUUUAUCUUUUGCCUUAUGCAAUUGCAUGCAUACAUUGUUGUGUAUUUUCUUUUUCUUUUUUGUCGCUGAUUUUGUAUUUAAAUAAUUGAUUGUGGUUAUGAUAAUUGUAAUGUGUUCAACGGAACUGGCAAAAUGUCCGCAAUAUGAAUUCUGAUUUUGUACAAGCUCAUGUAAAAUUUUCUGCUUUUUUAAUAUUUGCUUUAUUUUCUGCAGUGAUUUUGGUUGUUAGAAAUCUCUGAAGCAAUGAUGAUAUAAUACAUUUGUCUGCAUUACGUUGUGCUAGCAACAGCUAUAUAGAGCACAGCUUGCGGAGCUUAUUUGGGGUAGUUGCGAAAAAUUAAGGAAAAAUUGCACCCGUUAAGAAAAUAACUUUUGAUUUGAUAUUUUUCCAUGCCUCCUGGCUACAGCCCUCUGUAGAUCAUAAUAAGCUUUGUGACAUCCCUGAUGGUGGGGUGUUGCUAUCUGCACAGCCACCUGUGCUCCAUUGGUACUAUGUUAGUGUCUCCAGUGGAUGAGGAAAUCAUAGAACUAUAAUACUGCACUGGGAACAGUGACAAUAUUCUUGGCAAGAAGCACUGUGCUACAUAGUUGCAAGUGUUCCACAUUUAUCAUUUUAGCCUGGUUGGAUGAGAAUACAUGGGGUAAUAUUUCAAUUGCAGGUGAAGGUCUGCAUGUGCCUGACUCUGAAUCAGCCUCUCAUUAAUAUAUAUUGAGAAGUUGCAUUGCACCAACAGCUCCUGGAGGAAGGAAUUCAUCACCAUGAGUGGGGGAGCUUUUCCAACCCUCACUUAUGGCUAUCCAUCUUCUAGUUCUGACUGACUGAUUUAUACAUAUACGUUAAUAAUUUGAAAAAUACCUGGUGGCUACUGGACGUCACUGCCAUGAUAUACAUGAAGUGAAUUAACUUAAUUUAGGAGGGUAGUUGGAUAAUCAAUGCAUGUAGUCGGCAUAUUUAAUGUAUGAUCAUGUGCUAAAAAUAUUUCAAUAUAUAAUUCUGUACUACAGGAAUCAAAGAGAAAAUGAAUAAAUCUUCCUCGGCAAUACUUGGAAAACUAGUUAUGCAGCUAUUUUCUUCAAGUAUGAGUGGGUUACAUCUGAGCUGGGUAAUGAAGGUUUACCUUGUUUCAGUGCAUAAAACACUUAUCUGUGCAUAGCUAUUAAAAUAGCACAGUUGGUUAAAGUGGCUCCAUCACCCACUGCCACCACACAAUGAUAAAAUCUUUAUAAAAUAUUCACAUUGACUGUUUUGGGAUUUCACUCCAUUUCCAAGGCAGUCAUAAGAGAUAUUAAGACAAAGUAGGGACUAUUUCCAAGACCGAGUCAAGCCUUGUCAAAACAUUUCAAGCCUUCAGCUGUCACUAGUGAUUGCUGAGUGGAACAGGCACUGGAUAUUUAGGAUCUCGCAGGAUCCGCCAUAGACUAAAUUGUUGUACCAUCGCGCAUGCGCGAUGUUACACCGCUGACAUUGGCUUCUGGCGUGUUUUAGGAGCUGAAGAGGACUUGAGUAUGGUGGGACCUGCAAGGUACUGGUUCAAGUAAGUACAAGUCACCCUUCUCUGCACCCCAGGACCACUGGCGAUGUCACCAAUUGACCCCAGAUGAUGACAGAGCAGCUGUAACGCACCAUGUGUAAUACUUGCUCAAAUCUCAGUCUGGCACCAGGUCUGUAACAAGUGAGACACAAAACAAUGUGUUUUGUGUUUUCUUUUUUUUCCUCUCUUCAUUGUAGCAUAGUUUUGGUACUACUAAUUGCAAGCUCACAUGUGCCCUGCUGGCACAGCCCGUAAAAAAGAAAAUUCUCCAGUGGACAAUGAACUGCUCAUUGAACACCAUGACAUACAUAGAGUUGCAUUCUAGGUGGUUAUAUCCUGAUGGUUGUCAUCUUGCACUUCAGCUUGGCAUACAUGCCUGACACUUUUUGCUGGAAUGCCUACUGGACGUCACGGUAAUAUCACAAAUGCACCCCUGCAGUAUGUUAAUGCAUUAUUGAAAUGCUACCUCCAAUCCCUGUGUGCUUUUUGUAUUGAAACGGUAGACCUUUCAACAUGUUAAAUGGUCAGAGAGAUACUUUAAUUUUAAGGGUGUGACUGGGGUGUGUGGCCAUGGGCUGGGCUGUUCUGAAAAAUGUUAGGUGACUUACUAAUAACAAUUUACGCAACCAAAAUGUAAUUUAGAACAAGAACGAUGUAUCUUAUUUAUACAAACUGAUUUCUAAAAACAUUUAGUGUAGUUUAAUGACACAUCACUGUGAGUAUUAUUGCUGUGGUACCAUAUGAGCUCCUAAAAAAGAGGGACGGAGGAAUAUGGCCCCAAAAUAGGCACUGUCCCUCCUACAUAGGGACACUUGGAAGGUACUGCACUGACAGUGACUAAUGUUAGGGGUGCUGUGGCUUUCUGUGGAGGUAGUUUUUUGUUGUUGUUAUUUUUACAUAAGUGUGUAGACAUGGAGUAGAGCAUAAAUAUCACGGCAUGAGGAAUUUAGUACAAAAUAGUUGAGAAAAACCUGCUACUAUAUUAUUACUUUUUAUUUAUUAUUACUAAAAUACUGGUAGUGAUAACAUAGAAAAGAAUAUACUGAAGAGUGUAAUGCUGCAUUCUUAUGUCUUAUAAUACGCACAAUAAACAGUAUGAUCACGCCUGAAAUCCUGAGAAAAUCAUGUUUAUACUUUCCUAGGUCUUCCGAUAGGAGAGCCAAAUUAACAACUGAUAGACACAAACAGAAGCGUGAUAAAUAACUAAAUGCUUUUUAACAUUCUUUUUUCUACUGCAUGUUCCUUAUGGAUUUCGGAAUGAGCGGCAUGUAAAAUAUCUAAAACCAUUUCAGCUGGGGGUAUUCUACAACAAAUUGCAGUUGACGACCACUGUAAUUAGGGUCGGCUCUGAAUGAUGUGUUGGGCAGACAGAACAGUUAUUAUUCUGAUGCUGCCAUUUGAUAAAUAAGUUAAAGUCUUUAGUAGAUGAUGAUGAUAUAUAAACUUAAGGUUGCUUUUUCGUAUCUCUAAGAUAUGCAGGGUUAUUCACUACAAUGAGAAUUCAAAGUGAAUAUCACAUUUAAGGCCAAAGCAGCAACAUUGGAAGUGUAGAUGUCAGAGAAUUUUUCCACUUCAAUAAUUUUUACCUUGAAUUUGAAAUUCACUUUAAAUUCUCACUACGGUGAAUAACCCUGAUAAUUAUAUUCCUUUUUUCCUUUUUAAAUUUAGUCACACCAGUAAAACGAACUUCAUGGACUUCAGGGUAAGGCUUAGUGUAUUCAGACCCCUUCAUCUUUUCACUUUUUAAAAUAAAAAAUAUUAUAAAUGUUUCAGAUUUACUCAAGUCGAUGGGUAGUUUCUGCCAUUCAUUUCUGCAGAUCCUCUCAAGCUCCGCCAAGUUGGAUGAGGAUCUUUGGUGAAUAGCUAUUUUCAGGUUUCUUAAGAGAUGUUUGGUUGGAUUAACAUCCAGGCUCUGACUGGGCCAGUCAACAACAUUUGCAGAGUGAUCCCUAAGCAACUACUAAUAUUUAACAAACAAAUCUAAACGUUGCUGUGUUGUGGAAAUGGUGCUCUAAAUGGUGUUCUAUUAAAAAUGUUUGCCUUUUUACUGUAUAUAUAAAUUGCAGCAUCCGCCAUGCUAAGCAACUCUUGUGUUGUGUUGGCUGUUGUUAGGAUCAUUGUCCUUUUGGAAGAUAAACUUUCGGGCCAGACUAAAGUUCUGAGAGCCCUGGAUCAGGUUUAAUUAAUGAUAUCUUUUAUUUAUUUUUUUGCUGUGUUUAGCUUUCACUCAACACUAACCAAUCUUAGUUCCUGCUGCUGAAACACCCCCCUAAAGUAUUAUGCUACCAUCACCAUGCUUCAAUGCUGAGAUGAUAUUGUGCCUGUUUUCUUCUAGACAUGACUCUUUGAAGUAAGGCCAAACAGUUCAAUCUUCAUUUCAUAAGACCAGAGAAUCUUGUUUCUCAGUUGGAGAGUGCUUUUGGUGAUUGUUUGUAAAUUCCAAGCAGGCUUUAAUGUGUCUUGCAGUGAGGAGAGGCUACCGUCUUGCGAGUCUGCCAUAAGGGCCUGAUUAGUGAAGUCUUGCAGUGAUGGUUGUACUUCCGUAGGUUUCUCCCAUCUCACACAAUGUCUGGAUUUCUUGGUCACCUCUCUUACCUCAACCUUGCUCUCCAUGUGGCUCAGUUUGACUGGGAGACAAGCUCUAGGAGAAGUACUGGUUGUUCCAUAAGUUUUCCAUUUAAGAAUUAUGGAGACCACUUUGCUCUUGGCAACAUUAAAUGCAGCUGAAACUUCUUUUGUAGCCUUUCCCAGAUCUUUGCCUCAAUAUAAUCCUGUCUCACCACUGCAGGCACUUCCUUUGACCUCAAGGUUUACUUUUUGCUCAGAUAUGCAUUUACAGAUAUGAGACCUUAUAUAUAAACAGGUGUGUGUCUUUUCAGAUCAUGUCCAAUCAAUUCAAUUUACCACUCCAAUCAAAGAGUAGGGUCAUCCCAAAAAUGAUGCAGGAAAAUGACAUGCGUCUGAGCUUAAUUUUAGGUGUCAUAGAAAAGAGUCUGAAUACUUUGUGAUAAAAAUUUGAUAUUUUACAGUUUUUUAUUUUAAAAAAUCUGAUUUUUUUCCCCCAUUUUAUUUAUUAUGGGAUAUUUAGUGAACAUUUAUGUGAAAUCUGCCAUCCUAUCUAUCUAUCUAUCCGUUAUGUUAAUAAGCAGAUUGUGUUUUAGAAUCGGCAAGGUAAUUUUUAUAUAUAUAUAUAUAUAUAUAUAUAUAUAUAUAUACCCCCACUGAAAAAAAUGCAUAAUUAAAUGCAUGCAUUUUUUUCUUGGUGUAUAUUUACUAAACUACAUAAGCAGCGGAGUGUCUCUUUCAGAUCUUACAGUAACUAAUCAGAGCAUAAACAUAUUAUGUAAAGUAAAAGAUACAUAAUAGUGAUUAAUUAUGGGAAAAUAAUACUAAUCAGGUUCUGGAGACAUUUUUAAAAAUGGCAUUAUUUUCCUAUAAUACACAGUUCACUGAUAAUAUAUAAAUAUAUUGAACAAAACAGCAAGACAUCUUUGUGGUUAAAAGCACAAGUGGAUUACACCAUCUGUGCUUUAGGGCAGUCUAAUUUGGUAUACAGGUGGUCCUCGUUUUGCGACCUACCUGUUUUACAACAGCUUGCACUUAUGACCAGCUCUCUCGUGGGAUGGUAAGUGUGAGCCAUCGUGGGAAUUAGAGGAAUUCCCUGCUCUGCUGCGUUCGUCUAUGUUCGGGGAAAUUUCCCCGAACAUAGACAAGCGCACCAGAGCAGGGAAUCUCUUAACUCCUCACUUACCGACCAAUUCGUUCUACGACCUGGUCGUACGAACAGAGCCUGUUCAGUAAGUGAAGAGUACCCUGUAUAUUUUUAGAAGUUUUGUUUUACUGUUCUGGGCAUGUUUGAUUUAAGUUGCCUAUAGAAUACAAUUAUAUAUUUAUAAAUUUUAUACUGUGCAGCAGUGCGAUAUGCAAUUUCAGCAUCUUUUCAGAAAAUAAUUAGUGAAAUAUGCUAUACUUAGCUUGGUACUUUCAAGAUCCAUCCCUCUAGGCUGCUGCCAUAUCAGGUUUUCUGUGUAAUAUUUGAUGUAUUGUUUAGAAGUACACAAACUUAAUUAUAUAUUCAAGAAAUGGUGAAGCUGUAGCAGGUAAACGGCCCUUGAGGACGGCUUGCUAGCCCUGUUGUUAGUCUAUUUUUGAGUGAUAACCAACAGUGUAUUUCUGCGUGAAUUAUUUUAUGACCUAUCGAGGCUCUUGUUUAUGAUGUCCUAUAUUUCAUCAUGGUUUCUUGAUAAGAGCAAAUUUUUAAUGUUGCAAAUGUGAUGUUUCCACAGUGUUGAUCCAAGUAUGAUUUGCCAUUUUGGAAUAAAUGAUUUUCUUCUUCUUUGCAGCACAAUUAGACAUGGCUUGUUAUGAAGUUUUUAUUUUCUUUGACUUCUUUUGGAUUAACCACACAAGCAGAUGUGUGAAUAGUUGAACUUAUUGGACUUGAGUAUUUAUUUUCCUUCAGUCUAUAUUACUGUGUUACUAUGUUGCUAGAGCUUGCACAAGUUAAUAAAUAGGAGGAAAAAGAUAUGAAAAACAUUUAAGAAAUAUAAACAAAAAAUAAAUAGAUAAAUGUAAUAAUAAAUAUAAAAAUAAAAUGUAAUAAAAUAAAGUUGGAAAGUAAAAAAAUACCAAGGUGCUGCUCUCUGCAGAAAUUAUAUUCCGAUGAAAGAAUGAACGCAUUCACUGGAUUCCAAAAUAUACAACUGUGUUUAUAAGUUACAAAAAAAACAAACAUUUUGACCUCUCUUGAUAAAGGACGAGAGGUCUAAACGUUACAUAGUUACAUAGCUGAAAAGAGACUUGCCUCCAUCAAGUUCAGCCUUCCUCACAUUUGUAUUUUGCUGUUGAUCUUUUUUUGCAAGAUAGAAAAACGGUUGGAUAUAUUGGAAUCCAGUGAGUGCGUUCAUUCUUUCAUUGGUAUAUAUUAUUAUUAUUAUUAUUAUUACCAUUUAUAUAGCGCCAACAGAUUCCGUAGCACUUUACAAUAUUAUAUAUAAACACACACACACACAACCAUCCAUAAAAAGAGACAAAUUUUUAGUCAUUUAAUAUAUCCUAUUUACAAAAUGAAAAAGUUAUGACAAUAUUAACAGAAUUUAUUUACAUAAUUUAAUCAGAUGGGUAUCAUAUUGUUAAAUAAUAUCUAAGGAGAAGAAUAGGACAGACUUAUCCAAAUAGUCCUAAACUGCCGUUUAAAAUAUAAUUUAAGUUUUGAUCCAACCUUAAAAAAAAAGAAAAAUGUCAAUCACAAUCUUGUUUCUAUUUUUUUUUUUUUAAGGUUGGAUCAAAACUUAAAUUUAAAUUAUAUUUUAAACGGCAGUGCUAGGGUUAAGUAUUCCCUACACCUCCCACAUCCAAAUUGCCGCAUUUCUCAUUGGCUCAUUAUUUACCGAACAGACCAAUGAGAUCCGACCUCCUCUCUUAUUUAAACCGGACUUUAACAUGAGCUCAGUUCCCCUCUGAAGAGCUUGAGUGGCGAAACGCGCGUCUCCCAUUUAGUUUCCCUCCGUUGUGAGGGAAACCCACUCUAUUAGGACUAUUUGGAUAAGUCUGUCCUAUCCUUCUCCUUUUUAUCUCUCUAUUUUUUGCAUUUUUGGUGAAGCCGUUCACUAGGGGUUAUCCCCCACAUAGGAGAAAUUUACUUAUAUCCCUCCCUUUUUCUCUCUUUUUUUAAAUAAUAUCUACUUCGGACACUUUUUUUUCCCAUUCAUUCAAUUAUUUUCUUAAUAUAUUAUUAUUUUCUUAAUUAUAGGGAAUCAAGAUGUUAUCUGUUUUACCACAGCAGGUAAAACCACCCUAAUCUAAUUAGAACUAAUAUCACUAAACUUAAAUAUCACCAUUACUUAAAAAUGGAGAUAAUGUGGGAUUAAUUUGUAAAACAAGUGUGGACCAAGUGUAUCAAAAACCUGGAAAUAAGUAUAUUGUUUCUGUUGAUUGCUCCUCAUUUAGAAUUUUGCCUAAAAUAUCCUUUUAUACCUAACCUCUCCAGGUAUAUUAUAAAGCAGGGGUGCCCAAAAUGUAGAUCCGCAUAUGUUGUAGAACUACAACUCACAUGAUGCUUUGCAUUCCUAUAGAAUGCCUUUAGAAUGACAAAGCAUCAUGGAAACUGUAUUCUUAAACCGUCUGGGGAUCAACCUUUUGGGCACCCCAUGCUUUAUAAUAUUUACAGAGUCACUUUAAAACAUAUCUUUGAGCUGACUCCAGGGCACUUGAGUUUGUGCGUCUUAUUAGCGGGUGUACUUGGCGAUUUACUUGAGACAAGCAGAAAUUGCUCACCGUUUUUGACACAAACAUAUAGAUGAUAAUUUCCAGCUGUCCUGAUUUCAUAUUCCCUAUAGUGAUGCCGGCCAGCUGGCCAUAUUAAUGUUCAAAUAUUUUUAUAUUUUUUUGCCAUCUGCUUAAAAUGAAAUGACAUUUUGUGGGAAAAAGGGCAAUGCGCAUGUACAGAUGUACACGCUGGUGCCAGGUAACUAGUUCAAAGUCUCAACUUUUUGACCUAACAUAGUAACAAUUUACAAAGCUCACUUUAUACUUGGCUUUUAAUGCUUGUCAAAAGGGACACAAGUUUGUUGCUUCACUGUGGUGUCCUUAAAAUUGUGCCUACAUUUAACGGGAAGAGCAAAUCACAUUGGCACAGGUAAGUCCGUGAAAGUUACGCGUAUACAGAAGGGUUGACAGGGCCAGAUUCCUCAGCUCACAUAGUAGGACGCUGCCUGUAGGUGUCUGUCUGCAAGUGGCACCUACAUGGAAUACAAAUAUGUAUUUUUAUUUUAUAGUUUUUCAUUUGAUGUGUUGUAAUUGCAUUAUUUUGUAUUUGCAGAGAGAGGGACUUUCUGAUUCUUGUAAUACUUUUCUUGCGUACCUUAAUAAUCAUGGAAGCACAACAGAGAACAUGAUUUUGAGGAGUUUCCAACACUGUUCUAGUCACAGCUUUGCUAUACCAGAUUGAGUUUUGUAUUUUUUUUUUUGUCCAGUAAAUGGUUCACUGUUUAGUGAAUAAACCCAUUUGAGUAUUCAUAUUUAAAGACACUAUAUGAACCCAUACUACUUCAUCUCAUUGAAGUGGUCUGGGUGCAGUGUCCCUGUAUCUCUUAGUCCUGCAAUGUAAAUCAUUGCAGUUUUUGAGAAACUGCAAUAAUUACCUUGCAGGACUAAGACUGCCUCCAGUGGAUGACAAUCCGCUUCUGGGAUCCUAAGGGACUCUUAGUCCCUUAAAUAGCGCUGGAUAUCCUCACGCUCUGCAUGAGGACAACUAGCAUCAGUGAAAUCCCCAUGGGAAAACAUUGAUUCAAUGCUUGCGGCACUCGAUGCACAUGCAAACUAUGUUCCGUGGUCUGAUGAUGUCAGAGUUGGUGGAGCGCCAAGGUACGUCAACACUGGAAUAAGAUUUAUUUUUAUUUUUUUUCAACUUUUUAGCUGUCAGAUGUGAGGGGCUACCGGGGAGGGGGGGAGCGGGCACUCUAGUAUUAGGAAUACAUAUAUAUACAUUUGCUUAUAGGGAACUGGCACCUUGCUAGUUCUUGGGCAGAGGGUCUGCAGCUUCCCACCAACAAAUUAGGCACACAAUUUUAUGCCUUAACACCUUACAUAUACUGUAUUUACUUGAAUCUAAUGCGCAGCUUUAUUGGCAAACUAAAGUCUCCAAAAUUUGAAUGUGUUACGAUUUCAGUACUAACAAAAAGAAAAGCACAGUGCAAUAAAUAUGCACAUUAGUAUACUACCCUCUCUUGCUUACUUAGUUGUUCCUCGCUUUACGACCUACUUGGACAACGACCGCUCAGACAAACAAUGAACAUACAAUGUGAAUUCUCCCUGGGCGAAAUUCGCAUCGCUGCAACAUGGAUGCAAAACUUGGUUUCUGUGUACAGUAUCUUCAUGUACAAAUAUGCAUUACAUACGUUAGCAAAAACAUUUUUCGACUUCCAUGUUUCAGGAUUUGAUGGUUCAUUAGAUUCAAGUAAAUACGGUAUAUUUACGCAAAACCUAAAAAAUUCAGUAACUCAUCUUUAACAAUAAUCCAUUAAUUCAGGUUCAGCUAGACUAGUCUGCUGUUUUAAUUACGCAUUGCAUCCCCCUUUAAUUGUAGUUGCGUCCACUAGCUGGUUAAGUUUCUUUAUUUUUCCUAAACUGUCUUUUUUAUUUUUUAAUUAACAGAUAAUUCUUAUCACACGUGGGUUGGUAAAUUAAACUGGAAAAACGCCUUCAUGCCUUUAGUCAGGUUCGUUUAAUGUAGUAUGGCCCAUUUUUGCUAUCCAGGAGAUUUUUAUCAACGUGUUGGAAUGUAGCCUUAGAUAUUUGUUUUGUGUACAGAGCUGAGAUAAUAAAACAGAUGGGUGCACAGACUGUUUCCACACUUGAAUUUAUAUCAAUGUGACAUGCACCAUGCAUUAAUAAUCAGGAUCAUAUACUUCAAUUAGUCUUGCCUUUGCGAUGGCUAAAGGAUUGCGACAGCCACAAAAAUAAAUUAAAGCUGUUCAUGAUAUCAUGAAUAACCACAAAAUAGAAACAUUUGGAUAAACAUUUUUAUUUAUUUAUUUUUACAGAAAAACUGGAGAUUGCCAUUGAAAUACUUCUAUUCCUGAAAUUCAUGUUUUGUCACUAAUCCAAUUCUGAAAUAUGAAAACGUACUACUCAAUCUCAGUUUUACUCAUCCUUUUGUUAUAAAAAAUAUGUGGAGCUCAUAUAUAUUAGCUGUGAGUAAAUAUCAUGUUUAAUAGUGUAAAUUGUGCUCUAAAUUGAAUUGCUGGUUUCUGUAUUGAUGGCAUAGAUUGCAAGAUCACAAAUGUCAUUUCCGUGAGAGCUGUGCAUAUCUUCCCCGUGGUGGGAUGCUUUAAAGGGGAACUUCACUUCCCAGCAUUAAUAAUAUGAUGUUUAUUUCUCUCCUAUAUAUUUAAUAUAUGUAAUUGUGAGGUGUGAAAAAUAAAUUAUAAAAUUCACAAAUUUAUACUUUUCCCUUUAUGCACAUUAGCUCUCUGUCCAGCCAUUAUAGAGAACACGCAGAGACCAAAUGAAACAAGGGAGAUUGACCAAAGUGUAGACUGGUUUGUGCUUUUUUGGCUCUGUUUAGUAAUUUUUGGUUAUUUUGAUAUUUUUUGAUAUUUUUUUUUUUUUUACAUUUAUUUUUUAUUCAUUUAUUUUACACUCUAGCGGCUAGCCUGAUCAUUUUUAAUUUUGUGCUACUUUUUUGGAGACUCAAUAUAUUUUUCAAUCUUCACAUCGGGUUUUUCUAUAAUAAAAGUAGUCUGUUUUACCUUAAUUUGUUUUAUUUAUUUUUUUUAUGCCACUUUUGGUGCUUGCUUUGAAAAUAAGCAUCUCUGCAUUUAGGGCUAAAUAAUUGUAAAACAAAAUUAUUGGACUAGAUAUGUACAAAUGAUUUCAAUGUAGACAGUCUCAUUUAAAAGUAUCACAUUGAACAGUAUUUGUAGAUUACAUGCUACAUACAAUAAUUGAUCUGUAUUUAAUACUUAUAGGUACUAUAUCCCUAUGUAUACUAUGUACAUUUUAUGUUACUUAUUCCCUAUGUUGAAUACAUAUUUUCUUUUGUAAUGUUACAAAUAAAUAAAACUAAAUGUAGAAAUCCACACCUUUUUAACCUACAAUUGGGUGACUUAUCAAUGACUUUAUUCUUCUCUAGCAAUGGCCUAAGUCCAAGAAUGCAGCUUUAUUGGAAAGUACUACAGUGACUUUCUGAGUAAGGGGAGGGAGGCCGUUUAUACAACCACCUGAAUCAGGAGGGCUGAGUUAGACCUUUCCUAUCAAACUCUUCUCUUGUCAACAGAGUGAUAUCUGCAACUCAUGAUGUGGGAAAUUGGAAGCCUCAUCACAGCAGACUUAGCUGUCCUUACAGAGGGCAUGAAAACGAUUAAAACUAUUAUUUGCUUGAAUUCAAGCAACUGAGGAGAUUUUGGAUCUUUAAAUCAAACAUGUCCAAAAGGUACCUCAAAGUUUACAUUUUCACAAUAACACCAAAACGUUUUAAAUAGUGAUAAUUUAGACAACGGCAGAGAUGCAUUGUAAAGAUGAUGGGGAUUACUGUUCAUAUGUGAUUUUACUGGGUAACUACGACAUAUCUUGAUGACUUUUUUAAUGCCUAAAAUGGACUAUAAAUAUGACACAAAUAACAAUUAUGUUAUUUGAAUUUACUUUUUUUUUUCUCUACUUUACGGUAGUAACAUGAUUUUUUUUGGGAAUUGUUAAAUAUAUAAACACAUUUUGUCCUCUGUGUGUUUUUUCAUACAAGUAGCUCCUCAGCUGCCAGCCUCUCGUUUCUUUUUCAGGUUUAAACCAAUUUUUAUUUUGGAAGCCGGCUUAGUUCCGAGUGAAGCAGUUAUUCUCUUAGAAUCGUUACUUAAGUACUAUCAGAGUCUGUAUGUUGCAAAUCUGUAGCAAUGAAAGACUCUGCUCUGUACAGUAUUCCAAAAUUUUGUUUAUGCAACUGAAUCCUAGCCAGAGAUCAAUUGACAUAGGCUACUUUUAUUUUUUUAUUAUAACCGCAAGCUUUACAUGAAUAUCAAACAAUAUAUCACGUUUUGCUACUUUUUUCAGAGAUGUCUCCAAUGAUUGUUAUAAUGUAGCUAAAGCAUAUUUAAAGGACCACUAUAGUGCCAGGAAAACAUACUCGUUUUCCUGGCACUAUAGUGCCCUGAGGGUGCCCCCACCCUCAGGGACCCCCUCCCGCCCGGCUCUGGAAAGGGGAAAGGGUUAAAAACUUACCUUUUUCCAGCGCUGGGCGGGGAGCUCUCUGCUUCCUCUCCUCCUCUUCUCCUCCUCCUCCUGGACUGAAUGCGCACGCGCGGCAAGAGCUGCGCGCGCAUUCAGCCCGUCGCAUAGGAAAGCAUUUACAAUGCUUUCCUAUGGACGCUUGCGUGCUCUCACUGUGAAAAUCACAGUGAGAAGCACGCAAGCGCCUCUAGUGGUUGUCAAUGAGACAGCCACUAGAGGAUUAGGGGGAAGGCUUAACCCAUUCAUAAACAUAGCAGUUUCUCUGAAACUGCUAUGUUUAUAAAAAAAUGGGUUAACCCUAGAAGGACCUGGCACCCAGACCACUUCAUUAAGCUGAAGUGGUCUGGGUGCCUAGAGUGGUCCUUUAACCACUGCCAUGUUUCAGAAAGUUAAUGCUCAAUAGUUGUGGCGGGGCAAAAUGCUAAAAAGGUUAACUUACAGUCUGAAAGGGUUAAUUGGUUCAAAGUUUAGCUUCCAAUAACAUGUAUUUCCAAAUGGAAAGGAACCCUGUUAGGAUCAUGUUAGAAUUAUUGUCAUCACCUUUUUCUCUUCUUGGCACUAAAGUAGAUUCCUGGUGUGCAGGAGGCAUUAUUUUAUUAUAACUUACCCUCCCAUAGAGGACCUACCACAUAGGUGACAGAUUAAAUUGCACUACAGAAUAUUUAAUAGUGUGUAAUACAGAGAGCAGACACUGUAAAGGGAUUGGAUUAUUGACAGGUGAUAUGCCAUUAACAAUUUUGAAGUGUAAAAUCUAGUCUGAGACUACUUCUUUUUUUUUUUUUAUCUCGUCUUUUAUUGAGGUCAAAUACACCAGUACACCUGUUAUAACUCCUACUUGUAUUGUGAAUUUUUAAUACUGCGAAAUACAUAAUACAAAUAAGUAGGAGUUAUAACAGGUGUGCAGAAGAACCGCAGUGCUCAGGUCACAUACGAGUAGGCAUAUAGUAAUAGACAAAUCAAAGGAAACUCUUGGGGAGGUCAAGCUCAUUUUUAAAAUAUUAAUAAAAUAACAUGUUUUAUCAAAACUGUAGUGUACAAAAAGUAGUGGUCAGAGACUAAACUGUGAAACUGUGGUGUUGAGGUACCCAAACAGGCAUGAAAGAACUAUAAAUGAAUGCCACUAGGCAAACUGGACUGCUGGCAUAAUCUAGGCAAAAAAGAUCUAGACAUGGUGUGUACUAAUAAUAAAAGAUGCAAAGUUUCAUGCUAGGGUAAGUCAUUAAAGAUAUAACCUCUGUAGGGAGAUACAGCUAGAUAACACUACAGAGACAAAAUAUUAAAAAUAAAAUUAAAAAAUAAACAAUAUUAAAAAGCAUGGUGCAUUACGUAUAAAAUAAGAAGGGUGUCAUCCGCAACUGUUGAGUGGGGACAUUGCUCAGGCCGUAAACUCUCAUGUUGGACAAGCCUACUCCCAUUAGGGGCAAAGCCGCUUCACAGCCAGGCAAGGUCAUACACCUGAACCGGAAACCCUUCUGGCCCAAGGCCUGCAUGAGGGCCAACAUCAUUACACAGAACAGGAAACUGCUAGAGUCCAAGUUUAUCCCCUUCUGGAGGGGGACAGAGGAUUGAGAUGGUAGUCUCGGCUUGUUGUGGGUAAUCUUCUUCCCUUGUGGAUGACGCAAGGCGGUGAAGCAUCGUAUUGGCUCUAGGUCCACGUAGGUGUACAGUAGGUUGCCGAGGUGUUUUCUGAAGCAUUUCACCCCGAGGAGGUCCUUCCAUCUCUGGCUGCACGUGUCUCCAGUCUCCAACCUUUAGCUGGGACUUAUCUUCUGCGUUACUGUAUCGCUGACCAGAAUCUCUAAAAUAUCUAAUUGAGCCGCAACAGGGAGCAGGCUGUAGAGCCAUCGUGAGCCUACUGAGUUCACGUGAUGAACCCCACCGCUCCAAACAGGGGGAGUGUCUGGUUAGAUUGCUGCAUGUGGUUAGAUUGCCACUACACAAUGUGGGAGGUCGGCCGCCCCUCCUGACCAAUGCAGGCGCCAGGCCUCACCCAAUUUUCUGGCUUGUGCGGUGAGGGACACUUGGCCGAGCACUCCACUCAGCUCCACUGCUCACCGAAACAAGAUUUGCACCCGAGUUCUGCUGCAGUAUUCUCAUCAGGCAGGUAAAUUAGAAGUCACUAUGAUGGUCAGGCCCCGCCUGUCUGGUGUGAGACUUUUCAACACCACUUUUACCAUAUGGACUUUAUACACUAUGUUAAAUAUCUAGCUUUGGAACUCGCCAUCAUGCUCAAAAGGAGUUAGCAACAAAUUAAUCAUACUGUCAAAAACGUUUAAUCAAGGACAAGUGUUACCCUAACUUGAUGACAUGUAGAAGCAAGGUAUUGAUCACUUUUAUAUAUAUAUAUAUAUAUAUAUAUAUAUAUACAUACCCAAUACUUGAAAUGCUUGUUUAGCGGUACCUUCAAUAAACACACCCUGCAAAGUCCAUAUGAAAAAUGAUAGGUUUUUAACACAUUUUUAGCAUCAUUAGUGCAUUUGUUUAUGACUUUCUGCCUGUAAGUUAAUUGAAAGCCCUAUAAAGGACUUAGUUUAUUUCUUCUUAACCUCGCAAUAUGUGUCUAUCAAGCUUGACAUAGCAAGAUUAAAGAUAAACCUGUGGUUUAGGGCCGAAUGAUAAUGAUGAUUUUUUUUUUUCUGACUUAAAUGUUACUAGAAAAAAAUGUGAAACUUUGAUUGUCAUCACUCUCAUAUCUGAUGCACAAUGAUGCACAAUAAUGGACAAAAGUCAGAAAACUUAAUUCAUCAGUUACCACCAUUGGAUUGUAAUUUAAUAUGAACAGCACAGUAGAAGCCAGUUUUUGACUGCCAGCAGUGCCCCGUGUUUUGUGUCAAAUUGCUCUAACAAAUUGACAGAAAACAGGAGAAAGUGUGGGAAAGUGGGUCACCUCUAAAAAUUCCUUGUACAAUAACCACAACAAUAAGUAUGUAUUUUUUUUGCAUUCAGUUAAAAGCAGAGGAUACAUUUUGGUUUGACAAUAUUUCAACUGAGUGUACCACCUUGCUGAAACUAUUUUCUUUUACAAUGUAUCUACUAUGUUUAUUUUUAAGUUUAUAGUUUUUUUUUUAAUAUUUCAAGAUAUGUGGCAUAAUCUUUCUACCUUAAUUUGUAGCGGUAUGCUGUGCUUAGAGGUAUGUCAGGUUUACAAUGGUUUGGCUUAUUGUAAUUUAUAUUACUUACUUUGCCUUCACACCUCUAUACCAUCCUAUUGACUUCCUCUUCUUCUUCCUUUUUUUUUUUUACUUCUAAUUUGGUUCAUCAUUAUCGCAACUUUCCAGUGAAUUAAAUCCUUCUGUCUAAAAAUAAAUGAGCUGUGGUUUAAUGCAUGUGUUAAUGACAAAAAACAGACUGUAUUUACAAUGAGUUGGUUUUAUAUAGCUUGGUUGCUUCACCUAAGUGUUGCUUCUAAGUGUGUAGUUGGAAAUAUUCUGGAGAAUUUUACAGAAGCUUCAACUGUCUAAGAGUUGUGCUAAGAGCUUUCUUUUCUACUGUUACAGGUAAGAUUCAUCUGUAGGAAAAGGUUACUGAUUGCACAAGGUUUGAAUUCCUGUUGGUAAUUAUAAGGCAUUUGAUUUAAUUAGUCAGUUACUUGCUAUUGAUUGCUGUUUAAAUUAGCUAUUGUUUGCAAAUAAGCAGAGGCCUACCCAGGUGUUAAACAUUCAUAGUGGGUGGUGAUUUUCGGAGUUAUAUAAGGGUUGUUGUCAUUAGCUUGGCUAAUAUAGCUUGGUUGCUUCAUCUAAGUGUUGCUUCUAAGUGUGUAGUUGGAGAUAUUCUGGAGAGUGUUGCUUCUAAGUGUGUAGUUGGAGAUAUUCUGGAGAGUGUUGCUUCUAAGUGUGUAGUUGGAGAUAUUCUGGAGAUAACCUGGAGGUAAUCUGAGGUAUUCAGGAGGAUAAAUACAAAGUUAAGAUUUGUUUGAUUUAAAUUAUUCUCCUCAUUGGAAUGGCAGACUAAGUUCAGUGUAAUAGUUGCUAUGAGUUUGUUUCACGUUCCACUUUUUGGAGAUUUGGUUGUUGUCUAAUCUGUAGACAGUUCUCUAUCUUGCAGCAGGAGAUUGUAUUUUUGAAGUCUGAGAUUUGUAAAUUAUCUGGUGAACAAGCUCAGACUGGAACUGCUGCAAAGCCACUGCCGCAGAGACAUACUAGGAAUGGCAGAUGGAUUACUGUAGGAUCUGGUAGACUUAGAGUUGUGGAUAAAAGGCAUUUUGCACAGUCUGUUGCUCUACAUAAUUCAUUUUCUGCACUUUCAGAGUGUAAUGGUGUUAUGGAGAGAGGCACUGAGGCUAGUGGUGUUGUGGAGAGAGGCACUGAGGCUAGUGGUUUUGUGGAGAGAGGCACUGAGGCUAGUGGUGUUGUGGAGACCGGCUUGGAGACUAUGGUGAGGCCUAAUAGAAAGCAGUUGUUGUUGGGGGAUUCCAUUAUAAGAGGUGUGGAGAUGGACAGUGGUGGUCUUGUGAGGUGUCUUCCUGGAGCUAUUGCUCACAGAGACAGGAGACGUAUCUGUAAUAUUAUUAAGCAUAACACUCAGAACGUCAGGCGGAUGCGUAUUAGGGACUUUAAUUUGUGGCUUGGUGAAUGGUGUCGGGAGCAAGGAUUUGGCUUUAUUUCUCAUGGUACCUCUGUUUGGAAUGGAAAUAAGCUGUACAAAAAAGAUGGUUUUCAUCUUUCUCAAAAGGGAACAAAUGUUCUCAGUGAGCGGUUCAGGUUUCAGGUUUUUCUAGGAUGUAUUUAAACUAGGAGGGGGGGGGGGGCAAAAGGGUGAUGAAACAUCAAUCCAAUUGUCCCCCAAAACAAGGACAGAAGGUGCCUGUAGCAAGUGUGUUAAAAAAUGAUAAGCUUAGAGGCAUGUCUACAAAUGCUCGCAGUUUUAGUGAAAAAGAUCCAUGAACUUGUGGCAAUAAUGGCAACUGAUAGUGUAGAUUAGUCGCUGUUACUGAGACAUGGUAUAAUGAGAAAAAUGACUGGGACAUAGCAAUACCAGGGUACUCUUUAUAUAGAAAAGAUAGGAAGGCAAGAAAGGGGGAGGGGUGGCCCUGUAUGUGAAGGAUAGCAUAAAAUCUAGCCUAAUAAAAGUUAGUGAGACAAACAUAGAGUCCGUUUGGGUUACGUUAGAAUUUGGUAAUCACACAGUAACUUGUGUAGGUGUGAUUUAUAGGCCCCCAGGACAAAUUGAAGAGUUAGAUAAUCUACUAGUUGAGGAAAUAGCUAAAAUGACAAUGAAGGGGGAAGUUAUCAUCAUGGGUGACUUUAAUCUUCCUGAUGUAAAUUGGAAAACAAAAUUAGCUACUUGUGCCAGGAGCACACAUAUUCUUAACUCACUACUGGGAUUGUCUCUAAAACAAGUUGUUGAAGAGCCAACUCGUAAAGAGGCCAUACUAGAUUUAGUGUUAACAAAUGGAGAUUUGGUAUCAGAUAUUACUGUAGGUGAAAGUUUAGGAUCCAGUGAUCAUCAGUCAGUGUGGUUUAAUAUAAGAACAGUGACUGAGUCACACCACAUAAAAACAGAGUCAUUAUCAGACUGGAUCAAUUUAAAUGGAGUCCAAGAGAAAUGGGAUUAUUUAAAAGUUGCACUAUUGAAGGCAACAGAAAAUUGCAUUAGGCUUGUCAGUAAAAGCAAAAAAUUCAAGAAACCACUGUGGUACUCCGCAGAUGUGGCCAAAAUAGUUAAAAACAAAAAGUUAGCAUUUAGGAAUUAUAAAAAAACCCAGAGUGAGGAAGACAAAAUGAUCUAUAAGAUUAGGCAGAAAGAGGCUAAGCAAGUUAUAAGAGCUUCCAAAUCACACACGGAAGAGAAAAUAGCACAGUCAGUAAAAAAGGGGGAUAAAACAUUUUUUAGAUACAUAAAUGAGAAAAGAAAAGUAAAACAAGGAUUAGUUAGAUUAAAAACAAAAGAAGGAAGGUAUGUAGAAGAGGAUAAAGGUCUAGCUGACUGCCUCAAUCAAUAUUUUUGUUCUGUAUUUACAGAUGAAAAUGAAGGAAAAGGACCUCAGUUGAGAAAAAGGAUAAAUUAGUCAUUUAUUACAUGUGAGUUUACAGAGGAAGAGGUUCUAUUUCAACUGUCAAAAGUAAAGACAAAUAAGUCAAUGGGACCUGAUGGAAUACACCCAAAGCUAUUAAAAGAGCUUAGUGGUGUACUAGCAAAACCAUUAACAGAUUUAUUUAACCAAUCAUUGUUAACAGGAGUAGUCCCAGAAGAUUGGAAGUUAGCGAAUGUUGUGCCCAUUUACAAGAAAGGUAAUAGGGAGGAGUCGGGCAACUAUAGGCCAGUAAGCCUUACUUCAGUAGUGGGGAAAGUGAUGGAAACCAUGUUAAAGGAUAGGAUUGUUAAACAUCUAAAAACACAUGGAUUUCAAGAUCAGAGACAACAUGGAUUUACUUCAGGGAGAUCAUGCCAAACUAAUCUUAUUGAUUUUUUUGAUUGGGUAACUAAAAUUAUAGAUCAGGGUGGUGCAGUAGACAUUGCUUACCUAGAUUUCAGUAAGGCUUUUGACACUGUUGCACAUAGAAGGCUUAUCAAUAAACUGCAAUCUUUAAGUUUGGAUUCCAAUAUUGUUGAAUGGGUAAGGCAGUGGCUGAGUGACAGGCAACAGAGGGUUGUAGUUAAUGGAAUAUAUUCGAAGCUUGGACUUGUCACCAGUGGGGUACCUCAGGGAUCUGUACUUGGACCCAUUCUCUUUAAUAUUUUUAUUAGUGAUAUUGCAGAAGGUCUUGAUGGUAAGGUAUGUCUUUUUGCUGAUGAUACUAAGAUAUGUAACAGGGUUGAUGUUCUAGGAGGGAUAAGCCAAAUGACAAAUGAUUUAGGUAAACUAGAAAAAUGGUCAGAAUUGUGGCAACUGACAUUUAAUGUGGAUAAGUGCAAGAUAAUGCAUCUUGGACGUAAAAACCCAAGGGCAGAGUACAGAAUAUUUGAUAGAGUCCUAACCUCAACAAUUGAGGAAAGGGAUUUAGGGGUGAUUAUUUCUGAUGACUUAAAGGUAGGCAGACAAUGUAAUAGAGCAGCAGGAAAUGCUAGCAGAAUGCUUGGUUGUAUAGGGAGAGGUAUUAGCAGUAGAAAGAGGGAAGUGCUCAUGCCAUUGUACAGAACACUGGUGAGACCUCACUUGGAGUAUUGUACACAGUACUGGAGACCUUAUCUUCAGAAGGAUAUUGAUACCUUAGAGAGGGUUCAGAGAAGGGCUACUAAACUGGUUAAUGGAUUGCGGGAUAACACUUACCAGGAAAGGUUAAAGGAUCUUAACAUGUAUAGCUUGGAGGAAAGACGAGACAGGGGGGAUAUGAUAGAAACAUUUAAAUAUAUAAAGGGAAUCAACACAGUAAAGAAGGAGACUAUAUUUAAAAAGAAGAAAAACUACCACAACAAGAGGACAUAGUCUUAAAUUAGAGGGACAAAGGUUUAAAAAUAAUAUCAGGAAGUAUUACUUUACUGAGAGGGUAGUGGAUGCAUGAAAUAGCCUUCCAGCUGAAGUGGUAGAGGUUAACACAGUAAAGGGGUUUAAGCAUGCGUGGGAUAGGCAUAAGGCUAUCCUAACUAUAAGAUAAGGCCAGGGACUAAUGAAAGUAUUUAGAAAAUUGGGCAGACUAGAUGGGCCGAAUGGUUUUUAUCUGCCGUCACAUUCUAUGUUUCUAUGUUUCUUUGCUAUGAUUUGCUUCUUAAGAGGCAGUUAGGCACAUGAACCAACACAGGACAACGUAGUGGGUAAGUACAUUAAAACAUGAACCCUGCACAAGUGAACAUACACCCAAUAAGCUAAAAAGGGACAAUUGCUUGAUGCAAGGAGUAACAAUAUCUAAAUGUCUCUCAACACACCCAAUUUCAGCAGGAUAGUCCCUAUUUUAGGGAUUUUGUUCCCUGGUUUCUUGCAUCUGUGGAUAUAAGGGAAGUGUACUGGGACCCAACAGCAGCGGUCUCUGCAUGGUCCUUUUGAAGGAGCUGCCUUUACUGCAGCUGUCUUCAGUUCUUGUUGGUUUAUGGAUCUUUCUGCCUUCAGUUUUGUCUAUAGCAAGUAAAAUGCAUGCUUGAUCGGGUUGAGAUCAGGUGAUUGACUCGGCCAUUGCAGAAUAUUCCACUUCUUUGCCUUAAACUCCUGGGUUACAUUCGCAGUAUGUUUUGGGUCAUUGUCAAUCUGUAUAGCGAAGUGCCAUGCUUUAAUAGUCUGGAGUGUCCCUUUAAUGUUAUUCCUAACUCAACCCCAUUUGCUUUAUAUGUUGUUUGUUCCUUAUAAAAUAUAUGACUUUACAUUUAUCUGUAUUGAAUUUAAUCUGCCAAUUGCCUGUCCGAUUCCAAAAUGUGUCAAAAUCUCUCCAUUGAGGAGUUAUAUCCUCUUCAGACUGCAUUAUCUUAUCUACUUUUAUGGAAGAUAAAAAUACAAAAAAGGUAGCGCCUGUGAGGAAUAAAUAUAUAAAUAAAAUAAAUAAAUACAUAAAAUAACAUAACAAAAGUCCAGGUAACUUAACACAAGUCCAAGUAAGGUAGUUCAAAAUAGUAGGGAAGGUUAUUUAUGGAGCAGCAGAUUUAAUUGAUAGUAGUGGUGUCACGGAAUAAAACUUGGGAUCCAGUAGGACGUGUGGAGAAAAAAAAAAAAAAAAGGAACUCCAAUGGUAUGGUAUGUACAUACAAUGUGUUACAAAAGGUAUAUAAAUGAGAUACUACUCGCAAUACCCAGAGCUACAAUCCAACUCUUGUUUGAAAAGCGUGAAGUGGAAUAAUCCCCACUCAAGGAUAUAUGUAGUUCUCCAAGCUUCCAAUCUUGUGUAGCAGCAGAGUAAUCCAAAAAAUAAAAGGUAACCAAAUAUAGUGCUCACUGUAUCUUUAUGAGUCAAAGUAAAAUAUAUGAAAUGUACUUACAAAUUGCCGAGCAGACUCAUUGCUCGGUGUAUAAUGUGUGGGUGGUAUAAUCCCCACCUAGGGAUUAUUUAUACUUCUUAGAAAAAGCAAAAGAGAUGUCAGGCCAAAAUUUUUUAAAAACUAAAAAAAGAAUAUGGCAAAUGUGGUAUAUAGCCAAAAGAAUUCCUUUAUUAAAAUACUUUACUAAAUAGAAACAUAGAAACAUCGAAUGUGACGGCCCAUCUAGUCUGCCCAAUACUUAACUAAAUACUUAACACUUGGACUAGUGUGGAGACACAAUGUCAGUGCCGCACACUGUGCAGUACUGCCACAGGAAGCACCUGUAGCAGCCAUCUGAGGAAUGGCCACUGGAGGUAUCCCUAAACUGUAAUGUAAAUAGUGCAUUUUCUCUAGAAACAGUGUUUACUGCAAAAAGCCUCAAGGGAAUGAUUCUACUCACCAAAACAAGUAAAAUAAGUUGUAGUUUCUCUGGUAACUCCAGUGUCCCUAAGUGUUUGUCAAGUUCAUACAAAAUGUAAUUUUUAAUCUCAAUGAUACCAUAUUAUAGUGAUUAUUUACUAGGUUCUCCCUAACUUAAAUGUUUGAAAAUAGGUCAGCAUUAUUAGUUUUACAAAAUUCAGAUAAGCAUCUAUCCUAGUGGUGAUUCUACUAAUUGAAACACAAAAGUGUCUUUAUCAAAAACCUGUAACUCUUAACUGUAUUAUUAAUCCCUCUAACCCAGUCAAUAUCUGGAUGAUCAAAACAUAUCUAAAGAUUGAACAAAUUACCGAGCUGUGCAGUUUUAUUAAUUUGAGGUAACAGCUGCUCUUCCCCAUCAGUAAUAAUGUUUAGGAGUUGGUGACAUAUUACUAUUAAUGAACACCCUGUUUUUUUGUGUAAUGCAAAAUUCUACCCACAAGGCUUCCACAGCCUUAAUUGAAUCAUCACAUACCAUUUCAUUAACUCCUGGCAUCAACACAGGUUUUGAUAUAAAAAUAUACCCCUCCCACUUUUCUAUUUUUUUUCUAUCCUUUCUAAAUAAUGCAUAUCCAUUUAAAUUAACAGCCUAAAUAAGUAUUUAAUCCCACAAAGUCUCAGAGAAUAAUGUCCAGUCUGAGCAUAUUUCAGACAUGCUGUUAGAGAUGAUUUCUGAGGUGCCUAAAUUAAUCUCCAGUAUAGUGUGUGAACUGGACACACUAUCUAUAAUAGUUAUAUAACUAUUAUUACAAAAGUAUACUCUAUUAGGUAAAACACUAUCUAACAAAAGUGUUGCAAUCUUGGGUUAUAUCAUGCUUAAAAAGUAGCUUAGCCAUAACCGAGCUUGUCAUGUAUUGGUUGUGAGUGAAAUCUGUGUAGGUAGAUUUUAUUUUUGUGAUAAAUUAUGUGUGCAUCACAUCCAGGAGGCUGUGAAUUCAAUUCAUGCAUUAUAAUUUGUGUUCUGCUGUUUCUUUUUAUUUUACAAGUGUAUAAUGCUUUUACAAUGUAUAUUUAAAACCCAUAUACCUAUCCAUAUGUAUGUUAAUUUUUGUGAUUUAAAAAAAAAAUCAUAAAAAAAUAUAUUUUAUGCCCAUACAAGGAAUUCAACCCCUGCUGCUAGUGUGAAAAGCAAAAACACUUGACCACUAUACUAUAAAGAAACUCACUUAGUAAGAAAGCCCAGUUGCAAUACAGUACUGUGUGUCUGUGUUGAUAAUGCAUCAUCCAAUGCCAGCACUGUGUAUCUGCUCCAGAUAAUGUGCCCCCCUGUCCCAGAACUUUACAUGGCUGUUGAAGCAUUCGGCCAGACUUUCCCAUGUUUCAAGUCAGAUUCAAUAGGUGAAGUCUUCAGCAGAUGCCACUGCUAAUUGUGCAUAUUAUGUCAUUGGAAUGCAAUUCCUCACCUUGUUCAUGUCUUGGCUUCACAAUUGUAAAUGUUUUUUGCCAAAAUGGAAAUGUAAUGGUUAAAACCGAUUUAUUUUAGGCAAUUUAUUAUUGCUCCCUUUGGGAAUAGCAGCAUUGUGCAGACAAAAAAACAUUGUACAUUAAACCACAUUUCCUGGUAGCUUAUCUGAGGAGGCACACCAGGAGAUGGAAUAAUUUUCUGCCUACUUUUUAUAAAGUGCUUUCUGCAUGCAUGAGAUUAACAUUUAGAACAAUGACACUAGGUACACAUAAACUUCUUUUAACCAGGCAACAGAUAUUGCAUGUUUUGAGUUAGAAAUGGCCUCUAAACAGGAUGAAUCUAAAUUAAAAACACCAUGUGCUGCUUAACAUAUUGUGUGAGGUGUUUAUAUAUAAACUGUAUAUCUAGGGCAAAAUUCUGAAAGUGGGGCAGUAGUUAUGAUAACCAAUAGACUAUCUCUGCUCUUUGCUAUACUUUUAGAACUCUGCCCCAGAUUAGCUCUUUUUAAUGAGGCAUAUUUAUCAGAGGGAAGGUCCUAAUGGGAUAGAAAAUGUUUAUUAAUGUACCUGGGUCUAAUGCAUUUUCGCCAUAUUUUUCUAUCCCGAUUUAGAAACUGAUUUAGAAUGCUGUGUGGAUAUAUACACACAUUACACUUUGCUUUCCAUCUAAAACACAUGCAGUGAUUGCAUUUUAACAUGCACUCUGGGGAGUUGGCCUCAAAUAAAUAAUCUAAACACAAAAUCAUUAUUUUGCAAGCAAUUAAUCAAAAAAGACAUACAAUAUUUAAAGGCAGGCCCCCUCCCCCCUGUUUAAAAGGGAAUUACUUGGGAAAUACUUAUCAUUUCACAUUAAACACAUUGGUGUGAACCCAGAAUCAUUUAGAAAAAUGAGCCGGAAGGACUAAGAUGUGUGUGUGUGUGUGUUUGCACGCAGAUUAUAUAUUUAUAAGGUAUCAAAACACAUUGAGAGUUCUGUCGUCAAGUAUGUACAAUACAGUGUUAUACGUUCAGGACAUAGAUAAUACAAUUACACAUAUUAACAGUAAUAGAAGCAGGGAUUUGGUUCAAAAUAGAGACAGAAAUUAGCAGGUUUUUUUUUUGGGGGGGGGACUUUUUACUAGAUUAGAUUAUUUUUAUUAGUAUACCCCAAAUUUCCAAAGCUAUGUGUAUAUAUAAUUAGAUUAUAUUGUAUUUUUUUGAACUGUCAACUAUGACAACUGAAGUGCUUAUGGUGGUCUGGUGCUUAUAGCUUGUAGGGAAAGUUUGGGAGAUCAUACUGCUGGGGAAAAGUGAGAGUUUUCCAUAGUAGUAUAAAGCAGGCAAGAAAGGUGAAUGUUUGAUGUGUAAUCCCAGGUGUGUUUUAAUAUACUAAUAUAGAGUUCUUUUUUAAUUUUUUUAUUCUUUAUUUUGCAUUUUUGUUUAUUACAUACAAGGAACUAGAGCAUAGCAAUACAGGGAGUGCAGAAUUAUUAGGCAAGUUGUAUUUUUGAGGAUUAAUUUUAUUAUUGAACAACAACCAUGUUCUCAAUGAACCCAAAAAACUCAUUAAUAUCAAAGCUGAAUAUUUUUGGAAGUAGUUUUUAGUUUGUUUUUAGUUAUAGCUAUGUUAGGGGAUAUCUGUGUGUGCAGGUGACUAUUACUGUGCAUAAUUAUUAGGCAACUUAACAAAAAACAAAUAUAUACCCAUUUCAAUUAUUUAUUAUUACCAGUGAAACCAAUAUAACAUCUCAACAUUCACAAAUAUACAUUUCUGACAUUCAAAAACAAAACAAAAACAAAUCAGUGACCAAUAUAGCCACCUUUCUUUGCAAGGACACUCAAAAGCCUGCCAUCCAUGGAUUCUGUCAGUGUUUUGAUCUGUUCACCAUCAACAUUGCGUGCAGCAGCAACCACAGCCUCCCAGACACUGUUCAGAGAGGUGUACUAUUUUCCCUCCUUGUAAAUCUCACAUUUGAUGAUGGACCACAGGUUCUCAAUGGGGUUCAGAUCAGGUGAACAAGGAGGCCAUGUCAUUAGAUUUUCUUCUUUUAUACCCUUUCUUGCCAGCCACGCUGUGGAGUACUUGGACGCGUGUGAUGGAGCAUUGUCCUGCAUGAAAAUCAUGUUUUUCUUGAAGGAUGCAGACUUCUUCCUGUACCACUGCUUGAAGAAGGUGUCUUCCAGGAACUGGCAGUAGGACUGGGAGUUGAGCUUGACUCCAUCCUCAACCCGAAAAGGCCCCACAAGCUCAUCUUUGAUGAUACCAGCCCAAACCAGUACUCCACCUCCACCUUGCUGGCGUCUGAGUCGGACUGGAGCUCUCUGCCCUUUACCAAUCCAGCCACGGGCCCAUCCAUCUGGCCCAUCAAGACUCACUCUCAUUUCAUCAGUCCAUAAAACCUUAGAAAAAUCAGUCUUGAGAUAUUUCUUGGCCCAGUCUUGACGUUUCAGCUUGUGUGUCUUGUUCAGUGGUGGUCGUCUUUCAGCCUUUCUUACCUAGGCCAUGUCUGAGUAUUGCACACCUUGUGCUUUUGAGCACUCCAGUGAUGUUGCAGCUCUGAAAUAUGGACAAACUGGUGGCAAGUGGCAUCGUGGCAGCUGCACGCUUGACUUUUCUCAGUUCAUGGGCAGUUAUUUUGCGCCUUGGUUUUUCCACACGCUUCUUGCGACCCUGUUGACUAUUUUGAAUGAAACGCUUGAUUGUUCGAUGAUCACGCUUCAGAAGCUUUGCAAUUUUAAGAGUGCUGCAUCCCUCUGCAAGAUAUCUCACUAUUUUUUGACUUUUCUGAGCCUGUCAAGUCCUUCUUUUGACCCAUUUUGCCAAAGGAAAGGAAGUUGCCUAAUAAUUAUGCACACCUGAUAUAGGGUGUUGAUGUCAUUAGAUCACACCCCUUCUCAUUACAUAGAUGCACAUCACCUAAUAUGCUUAAUUGGUAGUAGGCUUUCGAGCCUAUACAGCUUGGAGUAAGACAACAUGAAUAAAGAGGAUGAUGUGGUCAAAAUACUAAUUUGCCUAAUAAUUCUGCACUCCCUGUACAGAAAAUAACGAUCACAAAAUAGGAAGGAUGAAGGCAAUACAUGCGUAGGACAGUGCAAUUUGCUUAGAACAAGGUAAUAGAUUUAAUGGUAUUCCUGAAUUCCGGAAUAGUCAACGAAUAUAGAGUUCUAAAAAUAAGAUUAGCUUAUCUAUGAGUGGUGUGCUUUUAUUUGGAACACGUACUUAAUACACCUGUGGGUGGCCAGGGACUCUUAUCUUGUGGCAUAUAGGAACAUGGAAAGGGCCCACUUUUGCCCAUACAAAAGCAUUAAAUAAGCGAUUCACUCAGCUGCUGAAACUGUGCUUUGAAAAUAUACACCACUCCAUUUCACAACCUGCUCAUGCUGUAGGGAUGGUUGGUGCAUAAUUCCCAAAAUUCUAACACUGCCAGCAAAAACUGGGAUUUGGUUCCGAGCAGGCAACAUUUUUUUCCGAUCUUCUAGUGUCCAGGUUUUACUGAUGUGUGUGUGUGUGUGUGUGUGUGUGUGUGUGGAGUUCUUGUCUCUGCUUGCUGGUCUGUCACGGAAAUGGAAUUUAGCAAGGUCUUCUGCUGUUAUAUUACAUUAACUUAAAAGAUUCCCAUAUUGUGCAUUCCGACAUUUUACUAUUCUAAAAAGUUUGUAAUUGAGUGUUUGUGUUUAUUACUAUUCAAAGAGCUGCCGCUCACUUGAUGAUAACUAUUUAUUGUCCAUUCACUGUAACCAAUAGGGACCAAAGAGCAUAAUAAUCCAAGUGAGUUCAGUGGUUUCUCGGAUGCUGGGAUCACCACAUCUGGAGCCAAAAGCAUACCAAAGAUCAUUUGUCUUCCGUAUUGCAAUGUUUGGCUGAAUACCAACUAAAUCUAUUUACUACAAGCAUGUCAAACUCCAAGGCUAACAUGGGCCUAAUAAACAAGGUUCAAGUUUAUGUAUGCCGCAAAAAAAAAAAAAGAGUUUGACUUAGACCAACACAAACUAAAAUUACUUGUAGUAUUCUCAUACAAACAAUAUGUAAUCUUGGGUACAUACAGAUAAUUUUCUCAAAAGCUUCACUUCAAGUUACUUACUAUGCCCCUCCAAUCUUAUACACAGCCGUCCUCGGCCCGCCCACACACUAAUACACUGCCCCUAAUCUAAUACACUGCCCUCCUCCCUCCACUCUAAUUUAACACACUGCCUCCCCUCCUUCCCCCCCAAUUUAACACACUGUCCCCACUCACACCACUCUAAUUUAAUACACUGCAUACCCUCCCCCCAUUUCAAUAUACUGCACUCCACCUCCCCUCUCCCACCACUCUAAUACACUCCCCCACCUACCUCCCCCAAUUUAAUACACUGCCCCCUCUCCUGCCCCCCAUUUAUUACACUACACUACAGAAAGGUUCCACUAAGCCCCUCUUCCCCUAACUUAAGCUGUCUUCCAGUCUAGCCCUGCACGAUCUUCUCUGCUCAUGCAGGCCACAUGCUUCUCUGGCACUGCGAGCAGCAGGGAAGGGGGAGUAAAAGCCACUCUGCGCACUAUAGCGCAGUCGCCGCAUAUGACUCCAUACGCUUUAUGCAUAUAUACGGUGGCCAGCACGGCAGAAUGUUUUGCACUCUUGCGGACGUUGGAGCACGCUGCCCCAGGGGGCGGCCUACCGGGAUAUUUCCCGGUAUCCCGGUAGGCCAGUCCGGCCCUGGGCCACAAAGAUGCUCAUUGUGGGCCGCAUGUUUGACAUGCUUGCUUUACUAUGUAUCAAAAUGCAGCCUCAUAAUUUGCAUAUUGUGCGGCUUAGUGUAAACUGAAAUAAUAGAAGUAAUACAUUCAAUUCUCUUUUUAUUUAUGACUGUUCCAACCAUACAUCAUUGUAGAAAACUUGCAAUUUUUCAGGGUUGUUCACUAAAGUGACAAUUGUCAUGAAUUCAAAGGGAAUUUCAAAUGUAAGGCCUAAGUAACCAAACUGGAAAAAUUCUCUAACUCAUGUAUGCAUUCAGUUCAGGUACUUUGACCUUUUUCUGUAUCUGCUUCAUCUCAUUAAACUGGUUAUAGUGUCUGGAGUCCUCUGGUACCAUCAUUUCCUUCAGCAUUAAACAGUUUUUAAACUUUUAAUGUUUUAAUGCUAAACAAGAGUCCCCGGCAAUCCAUCCCCUCUGUGCUGCUUUGGCUAAUAAGGAAGUAUUAGCCUAAGCAGCAAUAGGCAGCUGUGAUUGGCUGAGAGUGUCAGCUGACUGCUUUUAACCUGUCAGAGUUCCAACUGACGGUAUGAAUGGGUAUGACAACAAGGAAGUGUGUAAUCUCUGCCUUAGCUACACAUACAGAAGGGGCCGGACUGUGGGUGACCAGGGACUCUUAUCUUGUGGCAUACUGCACGAACACUGAAUGGAGGGACAGUGCCAGGGCACUCCAGGCACUAUGACCAAUUCAAAGAGAUGAAAUGCUUAUAGUGACUACAGUGUCCCUUUAAUAUACCCACAAUUUAAAUAACUAGUAACAGUGGUGUACUAAGGGGAGUGCGGGUGGGGGGGCAGUUCGCCCAGGUGCCACUCACUAGGGGAGUGCCAUGACCAGGGCGGCCUUAGGAUGGUAUGCUGUGCAGCUGCAGGACUUCAAAACCAGCCGCAUUUAAGAAAAACAGAGGUGGAGCUAAUCUGAGACGGGGACGGAGCCAAACCAGCAGCGGGGCAGGGCUAAACACGGCCUCCACCCGCUGCUGUUACUGCUGCACAUCGAGGAGAAGCAGGAUGGACUCCCUUCUUCCCCAACUAACAGACUCCAGGGACUUAAGUUAAUCCACUCCUCCUCUGGCCCAUACAGUCAGUAAGUAAGAGAGAGUAUGUGUGUGUGUUGACUGUCUGUCUGUUACUGUGUGUGUGUCUGACUGCCUGCUGCCUGUGACUGUGUGUGUGCGGGUGCCAUUAACAUAGCAGGGGAUAAGAAAAUCUUAAUUAAACAGAACUUGCAAUAAAGAAAGCCUAAAUAGGGCUCUCUUUACAGGAAGUGUUUAUGGAAGGCUGUGCAAGUCACAUGCAGGGAGGUGUGACUAGGGUUCAUAAACAAAGGGAUUUAACUCCUAAAUGGCAGAGGAUUGAGCAGUGAGGCUGCAGAGGCAUUUUCUAUACACCAAAACUGCUUCAUUAAGCUAAAGUUGUUCAGUUGACUAUAGUGUCCCUAUGUAAACCCUAUGUCAUGCUAAAUAGAUUACCAGUAAAUUUCUACAGGCCACCAUUUCAGUAUCACUUUGUGUUCUAUAGCGAUCGCCCAACAUCUUUGAUUAAUGUAGAUAUUAAAAUUUAGGUACUGGGAUACCUGACAAUUACACCAACAAUUUUAUAACAUUGCAUUAACAUGCAAUUGGUCCCUCCUUUGCAUCUAUAACAGCUUUCACUUUAACGGGAAGGCUUUUUCUUUUUACCCCUCCCAAUGGUUAGGUCUAUUUUUGUUUAAUUUAUUACAUGUUUAGAUUUAAAAAAAAAAUAAUCUAUACUUCUUCUAUCAUUUUUAUUUGACCACGUCCAUGAUUCUGGCGAUGGCUUGAAAUUUAAAAAAAAUAAGUCUGACAAUUUGUAUUUACAUUUGUUUGGUCUGCAAAAAGGGGCCGGAUGAAUGGCCAUACCAAUCGAAUGCCAUGUUGUACAUAUGAAUCUGUUUUUUCAUGUUUAAGAUUCAAACCUUGCUGUAAGUAAAUUAUCAUAGAUUUUUUGGGGGAGUUUUUUGUUUUGGUGUAAUGCCGCUUGUAUGUGUGGUUUUCGUUAACUGCAAUACUGGAACAUUACUUAUGUAUUUUUAUCAAAUCUAUCCGUGACAACAAAAAAGAACACUCCAAGAACCAUAAACCCCACAACAUUACACAGUGGUUAUGGUAGCAGAUGUGCACUUGCCCCCUUCCUUAUUGUAAGGAGUUAAACCAUACAUGAACAGCUUCUUAUAAUGCAUCCGCCAGGUGCCAUUCCAUGCCUCCCCUACCAAGGCUGGAGAAACAUAAUUCAAUUAUUAAAUUAUGCAACCCCUUUCCUCUACAGGCGGUGUGGGUCCUAACUUCUUUUUUUGUUUUGUACUUUUUUUCUGAUGUCCUCACUCUGUAGAUAUGCAUUAUUUAAACUCAUAAUUUAACAUUACAUUUCAAUUAUAGAGAUCCCCCUUAAUUCAUCCUCCAGGUAAAUGGUUCUGAUAAUUUAGAGAGAUGCAUGUUGUGAAGGGCAGGAGUCUGCUUUCUGCUUUGCAUUGCAAUUACCCACACAAUUCUGCUGGCAAUCUGUACAGUUCAUUGUUAUAUUUUAUAUAUCUGCUCAAAUUAUUGUUGCAUGAGUAGAAAGUGAAAUUUUAUAUUUGUGCUUCAAUUGCAGGGUGUCUCAUGGGAGCUAUGAUAUUUCCACAGGAUUUUCUCCUGCCAGUACUUUAUAAACACUGACCUUUCUGCGCAGUUUAGGGUGUAAAGAUGAAAAGCAAAAGCAAUAUAGAGCAUAAUAAGUAAAAGAGUUAAUAAGACAAGGAGGUAGUGUGUGGUUAAAAAACACAUCCAGACCAAAUCCAUUGAGGAGGUCUUGGAGAGACCAUUGUUUGACUGGCAGUGCCAUUUCAUUGUUUCUUAUGCAACAACCCCCAUUUGCAAAUGUAUGUUAUCAUCCUAAAUGGUCAUAUACCAUACCAGCUCAGAUAACUUUAACUAUCACGUUUUCUAGUCCGUUCAGAGGAUAAAUAAUGAUGUGCAAUAAUUAUGUGCUACUCAAAUCUGGUAUAUUUAAUGUAAAGCCAAGCUAAAACAUUUUUUCUUAAUCAUACCUCCAAAGGAGGGACAGUCCCUAUUUUGUGCCUACAUCCACCUGUUUUGUAAGAGCUCAAUAUUCUUAGUGUGUAAUGGAUUUAUACUACAUUAAAUGUGUGUUUAGAAAUUGGUCUGUAUAUAUAAGACAAUAUGUUCUGGUUCAGUUUAGUCUGUAUGUAUGUAUUGCAUUUGUUGGAGGUACCAAUAAAGAUGUUUAAUUUGAUCGAUAAUUUACAUUUUUAUUCCUGUGAGUGGUUGUAUAGGCAGGGUCCCGGUGCACUGCUUUUGCUGCUCUUAAGAUGGCCUUGAAGUGAUACCUACACAACACGGACAAAUAUACUGGGACACACCUAAUUAUUUAAUUCAGGUGUUUCAAUCAGACGCAUUGACACAGGUGUAUACAAUCAAGCACCUAGCCAUGCAAUCUGCAUUUACAAACAUUUAUGAACAAAAUGGGUCAUUCUGAAGAGCUCAGUGAAUUCAAGCAUUGUACUGUGGUAGGAUGUCACCUUUGCAAAAAGUCAGUUUGUAAAAUUUCAUCCCUGGUACAUAUUCCCCGGUCACCUGGAAGUGGUAUAAUCGGACAGUAGAAGUGAUUGGGAAGAGCAGCAACUCAGCCAUAAAGUGGAAGACCACAUAGUUACAGAGCAGGGUAAUUGAAUGCUGAAAUGCACGGUGUGUAAAGGUCGAUGUAACAGAGCUUCCUGUACCCCGGUUGGGUACCUCCGCUGACGGAUGCUCCUAGUGCUCACCGAGGCCCCCCCCAAGCACUCCACCAGACACCAUCAGCACCGCAGUCCCCAUGUCCAGUGUUACAGCUUGGCUGGCAAUUUGCCGUCCUCCACCCACCCUGGACCCAAGACCAGGAUCCAGCUUCCAGUGGGUGAACCUCUCCUCCAAGAGAGUGUAACAGGAACAGCUCUUAAAAGAACUUAGUGAUUAUAAUCCCAGGGGAGUAUAGUGAUAUAGUAAUCCCCAGGGUAGAUGCAGGACAAGGCUCUAUGUUGAGGGUAAAACAGGAACUCAAUUUUAAUGGAGGCGCACUGGCCUUUUGUGCAGGUUUCACAACAAAGGUGACGCCCAGGUGGACCUUGUUGGGCACAGGGACACAAAGUGUACAAGCCAGUAAAAACAUUGUGACAAUGUAUGACACUCCCACAUACAGUACACAAUCUCUCCCCUCUGCCUGUGAUAUAAUUAAGGCAGAUAAUGUAUUAACGUAAUUACCCCAAGCAUAAAAACACAUAUUUUACAAAGUCUCAUAAGUACCCCAAAAUACAACUUAUCCCCAUAGUCACGUCCCCUGAUAGCCCUGAUCUGGGUGAACAACAUAUCAAAAAAUCACCCAGAUCAGAGCAGGGGUUCAGGAAAUUCCUGGAAGUCUCUUUGUGACCGACCGCUUUCAUGCCCAAAACAGUUCCAGUGAAUUAGGCUGUGCAGCCGGUCUAUUUUAAACAGUCGAAGUACCAUUUGAAUUACCGAACGGAAUGGUGAAUGACCAUAGUCAUUGUGUGUCCCUCGUUCGUGACUCACCGAAUUACUCCAGGGGGCCCAGCUGCCCUGUCGACCUCUGCUGAUGCUCAGGACCAGACUGAUGAGCCGGCAUAACUUUAGGACCAGUUCACAGCUGCAUGUGUCCAGGGUGUGCAGUUGCCUGGUGACUGGCAGAAAGGGGAGCUCACAGCAUAGUGUUCCCCCUCCUGCCAGUUAAUGCAUGUAGCGUGACCGAGCUGACAAGAAGUGCUCACUGAGUGCAAUGAGCACUUCCUGUCAGACCAGGUACUGUGGUCCAUUUGGCCACGCUACAUGGAGGUGAGCAGGUACAGGAGGGAAGGAGGAUGGGGGAAUGAGACACAUGGCAAAGUUGUGGGUGGGGAGACUGAGACACAUAGAGGCAUAGAGGCGUUAAUUGUGAAUGAGACACAUUGGGUGGUUGAAACAAAUGAAGGUGCCAUGGGGAGAUGGUUGGGACCCAUGGAGUGGCUGGGGGAUGAGACACAUAGAAGGGCUGGGAGGGGGGGUGUGAGAUGCAUGGAAGAGGCUGGGGGGAAAUGAGACACAUGGAGGAGCUGGGGUUGGAGAAUGUGGAGGUACUGGUGGGUGAUUGGGACCCAUGGAUGUGGUGGGGGUUUGAGACACAUGGAAGGCUGGGGGAAGGGGGGAUGAUAUCCAUAAGGUGGGCAGGGCAAUUUUCACACUGUGACCUGGGCAGUUUCUAGUUAUGUCUUUGCUCACGAAUGUUCUACUGGAUGAAUGGCCAAUAAUUCCCACAGAAACCCUCCCAAAUCUUGCAGAAAGCCUUUCCGAGUAGGUGGAAGCUGUUAUAGCUGUAAAGGAGGGACCAACUACAUAUUAAUGUUUAUGUAUUUAGAAUGCAAUAUCAUAAAAGUCCCUGUUUGUGUAAUGGUCAGGUGUUCCAAUACAUUUGUAAAUAUCCUUUCUGGAUGUGUCAGAUGAAAGUUUGCUUUAACAGCUAAAGGUCAAAUUUACCGGGACAGUUUGGUAUAUGUGUGGAAAGGAAGAUUUAGGCAGGAAUCAACAGGGCCGGUGAGAGACUAUUUUGUGCCCUAGGCAAAACCAGCUUUUUGUGUGUCUCUUUCUUCCCUUAACUCCUUUGUGGGUUUUAUUUUCCCCUACCCCAGCCCCUCUGUGUGUCUCUUCCUAUCAAGCCCUUAAGCAUGUCUCUUCGUCCACUCAGCACCUCUGUAUGUCUCUUUGCCCCUUAACCCCUUUAUGCAUCUUUUUUCCCCCUUUCCCAGAGCCUAUAUGUCUCUCUUCCCCCCAGUACCUUUGUGGAUCUCUUUCUCCCCCUGCCCCUCUGUGUCUCUUUGUCAUGCAGCCCUCUGUGUGUCUUUGCCCCCCAGGCCCCUGUCGUAGCCUGAGACCCCUGUGUGUCUUUGCCCCCCAGGUCCCUGUCGUAGCCUCAGACCUCUGUGUGUCUUUGUCCCCCGAGCCCCUCUGUGUGUCUCUAUGCCCCCCCAGCCUUUUAUUAUUUCAUGUGGGAAAUGGAAAGGGACAAUGAUUGUAAAUAGGGAUAGGGAGACUAAAGUGUUAGGAAUACAAACCUGUUUUCCUAACGCUUUAGUGUUCCUAACAGUGCUAUUGGGUGAUUGCAAUAAGAUGUUUGCAAUAUGGAAAAGUAUACUCUAUAGUCUAUAAGGUACAACUUUGAUGCUUUUGCUUUGUAAGGAUUAAACUAGAAGCAGCUAAGCCCAUUUAAUGAAAGGAACACUCUAGUGCCAGGAAUACAAAUACAAAGGUGGCCAGUCUUGCCACCUUUAUGAUCUCAGCUAAUCCAACGUUUCACCUAGGAAAGAAUCGGGAGACUAUUGCGCAUGUGCGCAGCUGCGCAAAUCUGCAUCUCCUCAUAGAUAUGCAUUUAAUCAAUGCAUCUCUCUGGGAAGAGUUCAUUGUACCCAUGCAAAACAUGGAAACGCUGAAUGUUGAUGCUGCACACUGUGUAACACUGGACUAGGAAGCUCCUCUAGCGGCCGACUGAGUGAUGUCCGCUCGAGGUGUCCCUAGGCAGCAAUGUAAACAUUACCUUUUCUCUGAAAAGGCAGUGUUUACAUUGAAAAGCCUGCAGGGACAUGUUAUAGACACCACUGCAUUAAGCUGUAGUGGUUCUGGUGACUAUAGUGUCCCUUCAAGUACCUAGUUUCUCAACUGUGCAUAUGGGAUAACUCCAGAGUGUGUCCAGUUUAAAAUGCAGAAUUAACCAUUCUUUUAAUAAUGCUCUAUGUACAUGGUUGGAACCUUGACCUCUCUUUUAUUAUUUAUGUGAUGAAAUGGAUUGGAUACUAUGAUUGCUCAUAGUAAAUCAGAUCAGUAGUCAAUUAAAUUGUUCCAAAGUUUGAUUACACUCUGAAACUUGCAAUUUGAAUUCUACAGAAGUUCUAACAUUUUAUAGUGGGAGCAUAUAUAAUGAAAAAAAAUCCCAUGCAGUCUGCAAAUCAUCCGCCUAACUGUUCUUCUGAGAUGUAUUUUAAAGCUAAUAUACUUUUUUGGUUGAUGAAAGACCAAGCCUUUAAAACAUGUUAGAAGUAAUUUGGUCAGAGAACAGACAAUGGCCUUGAUCUUAAUAUUUUAGCAUAAGCUUUUCAAAUAAUCACAAUAUGUUAGAAUUUUUUUCCAAAUGAUUUAUCUAUAGAAGUCACUAUUAAUAUAUAGAAGAAUUUUUGUAGAUACAUUAUUUAUUUGAUUUUAUUUUUUUCUAACAGACUGUGAUCAUUUGAAAGGCUUAUCCAAAAAUAUUAAAUCAAGGCCAAUGUCUUUAAAAAUCCAAAUCUUAUAGUGAAGUCCGUUCUCCUGUAGCAGAUAUUAAGACUGUUUCUCAAGUACUCUAUUAAAUGCAUAUUAAUGUUUAUUACGGUUUAUUUUUUAAUACAUGUUGAAAUAAAUACGUGAAAACUACUCUUAAAUAUGAAUUUUUGAUCAAUUAUCUUCUGCAGUCCUGUUGUUUUCCAUUAAGAUUAUAUACACUAUGAGUUCAAUGUUUAUUGUAUAGAUUGCAUUUGUGUUUUUCUAUCAUCAUUAAGGUGCUUAAUUUUUCAUGCAGUCCCUGAAUUAUUAAAAAGGAUUGCGGAAUUAGUGAGACGAUUUUUGUAAAAUGUAAAAACACUGUUGAAUUCCUAAUAUUCUGGGUAAGAUAUCCGUAGUUUUUCCUACAAUAGAACUAAAAUAAAUAAAUAUAUUUAAAAAAAAUUAUUUUCUUUCCAAAAUCUAAUGAUCCAGUAAGCUAAUAAAUAAAUAACAACAAUCAUGGUGUGGACAAUUGCAUGCGUUUUUUUGUCCUAUUGUGAAAUCUUUGUGGUCAUUUUACAUUCUUCUUCUUAAAUUGACAUGGCCGUGCUAAACUUAUUGUCUCUAGAUAAUUGAAACUGAAGUGUAUAAAACCAAAUUAAGUGGGGGAGGUCACUGAAACCUAUAACAGGGGAAAAGUAACCAGUGAAUCCUAAUUGAAAAUAGAUUGAAAAUGUAAUUGCUAACCUGGCCAAAGCACCGGGGAUGCUGUCUGAGAGCAAGACAGGAAUUGCCAAGGGGUUGAAAAGAAGUAAUAUUCCCUUUUUAUCAGCCUUGUGAUCUGGCAUGUCUGGAGACUAAGUGCAAUGUCAGGGGCUGUAUUACGGCAAGGAAUAUUGAUUAAGAAAAGAAAAAUUAUGCACUUUAUCUUGUUGGCUUUUAAGAAAAAAUAAUUGUAAAAUGUUAUAUUCAAAGAAUAUUUUUCAAGUGCUUUUACAUGUGCUAUGAAUCAAUAUGCAAUUCAUAAAGCUAUGAAAUUCCAGCGCAAUUGCAGAACGCUCCAUACACUUGUAUAAAGUGAAAACAUUUACAAUAUAUCACAUUUAAAAACAAUUAUGCACAAGUAAGGAAAUAUAACAAAAGUCACAUGAAAGAUAAAUAUCCAGACUCUAACUAGACAUUCAAUUAUUAUAUCUCAACCCCAGCGGUUUCACAGCUGUAGUAGAGUCAUGAAGGCAGUGGUCCCAAAAAGGGGGCAAUGGAGGUUAGAUGGUAUACAACAUCAUUGCCAAGGAGCUUUACGAUAGUCUUAGAAAACAAGAACAUAUUUUUUCCAAUGCAGGGACUGUGGUAGUCUAUACAAAAAUUGGGGCCGGCUACAUGGUAGUUCAUUUUGUCACAGUACCAGUGGUGUAUUCUGGUUUUGUACUGCUUUAGGCAUCACAAAACUAAGACACCCCCCCUUCCAAAUUUCUCUUCCUGACAGACACACGCCCUCACUGAUGCAUGCACUGACAUUCACUCACUUACUUAAAGAUACACAGUCAUCGUCACACAAACUGUUUAACCAACACACACUUUGACUGAAACAUACACAUUCACAGACAUACACACUCACUCAUUCACAGUUACACAUACACCCUCACUGACAGGACAUGCAUGCAUACUCACUGACAGACACACACACACUGGAACACACAUACACUCACUGACAGAUUCACACUGACAAACACACAUACACACUCACUGACAGACAUAUAUACACUCAGUGUCAGACACACACACACUGACACACACAUUCACUGACACACACACUGACACACACAUUCACUGACAGACACGCAUACACACACUGACGCAUACACACACUGACAAACACAUAUACACUCUCAGUGACACACACAUACUCUCACUAAUAGACAGACACACACUCUCUCACUAACACACACACACACACAUACACACUCUCUCACUAACACACACACUAACACUCACUAACAGACACACACUCUCACUAACAGACUCACACUCUCACUAAUAGACACACACUCUCACUAACAGACUCACACUCUCACUAACAGAGACACACACACACACACACUCUCACUAACAGACACACACUCACUAACAGACACAAUAACACACUCACAAUUUUUUGUUUGUUUGUUUUUUGGCUUACAUUUUGGUGAAUUUUUCCCUGUGGUCCAGUGGGGCUGGCUGCAGCUCUGCAGGUGGGCGGUCACAAGGUGAGCAGUUCAGGCGGGCGGUGAGGAAGUCUGAUCCUCUUGCUCAACUUCCUCGCGAGCCUCUCAGUGAUGCCAGAGCAGGAGUGAUGUCAUAUUCCGGCACUUGAUUGGAAAACCAUAGAAGUCUACAGAGGACAUUGGUGAAGAAGGUGCUGCGGUCAGACCCAUAUUCAGGAAGCAAUACAGAUUAAAGAACAGCACACACACAUAAAUAAUAGUUUAAAAUUUUACUAGGUUACAUAAAGUUGCCUAUCUUGGCAAACAAAUAUGGAGAUACAGUUACACCUUAUGGCCAUAUUGUAUUAGGCCCACCACUAUGUCACAGUACACCAAUAUCGGUGGUUCCUACACUCACUUUACCAUGGGAGAUUUACAUGCUAAUUGCAAUACUUACUGCCUCCAGAGACUCCUUAAUUGAUGUUUGUGUUGUCCCCUCCAAAGUGGCACUGGUGGUCAGGAAGCAAUCAUUCCUGUAUUCUUUGGUGAUCUGGUAGACAAGCUGAGUGGGGGAGGGGGGAUAAUUACUUGCAGGUCAACCUGGUGAAAAUGCAUGUCAGGAUGUCUGCCAUCAUACAGGCCAGGCCACUGAGAGCAGACCAUGCAGGAAGCAUGAGUGUAGCGCAAGUUUUACUAAAGAUGCGCUCGUGCUAUGUCCUUUGCGAACAGUUUCCUGGUGUCGCCAAAAGCGUGAAUAAAGUCGGAACCAGGCACGGACCGGCCAUCGGGCAAAUACCCAGUGGGCCGCAAUGGCCAUGGGCCGAGGCCGACAGCAGAGAUCACAGGAUCUCCCCUUUUGGCCCAUGAAGAGCAGGCACUAUCCGAGCCCCGGCCCUUCUGUGUGCCUUCAUGGGCCGGUGGGGAGAUCAAUGAUCUCCCUCACUGGCCCACGGGCACUGAUAUGCAGCCGCCGGUUGGGGAGGCAGGCAGGAGAGGACCCGGGGAGCUCUAGCCAGCAGCUCCGCCGGGUUCCUCUCGCGAGGUCGAAGCAUUGCCAUGGUUACCACGGCAACGCUCAGACCUCACGAGAAUGAACUCUAGCUCUUCAGGCUAGAGUUCACUCUCACUACUAGGACCACCAGGGACUGCAGCAUGGUCCCCCUCCAUGGCAGCACGGCUCCCCCCGCUCCCCCCCCCCACAGGCUAAAGGUAACAAGGGAGGGGGGAUAUAAUGUUGUUAUUUCUUUGUUUAGUUUUUUUCAAAUAAAAAAAAAUACAUAUUUAAAUAAACAUUCACACACACACAGCACACUCACACUAACAGCACUCUCACACAUAGCACACUCCCACUCAUAUACAGCACACACAAACACACACACAUACAUAUAUGUAUAAAAUCCUCAGUGAUUUAACAGACAAAGAAAAUUAGAAACAUAGAAUGUGACGGCAAAUAAGAACACCCUCAUACACACAGCACCCUCUUACACACACACUGCACCCCUCACACACACGCUGCAACCCUCACACACACAUGCUGCACCCUUCACACAUACACACAGCCCACCCAACACACUGCGCACCUCACACAUACAAUACGUCCAAACAUAUAUUCUACAGCACCCCUCACACUGCACCACUACACACAUUACGCUCCAGAUACACGCUAGAUCCCUUACCCUGUAUACACUCUGAAUCAUAUAUAUAUAUAUACACACACACAAUCUCCUAUACACACUCUGGGUCCUUUACACACUAGAUUUCCUACACAUACACACUGCACCACCUACACACGCUACAUUCCUGACAUACAAACUCUGGAUCCCCUAUGCACACACUACAUUCCUUGUAAGCAAAGACAGACAACAUUCUCUAAACACACACUCUCUACAACCCCUACACACACCAAGUCACCUACACACACACACACACUACAGCCCAUAGGCACACACUCAUAUCCCCUAUAUAAACUAUGCCCUCUAUACACACACUCCCUACACAUAUUACACCACAAACACAAAUGAAAUUGACCUAUUUACAUAAUACCACACAACAAUCAGCUUACUCUAUACACACAUGCAAUCCCAGAAGCAGACUCCAAACACAUGCACGAUACGCUUUCCUGGUCCUUUUGUCCUUUGGUAUCCCACUUAUGGAGACAACAGAGACAAGUUAAAAGCAAACACAGUGCAAGCAUGUUAUUAAAUUUGCUUGCGCUGUGCAGAGCUCUUCAUCGGGGCUCUGUGCAUUGAAUCAACAUGCUCACUUUGAGAGGGGGCUUGCUUGUUAUUAGUGAUGACAAAACACACCCUCUCUGGCCUCGCCCCAUUCUGAAGGGGCCGCUGUGAUUGAAAAAUGCCCGGGCCAAAUUUUUUUCCCAGUCCGGCCGUGUUCGGCACAGUAGUAUAGCACCUGAAAAUUGCAACUAUCCAACCAAAAUCGGAAAAGUUAGGGUUGUGAGUAGUUCAGCUUUGUUUGGUACAAUGAUAGUGAGCUUGAUACUUCUUACAGAUCCACUUCAUCAAAUUUUAAUCUGUGUCGUUUUGUAUCUUGUGACUGGAGUUAUAAAUACAGGUCUCUAAUUAAGUAAUGAUGAUAAAACAUAAUUUAUGCAUUGCUGUUUGAGUUCAAGGUAUUUAUGCAGUUGAAAGUUUAAUAUUUUUCGCAGUCCUUAAAAUAAAGUGUGGAAAAGCUGCCAUCCUGAGUGAAAUCAAUCUUAUUGAUGUUGUAUUGUUUGUUUGUAAUUCUUAUUGUUUCACAUCCAUUUUUAUGUUUACGCAGUUACAAGUAAGCACAGUCAGCGUUUUCACAGUUGUGCACUUUCAGGGCAAACAGCUCUGACAAAUGUCCAGUUUGUAAUUCAACCAAUUUUAGCAAAUCACACUCCCGAGGGGAUCUUCCCAUGGUUUUUCUUUACCACUGUUGGUUUAACAAUAAUGUGAUUUAAACUUUUUCCUUAAAGGGACACCACAAACACUAUGUCAUAAAAAGAGGCAAUGCAUCAACAGAAAACAAGAACAAAAGGCUUAAGUAGUGUAUGGAGCGUAGGGUGCCAUUGACUAAUUUUAUUUUAUAUUCUAUGAUAUCAUUAGGAAAAGAUUAAAUAGAAGUGUAUUUUAUACAAUGUGUUCUUGCUCACAUAAGGAGUUGCUUACAUCACUAUGACAUGUAAAAUAUCACUCUCAGCUGUAUAUUUUACAUGAAUAAAGAAUGAUGUAGGAAAAAUUUACAAGCUAAAGCAAUUGUUUUGUUAAAUGAUGAACUGUUAAAAAUAAAAAUAAUCAAAUCCAUGUUAAAAAUAUAAAAUAGAUCCCCUUAUUUUACAAUGUAUUUCUUAUUUAUGUUCUACUAUCUGUAGAGAGAUUUCACUGACUAAUCCACUUGCAAUCAAUUGUACUUGCAAUGUCAGAUACACAGUCUAUCUAAUUUGAAGCACACUCACCGACAGACAUACACACACAUACUGACUGACACACACACACUCUCUCUCUCUCGCAGACACACCUACACAUUAAUGCACUCUCUCACAAAUUAAUUUUAUUUUUUGAGGCCCAUCCAGCCUCCCUAACUCUCCCUGGGGUCCAGACUGGGGUUGUGCUAUGCUGUGGAGUGUUCCUCACUCCUCCCGUGCGCUGUUUAGUAUUCCCAGGCUAGAAUGAUGUCAUAUUCCGACUCCUGGUAUCACACAGAGAGUGCAAGGGAGAGAUGAGGAACUGCAAGUUAAGCACUCCCUCACUGCCGGUUGCAUGCCUCCUCUAUUCUUCCUGCCUUUCCAGAAUAUAUAGUAGGAGUAGGCACCCGGGCUGACACUAGUCAGCCACCAUGUACGCUCCCUUUGAGAGGGCUCCUCACAGGACCCCAGACUUUCAGGUGACUUGGCACAGUGCACCCAGUGCACCCACCCAGGAUCAGCCCUGCUCCUAUCUCCCUUUUCUAGCAACUGAUUAUCACAUUCACUUUUUGAAUAUUUAACUCACCCUGGCUUCUUUGGGGGGCAAUUGCCCUGUCGCUUCCCUUUGAUCUGCCAAUAUUUCAGACAUUCCUCUGGCUAUAGGCUUUAAAAAAGAAAUAAAUCCUAAAACCCUUUUCUUUAUGGAAACUUGACAACUUUCCAAGUCAUUGCUCAAACUGUCUGCUCUAACCCUUUUUUCCUCCCUUAUGUUGCUAUUUUCCUAUAACAUAUAAUUUUGUUCCAAUUAUAUCCGCCGAUCAGUCUUUCAAUUAAGAACACAUUUGAUUACAUUAUACCUCACUCCUUAUUUUAAGCAAGCUCUUCAUCACUUAUUCCUGUUUGUCUAAGUAAUGAACAGCACUACAUAUAUUUUUUGGGCCCAUCAUAAAUAAUAACAAUAAUAAUAACUUGUCUUUGGUAGUUCAGCUGUUCUUGGACUGCAGUCUCAAUCAUGGUCAGUCAGCCUGUCACGUUGUACAAUGGGUAAAGCUGUCCUCACAUGAGUUUUAAUUUUUCAGAUAGGAGGAGACCAUUUUGAUGAGUGAUGUUGAUUUAUUUUGAGGGCUCUGUACAUCGUGGAUGGAAUUGUCUGAAUUGAUGCUAUAAGCUGUCUUUCAUUGAGAUAAGCUAUCCUGCUUAUGUUUAAUUAGGUGCACUAUAUUGUGCAUUGCUACUUCCCUGGUAAAAUUAUAUCAAAAUAAAAUAAAAGUCUCUGUAUAAUUAUAUCAAUAUAUCUAACUAGCUUUGAGAGAGAUUCCAUAUUCUAGCAUUACUUGAUUUCAUCUGGAUAGAAAGGGUAAUUGUUUAUUUAUAAAAUGUUCUCAGGCUUUAUCCAAAGAUUGGAAUAUGAAAAUAUAUAGAAUUAUUUUUUUUUUUCUUCAUGAGUGCUCUUUUGAAACUGUGUGAUUUCAUCAAGCUCUGGUAAAUGUGAGAAUAAUCUCCUUAUUUGGCAGAAACAUUGAUGAGGCAGCAGCCUUAUUCAAUAUUUAAGAAAGCUGCAUUGCAGAGUUUGGAUGCUGGACAAGAGAGCUGGCUGGGAUUGCAUGACACAUGCUAAAGAAUCCCUCUGUUGGUUUGUGUUCCUGUGGUUAUUAUGUACGUUGUGUUUAGUGAAGUAUGUUGUGUUUAGACUAGAUUAUUUAGACUUUCUCUCGUCAUGUACAUCAGUGCCCCCCUCGGACCCCCCCGAGAGACAAUGCUCUCCCCUGCAGGGCCAGUGCUAUCCAAGUGCCGACCCUGCCAUAUGCCUUCACGGACCGGUGAGGGAGAUCAGAAAUCUCCCUCACCGGUCCGCAGGCACUUUGCUGGCAGGGGAGGGAGAGCCGACCCGGGAACUAAGCCUGCAGAAGGCUAGAGUUCACUCUCACCACUGGGAUCACCAGGUCCCUCCCUGGCAAAGGUAAGAAGGGAAAAUAAAGAUUAUUUUAAUCUGAAGAAAAAAACAACCCACAUAUAUAUAUUUUUCUUAAUCUGCCCCCCUGCCUGCCCCCCACAUAAUAACUUGCACAUUCACACACUGCCCCCCAUACACUGUACCCCACACAAACACACACUGUACCCCCCACAUCCACACUGUACCCUCCACACACUGUACUCUCCACACACUAUACCCAGUGGUGUAUCCUGGUUUUGUGCUGCUCUAGGCUUUUUUUGCCGCCCCCUGGAAAAUGCUGCCCAAUUCAAAUGCCUUGUUUGCCUCGCAGCUAAAACGUCCCUGACUGUACCCCUCACACACUCAUACAGUACCCCUCACACACUCAUACAGUACCCCUCACACACAAACUGUACCCCUCACACACAAACUGUACCCCUCACACACAAACUGUACCCCUCACACACAAACUGUACGCCUCACACACAAACUGUACCCCUCACACACAUACUGCACCCCUCACACACAAACUGUACCCCUCACACACACUGCACACCUAACAUACACAAACUGCGCCCCUCUCACACACACACACACAGUACCCCUCACACACACACUGCACCCUUCACACACAAACUUAACCUCUCACACACACUACACACCUAACAUACACAAACUGUGCCCCUUUCACACACACACACUGCACUCCUCAGACAUACACAAACUGUACCCCUCACACACACACAGCCCCCUUACACACACGCACACUGUACCCCUCACACACUGUAUCACUCACACACUGCACCACUCACACACACACACACACACCCUGCGCCUCUCCAUGCACCCCUCACACACAUACACAUUGCACCCCUCACACAAACACACACACUCUUCACUUCUCACACACACUUCACCUCUCACACGCACACUGCAUCCCUCACACACAUACUACUGCCCCUAUAUCCCGGCAGACUCCAUGUAAGUUGUCAAACUGUUCUAAAACGGUUUGACUGUUUAUUCUGGGAGGGCACCACAGCACUCCAGGCACCAUAACCACUACAUAGAGCUGUAGUGGUUAUUGUGCCUGGAUUGUUCCUUUAAAUAUCAAGAUAUAAUCUUAAUAAUAAAUAAGUGGAGUGAUAUUGGCAUACAAUAAUUUGCUUACCCCUUUUUAAAUCAAGUAUGGAGAUUCUGGUGUACUUGAAUACAUAAAAAAGAGGCAUAAAACACACAAAAAAAUGCAAGUGCAGAUGAUACUGGUAUACAGAUAAAGUGCAAAUGAAUAUAAGAGAGGGACUCAGAAUUUUCAGAGCCUGAGAAUUAAGGCUCUAUAUAUCCAUCGCCCAUCAAUGAUGUAGAUCGUCGGCCGGUCAAUUUCAGUCUCCAAUUGAGCCCCCCUCCCACAAGAGGUCAAAUACUCCAUUUUGGAGAAGGGAAAGGGAGGGGAAAAGAUAAGUGAUUAGUGUAACCCUUUAGUGGAAAAAAAAAUAAAUAGAAGUACACUUAUUCUUAUUGUAAUAUAUCAGUAUAUCAAACCGAUAUGGUAUAAACAAAAUAAUUUGGUCCAAUGAAGUAAGAAUCAGAAAUAAGAGUGGUAAUGAUGCAUAUAAUAAAAAUUCAAAAAGGCACUUAUGUAAUUUUAUAUAUUUUAAAAUAUAUAUAUUAAAAAUCAUCAAUUUAGGAAGUGGUAGAGUUCAAAAUCGGCGAUGAGACCACUUGGCUGUAGAGCAUUUAAUGUAAAGGGACAUUAUAGUCACCAGAACAACUACAGCUUAAUGCAGUUGUUCUGGUGAGUAUAAUCAUUGUAUUCAGAUAAAAGGCAGUGCUUACAUUUGCCACUAGUGGCCACUCCUCAGAUGGGCACUGGAGAUGCUUCCUGGCUCAGUGCUGCACAGUAGGCAGCAAUGCCGUUCUGCGUCUCCACGCUCUGCAUGGGGAUGCUGAAUUUUCCUCAUUCAAUGUAUCUCUAUGAGGAGGUGCUGAUUGGACAAAACAGUGUUUGGCCCCGCCCUUUGACGAUUUUAACCAAUCCAAUGAUUUCCCCACGGGAAAGCGUUGCAUUGGUUAAAAAGGCAAUUCUGAUGAUGUCACAAAGGGGGAGGGGCCAGUGCCGGCGGACCCGCGCAGCGCUGGAAAUAAGGUGAGUUUUAUAAACUUUUAAGGAGGCUAAGUGGGGUGGGGGGAGAAACCUAAAUGGUAGGUUUUGGCACUAUAGGGCCAGGAAUACAGGUUUGUGUACCUAACCCUAUAGUGUAUAUUUAAAUAUUCAUUCCAUUUGGGUCUUUCCCAAUUUGUUAGCCAGAUCUCCACCUCACCUCUCCACUUUAUCUGUAUACCAGUACCAUUUGCACUAGCUUUUUUGUGUUAUAUCCCCCUUUUUAUGUAUUCAAGUACACCAGAAUCUCCAUACUUGAUUUAAAAAGGGGUAAGCAAUUAUUGCAUGCCAAUAUCACUAAGCACUCCACCCAUUUGUUAUUAAGAUUAUAUAUUGGUAAUUGUCGGUUUGGUUUUAUGUUAAGGUGAGGGGGAAAGGUAUAUCUCACGGGUGUUUAGAGCAGCAGCUACUUUUUAGUCACACACUCCUUGUGAGUUUUCUUUUUGUUCCUUUAAAUAAUCUACAUAUGCCCCUCCGGAGAUUAGGUUCUGAAUCUGUCCCUGAUGGACAGAAUAAUAUAAUGUAAUAGGAUUUUAUUCAUUGUAGUCUAGUUUAUCUCAAUUUCAAAAAAAAUGUUGAGUAAAAUAUUGCUUCUUAUGUAUCAAAACUGGUUGAAGUAACACUCAGUAGUUAACAUUCAUUUUGGAUGUAUUUUAUAGAUGACUACUGAUGAUAAAUGUUGGUUUCCAGCAUGCACGAGUUAUAUAAUUGCCUCCUAAAUAGCGUUUAUGCGUAGUUUAAAAAAACAAAAAACACGAAUGUACUAAAUUUUAUGGUAAUGUACAGGUAUGAAGGAAACCUAGUUCUACAGACAGAGGUGUGCCCAAAAAAAUGCUAUUUAAAAAAAAACAAAAAAAAAAACUUGCACAAAACAAAUGUAAAAUAGAACACAAAGCUCAUGAGAAAUAAAAACAAAACAAAACCCUGAAUUAAAAACAAAUACAAAGGUCAUGAGCUCCCAUUAAUAUUAAAUAGUAUCUGAAUAAGAUAAUCAUACCUAGAGUGGGCAUGAAAAAACCUGUAUUGAGGAGCCUUUAAUACACAACUGCAAAAUGGAGGUCACAAACUCUGAAGUUUUAAAAUCUGUCUAUUAGAGCCAGACUUCACAUGAAGGGAUGUCUCCAUCCACUCGGAUAUUGAUGCAAAAGAUUGUGACUUUAUUAAAAAAGCAUGGAUACAUCAUGACUCCAACCCAUUUCGUGCCUUGACAGCCCUUCAUCAGAGAUAAAGACCCACAAACAUGUUGUUACGAACGCACCUUACUCCAAGUGUGUGCAUAACUUGGUUUUGGUGAUAAAAAGGUGAAAUGUGCUAUUUGCAUGAGAAUAAUGAUUAAAAUCCCCCAUAAUGCCACCCACUCUUUAUUAUAAUAUAAGUAAUACCAUAAUGCUUAGACAACCAAGACAAUUUAUAGAUGGGUUCCUUGGUCCCCCAAGCAGAUUAGACUAAAAAACACAAAAUAUGAUGUAGCACAAUAUCUAUCUGAUUUCAAAUAAACUGGUUUAAUCGGGUAAUGUGAGUCUCCACAAGACAAAGGCAGAAUUUAAUAAAGGAAUAUUUUUUUGAGCAAAACAAUUCUCACAGUACAUAGAAAAACACAUUAUUUACACCAACAACUGAUAAAAAUAAAAAGGAAAAAUUAACAGAAAGCAUAACUACUAACUUAUAUCUCACAUUAUCUUGAUAAAAUUGUGUACAUCUAAUACAUAAAAGGGAAACUAAGAACCGAUACAGUAUAGUGCAGAUGCAGUGGCGUAAAAAAUGGAGUGGCUGGGGGAGGGAAAUGAGACACAAGGAGGAGUUGGAGGAGGGAGAGAAUGAGACACAAGGAGUGGUUGGGGAGGGAGGGAAUGACACAGAGGGGCUGGUGGGGGAGGGAGGUAAUGAGACACACGGAGGGGCUGGUGGGGGAGGGAGGAAAUGAGACACACAAAGGGGCUGGAGAGGGAGGGAAUGAGACACAAAGAGGGGCUUGGGAGGGAAUAAGACACAUAGAGGGGCUGAGAGGUAUAGGGAAAAAGGCACAUGGAGGGGCUUGGGGGAGGGAAUGAGACACAUGGAGGGGCAGGGGGAAUGAGACAUAUUGGGGGGCCAGUGCAGUUUUUGCAAAGGGGCUCAGUGGUUUCUAGUUAUGCCUCUGUGCAGAUGGUAAUAAAAUUUGAGUAUUGGGUCUAGAUAAAUGGAUCAUUCACAUUUAAAGGAACCUAUAUGUAUUGGCUCCGUAAAGUUGGCUAGCAUGCUCUUAAAGCAGCAUUACACCACUCCUCCACUUUGAUAUUCUCACUUAGGUUAUAGAUUGUUGACUUAUACCACUUAAAGUUUGUUUAUUGAGAUGUGUGGAGAAAAGGGCAUCCCAUAUAAGGGUAUACAGCUGCUGUUUUUUUUUUUUUUAAUUAUAUUUACCCUAAAGCACUUUUGUAUCAACACUCUCCCUCCCAAAAGGAGGUCUUGUUUGUAACAGUGGUCUUUCUGGGGAGCACUGUUGGAUAAUCAAGCAGCACAGGAGAACAUUGCAUAACAUAAUAAGUCUGUAUUUGUUUACCUGGAAGUAUACAAGCCUGCUGAGGGGCUUCAGGGCUUUAUCUAUGCCGUCUGUUUAUUAGAUAAUUAUCAUUUUUUCACUUCAGUGUCUUUUCGCUAUGUAGCUUAUUGCUAGUUGGGUUAGACUUAGGUGCCCUUGAAGGCACGGGGGGUAUAUUGAUAGCAUUAGCACAGCUACUUGUCUCAGUAUCCACUUUACCAUAAUUGCGAUAGUUUCAGAUAGUCACUAUUUUACAUCACCGCAGGGAUGUUCAUAGACUUAGCGUGCUUUUACUCCCAUAUAGUUAAUUCCACAAUUUAUAUCGUUAUUCUUUACCUAUUAAUUUUAUUGGUAAAUAUAUGUCUGUGAAUUCCAUCCUGAUUAACCACAGACAGUCAUUCUAGCUGAUCACCGAAUAUACAUCGGUUCAAAAUGAUCUUCGUCUCUUAUCAGGGAUACAGCACGUUAUUUAGACCCUUUUUUAAUUCAUAACAUCGGAUCAAAACUAUCUUUGUGGGCACUUUUUUCGUUACCAUUUCUAUCAGGGACAUAGCAUGCUACUUAGAUCUUCUACUAUUAACAACAUUAGUGUAUUAUUAUUACUGCAGUAUUUUAAACGAUAUCUGAUUCUAUCACUACUUUUUGAAUGCUAAUCAUUUGACACGGAUACUAUAGAUAGCACAUAGCAUACAUCGGUUACCUAUAUGUGCAGGCUCCAUUUUUACAAAUGUAGAAUUAUGCCUUUACCAUUCUUUAUCACCCUCCUAGCAUUAUGACUACUUUCUAUUAAACGUCUUCCCUUAAUAGCACAGAUGUGUGCUAUAGUUUAUCAUUUCUACACAUUAUUUAAGACACUUGAGUUUACCUUAGUUUUUCACAUUGUAUCUUUUCUGAUUUUAACUUUUUUUGUAUCUACCAAUUGUUGUAUAGAUACAUUCCUUUGCUAUUAUUUGUUACUAUUCAAUAUAUAAUAAAAUCCUUUUUUGUUUUUUGACCUUUCGGUCUUUUUAUCUGUGCUUUUUUCCCCCCUCUUAUUUCAAUCAUUUAUUAUGAAGUUCAGGCACAUACUAUUACCUCUUUCUCCCAGUUGAUAGGUAUACUAUUUUCUAGUUUUUUAAGCCUGCUGACUGUCCAGUUUUUGUGACCAGUAGUUGUGAAACGUAACAUUUUAUGACCCUGACAUGGAAAAACAGACACUUUGGUCAAUUUGUUAUUAAACAAACAAACAUGAUUUUAUUUAGCCUUUACACAGCCUUUAAAAUGAUUUUACAGCUAUGAAAAUUUUUUUCAGAUCAUUACAUCUAUAAAUGAUUUCUGCACAGAUUGCAGACUCUCUUAGCAUUCCUGGGAGAAUUAUGGACAGUCUACACUGAAAAGAGAGCGCUGAGAUGCUGAUUUUAUGGCUUAAUGAUAUAAAAAAUGGAGGAACGUUAUGCCGCCUGAUGCAGUGCACUCACAUUCAGAAUACAUAGAGCUCAGUAGUGAGGAUAAAUACACACCAGAAAAUAAAUAUGGUUUAGUGUUUUAUUUGCUAAAGGAUUUUUUUAUUAUUUUUCAUUCUCAAACUGUAAAUCAAUUGCAAAUAAAAAUCUAAUGUAUUAACACCAUGGUAUUCAUAAUAACAUAGUAAUCUAAUAUUCGAUCUGUCAGAUUCAACAUUUAUUGUAUCCCUGCUCCUGCCUUUGUUCAUAAAGAAGAAUAUUUUUUUAAAUGUUGCCUUUUAUGACUCCAAGCCACAAUCCAGCUUCUCUUUAAGUCAACAUGCAUUUAUUAAUUUAUACUGGGGAAAAUCAAGACUCAUCAAUUACUGCUUCAUUUGUUAUUGUUUUAUCAUUGUUUGUGAUUGGCUUACCAAGAGGCACCAAAACCAUUGGUUCUGGUAUCCCAUGGAGAUAAAAGCUUAAUAAAACGAUUGAAUCAGCAUUCACAAGCUGAAAUUAAAAGGAACACUGUAGAUACAAUACAAACAUGUAUUCCUGACAAUAUAGUGUCCUUAUAUCUAGUAUUUGCAAUUAAAGGGAUAGGUAUCUAUAGGCACAAAAACAAUGUUAGUUUAAUGAAGCAGUUUUUGUGUGGGGGUGUGGGCGUGGUAUUUUGGCCUAAAAUUUUCACAUUUUCAUGGUCAAUUCCUCGCUGUUCCUGGUUUUGUAAAUAACCAGAUAUAGGUUCCAGAUUAUGAAUUACCAAAGAUUUUCCAUUAGUAGCCUACAAUAAAAAAAAUAAAAAAAAACAAUUCUGCAUCAUGGAGUGUAAUGACAUUCAUUUUACACCACCAUACAUAAUUUGGUUUACAAUUGCUACUGUUCAGUGAAAAAUGUUUUAAGAGUAACUCUUUUCAUUUCUCAGUUUUUCAGCGCUUGGCUAGCUCGAUUGAUUCUUUACUCCAAUUAUUUAUUUAAAUUAUUUAACAGUUCUUUUAUGGUGCUCUUAUCCAGAGCGCUUUACAAUUCAUGCAAAAUAACAUUGGUAAUUAUACAAACGGGAUAAAUAUUCAAACACACUUAAACAAAAGAAGAAGAGAACCCUGCCUGUGAACUUACAAUUAGAGGGCAAUUGUACAGUGAGAAAAAAGGAUUGUAGGAAGAAAGUUUGUGGGGAAUAACAUCUAAUACAAGCAUGUCAAACUCGGGGUCCACGGACCGCAUGCGGCCCACAAUAGACAUCUUUGCGGCCCGACGAGUAAGCACCUGCUCUCCCCACAUUGCAGGUGCCUACUCUGCUAAAAUUUACCCAGCCGGGAGGAGAGGUCGCUGGAGGAGUUCAGUCUUCUUGCUCCUCACUGCUCCCUCACGCACACCGUCUGUAGUGAUGCUGGGUGCCGGAAUAUGAUGUCAUAUUCCGGCACUCGGCAUUACUAAACUGCGCAUGUGAGGGAGCAGUGAGCAGCAGGAAGGAGAUCUCCAGAUAGAAGAUCCCCACUGCACCCCAGGGAAUGAUGUGAGUGUGUGCAAGAAUGUGUAAAUGUGUCUGUCAGUGUGUGUGUGUCUGUGUGUGUCAGUGUGUGUGUCAGUGAGCCUGUCUGUCAGUGAGUGUGUGUGUCGGUCAGUGUUGCAAUGGCUGUGGCUGGACAGUGGAGGACCUGGACGUGACGUCGACAUGCUCCACCUUCAUAGGGUUUCAAGAAGUAGCGGGAGGAUCCGCUUUGGCACAGGGUGUGGACAGCGCCGUAUGGGGUAUACCAGAGGCUCGACUAAGGAGUCCCAUACUGGCUGCGGCAAUGUGAGUGGAGUCUGCUUGUUGGCUAGAGGGGGAUGCUGGGAUUUAGUACAUGGGGGGGGGACUGGGAUAUAGUAAAGGGGUUGCUGUGGUUUAGCAGAGCGGGUGCUGGGAUGUUUUUUAUGCUGUACUUUUAAAAAUAAACCUACGUUUCUAUGAAAAUUUAAGUUUUGUGUUUUUUUGCGGCCCACAUAAACGUAAACCUUGUUUAUUUAGCCUGUGCUAGCCUUUGAUUUUAACAUGCUUGAUCUAAUACAUAUUUGCCACAGUUCAUAUUUUCUACCAAGAUUCUGGUGCCAGAUGGCAGCUUGGCUUGCAUAUGUUUCUGUUUAUUAUAUGAACAUUUUAAUGUGAAUUGCAGAUUACUUUUCAUUUACAAUAAACUGUUAUUUUAGGAAAGAAUAUGAUCCUCUGUUAAGGAACAUCAUAGCAAUGGGUCCAUAAUGAAAUACAGGUGUCUUUUGACUUAUAAUUGAAUUAGGUUAGAUUGAAAACGGAGAUUGCAAAAUAUAGGCCAGGAAUAAUUGGAUCAGUAAAACAAAUAUCCAGGCCUACAAUAUUCCAAACUUCUUAAUUUUGAAUUGAAUUAAGAACAUUUAAUUUUCAGUUCACCUCUGUGGAAUGUUUAAUUAUUAAAUUCCAUAGAAACAAAUCUGGCAUAUGUCCAAAAUCUGCCCCUCCUCGCUUUUUUGAAUAAACUCUGGUAUGUGAUAUGUUCCUACCCAUCAUGCCACACUUAAUAAUUAGGGAUUAUUCUAGCUUACAGUGAACGAAUAAUCUAAAUUUUAUUAAAGACAGGAGGCGAAUAUUUGCUUAUCUUUCUUUACUGAAAACUCCCAGCAGCAAAGAAAUAGUUAAUAAAGUUGUAAAAAAUUCAACCAAUCAUAACACAACAUAGAGCAAUAUAGUGCCAUCAGACUCCUCCCACUUCCUCUUUCUUAGGUGAUGCCGAACAGGAUAGAAGAAAUUAACUUGUAAACUUGAAACAUUCUGCGGUGUAAUCCGUAGCAAGUCAACCAUGUAAACGGGUAGAUGGAGAGAUUAACUCGAAGUUUUCACACUAGAAGAGAAGAAAAGAAACUUCGUGAAAGUAUGGUCUCUUGAGGAAGAGAAAUUACAAAUACGCAUCCUGACUGAAUUUAAGCCCAAAUGGUACAAUGUGGAACCGGAAUGUAAUACUACCAGAUCAAUGUGAAUUGUAUGCCUACCAGACAACUGUAAGGAAUGUAAAAGUUUGCCCUCGCUGUAUAGUAGGUGUAUGCGUGCAAAAUCAAUAUGCAAGGUAGUGUACAAUGUAGUAAUCUCAGAGUGAGAACUUACCUGUAGGGUGGGUUCCAGAAUGAACGAAGGGAGGGAAAAUAUUCGCCUCCUGUCUUUAAUAAAAUUUAGAUUAUUCGUUCACUGUAAGCUAGAAUAAUCCCUAAUUUUAUGGCAAGACAGGAGGCUUCAUAUUUGCUGUUUUAACGCUCCUGAAUAAAGGAACAAGCCGCAUGUGGUGUUGGUUUAAAAUAAAAAGUGCGAAAAGUAGAUUCUCUAGACCAAUCUGCGGAGGCUAAAAUAUCCGCCAGUGAGCCGCCUGCGCGGAAGGCAGAGGAUGCGGCCGCUCCUCUCACGGAGUGGGCUCCGAAGGAGCCAUCAAUCCCUGCCUGGGUAAGCAACCAUCUCACCCAGCGUGCAAUGGUGGGUGAGGAGACUGGUUUAUGAGGUUUAACGUAAGAGACAAACAGCGGUCCGGUAGGGGAACGCAAAGAGAUAGUGUUGUCAAUGUAACAACGGGUGCACAAGGCCACACAGAGUGACGGCCUAUCGGGAAAGUAUGGAUAAAAGACUGACGAAGAAUUCGUCUUAGUGCGUCUAAUGAUGGUAAAUCGGACACCGUCUGGGGCAAAGGUGACAGCGUGAAAGUCAAAAGCGUGAAUGUCUGAAACUCUGCGGAAGGACACCAGACACAGUAGCAAGGCCAAUUUCGCAGAGAGUUGGCGUAAGGACAAGGCCUCGUUAGGUGGCCAGGAAUCCAACAGUGUGAAAACCUGAGAGACAUCCCAGAACGUAGAGUGUUUGGCAGAAGGUGGCCUCGUCAAACGAAUGCCCCGUAAAAGUCUGCACACGGAAGGGUGUUUCCCAACCAAGAAAUUGUCAAUAGUGUCAUGGGCCGCCGAAAUGGCGGAACGAAAAAUAUUAAUCGAUCGGUAAGAUUUACCCUGAUCGAAGAGAGAUGAUAAGUAGUUUAAAAUGGAAGAGAGAGGUGUUGAAACGGGAUCGAGGUCCCUCUCCAGACACCAGCUAACCCAACUCCGCCAAGCGGAGAGGUAGGUCCGUCUGGUUCCUGGAGCCCACGAUUCCCAGAGGAGUGUUUGAGCUGUGCGUGAAAGACCUGUGACAUGCCAAGCUCCCCUGAAACUGUCCAAGCCACCAGCUGAAGAUGGCCCUGUAGGGCGAGAGGAUGGAAAUCGCCCAUUGGGUUCCUGAGGACUCGAAAGGAUCGAGGAAGGAGGAUGGGAUAGUCCACUGAUAGUUCCAAGAGGGUAGGGAACCAGGUCUGGGCCCUCCAUAGAGGGGUGAUUAAUACUACCCUGACCUCCUGCUGUUUGACCCGGUGAAGGGCCCGCUGAAUCAUUGAGAAGGGAGGGAAAGCAUAGGCUCCCUCCCGUGGCCAGGGUUGCAGAAAGGCGUCGACUGCCAGAGAUAGAGGGUCUGGCAGCCAGCUGAAGAAAUCGUCCGUCUGACGAUUCAGGCGAGAUGCAAAGAGGUCGAGUGUGAGAGGUCCCCGUAGGAGGUGGAUGUGAUGGAACAGGAGAGGGUCUAAUUGCCAGUCGCUGGCAUCCCUCCAAUGACGCGAAAACCAGUCCGCGACUAAGUUGUCGGACCCAGGGAGAUACUCCGCUCGGAUGGACAGAUUUCGGUCCAGACAGAACUGGUACAGGUCCUUGGUGAGGUCGGACAGAAGUUUGGAUUUGGAUCCCCCGAUUCGGUUGACAUACCGCACUGCGGAGACAUUGUCCAUCCGUAGUACCAGGGAGCAGUUGGACACGUCCUUGGCGAAGCUGCGGAUCGCGAAGGAUCCAGCAAUGAGCUCGAGACAAUUUAUGUGGAGAGCCUGUUCCGAUGGAGACCACAGACCUUCUGUGGAAAUUUGGGCACACGUAGCACCCCAACCCAAGAGGCUCGCAUCGGAUUCCAGAACAAAAUCUGGUUGAGAUCCGAAAAUCGCUUUUCCAUUCCAGGCUUCCAUGUUGCGAAGCCACCAAUGAAGUUCGAUGAUAACUUCGUCCGUCAGAGAAAUUAAUUGAUCGUAAGAGGCUGAGCGAUGCAAGUAGGUUGUUUUCAACCGCUGCAUCGCUCUGUAGUGUAAAGGCCCGGGGAAUAUAGCUUGAAUUGAUGCGGAUAGGAGACCCAGAAUGUGUGCAAGGUCGCGGAGCCGAGGCCGUUGCGAAGAAAGCAACUUUUGGAUUUCUUUCUUUAUGUUUUUUAUUUUGGGGUAAGGCAACUGCAAAGUUGCCUGGACUGAGUCUAUUUGAAAGCCCAGAAACUGGACUACCUGAGAUGGUUCCAGAUCCGAUUUCUGGAGGUUUAUGACAAAGCCAAGGUUUUGAAGGAGAGCAGAGGUCAUGUGCGUAUGUUUGCGAAGCAAAUGUUGGUCUUGGGCCAUGAUCAAAAUAUCGUCCAGAUAUAUGAUAGAACGUAUUCCCCGAGAGCGGAGUAGCGCCAUGACCGGCUUCAUUAACUUGGUGAAACACCAAGGGGCGGAACAAAGCCCGAAAGGAAGGCAGGUGAACUGCCAAAUUUCUCCCUGCCAGAGGAAUUGAAGGAACGCACGGUGACUGGGUGCGAUUGGGACCGUGAGGUAGGCAUCCUUGAGGUCGAACCUGGAGAACCAGUCUCCCACGCAGAGCAGGUCCCUGAGAAGAUGGAUACCUUCCAUCUUGAAAUGGCGAUAUGUGAUGAACCGAUUCAGUUCCUUGAGGUUGAUAAUAGGACGGUGAUCUCCCGUCUUUUUCCGUACCAGGAACAUGUUGCUGAUGAAAGUGUAAGGGGAAGGCGAGGGUUCGAUCGCCCCUUUGUCUAAUAGUUUGUGCAACUCUGAGUCUAAAGUCAUUUUGUCUGUUUGUGACAUCCCUAAGGGUGUUGGAGGGUGGCUCUGAAUGGGGUGUGUGAGAAAAUCUAUUUUGAAACCCCUGACUGUGUGGAGGAUCCAGUGAUCCUGAGAGAGUAAUUUCCACUGUUGGAAAAAAAGGGUUAAUCGGCCUGCAAUUGACACAUUUCUUAAAUAAGUAAGGUCCAUUACCUGAAGCAGUGCGUCCGCGCAGGGAUGCAGAGCCACGUCCUCGAAUAGAGCCUCUGGAACUGAAGAGUUGUCUGUGGUAGGGUCUUGUGGGUCCAGAGGACCAAUAAUCUGUGGGUCGGGGCCUAUAGCCUGUAAAGGCUGCUCUACUGGUAGCUCGGCCCCUGAAGCGACCAGCUCUCCCGGAAAAACGAUGGGUUUGGGAGCGGAAGACCCUGCGUAGUGAGGACUGGGCUUUAUUAAGCGUUGUGAAUACAGAGACAUGCUUAGAGAGGUCUCGCAUAAAGCUGUCACCAAAUAGAAGACCAUCUGCGUCUGGUCCCAAUUCCUUAGAGCUUAGGUCUAUUAAUUUAGCGUCAAUUUUAUAAAGUGCCGCUUUUCGUCUUUCUAUUGAAAUUGCCACGUUUGCAUUACCUAAUAGGCAAAGAGCUCUCUGAGCCCAUUCCCUGAUAACGUGUGGAUCGAAUUCACCACUAGUGAGUGCCUCAUCUGCCAAGAUAAAAAUCUGGAUUAUGGGACCUGAAAUGUCCAAAAGCUUGUCUUGGGCUGCUUUUAACCCUUGCUCUAUACCCUUACGAGGGUCUUUGCCAGAUUUAGUCAAAAAGGUGACCAGCAUGGGGUCAAAUUCAGGGGUAGAGGCAACUUUGUCAGGAAUUGUAGGUCUUGGGCAUUCAGCCCUCAAUUUAUUUCUGAGUUCUUUUUCAAGGGGCUUGCGAAGCCACAUCUUGCAGUAACUGGCAAUGUGAUCAGGAGGGGUCCACUCUGCAGACCGUGGGUGACGAAUCACCCUUGGAUCAAAAAGGGGAAGGCCUGAAGCAUCCAGGAGGGUGUCUGAGGCAGGCUCUUUAGAUGGGGGGGCACCCUUAGUAUCCUGAGCAUGAAAAGUUUCUUUAACAAACUCUGACGUUGAGGAAUCCUGGGGCACAUUCACCGUAGGAUCCUCAUCAGAGUAGGUGGUGUCAUAAUCGUUUAAGAUAUGACCAGCUAAUCGGGAGGUAGAGCCCUCAAGAGGGUCUGUCGGAUUCUGCAUAACAAAUGGUUGGGAAUGUUUGAGAAUUUUAGCAGGAGCUUUGCCUUUGCCCGCAGUAGCGCUAUUCCCUUUCCAGGGUCUUUUGCGCGGGGCAUUGUCUUGGUCUGAAAAAUGGGAAUCCUCGGAGUCAGAGGGCUGGUGUGUAGAGGGGUGAACCUCUGUAGUAGAUUGCUCAUGGUAAGCUGCCAGAGCUUUGGGAAUGGACUCCGCAAUGGUGGCAAAUAGCCAAUCCCGAAGUUCUGCAGAAAUGGCAGGGUCUUGGUGUUCCGACAUAAUGUUUGAAAUUUAUGGGAAAGACAAUGGCAGAUCAAAAAAAAAAAAAAAAAUUAUUAGGCAACUCAACUAGUAUAAUGGAGGGGUGGGGGUCACCCACACGAGGUAAGUAUCAGUGGGGGUCACCCACAAUUAUUAUUAUUAGGCACAAUCAAGAAAGGGGGUCACCCUUUAAUAAAUGGUGAACAGCGACAAAAACGAAUAUAUAGUAUAUAUAUUCAGGUAAGUAAGUUUAACGUGGUAGGGUUGCCCAACUAUAGUAGGACCCUGUCACAAUAGACAAAGCGAUAUCUGCCCACUUUUUUUUUUUUUUUUUAUAUACAGUAGUUAUGGUGGAAUUAAGCAGAGAGUAGUGGGGAUCACCCACAACAUAAGCAGGGUGGGGUCAACCACACAAAGUUUUAGUGGCAGUAGUUGUGGUGGGGGUCACCCACAGAUUGGUAGUAGUUGUAGUGGGGGUUACCCACAAAUGAUACAAAAGGGUGGUGUCAGCCACACAACAAUUUAAUAAUAGAGAUUACACAAUAACACAGAGGGGGGUCACCCAAUAAUCUAGCAGGCAGGGCUGUUAGUAAAAGAAUAACCUGCAAAGAAAAAGGAGAUAAGGAUCAGUGUUCUGAUCACAAUUUGCCUUGGUAAAUCUCUGAUAUAUGAGAUGAAGCAAAUAUUUAGCUUACCUUCCGAACAGUAAAAAGAGAAAGUGCCCACAGAUGAAAGCAAAACCGGUCCGCGGUGAAAAAACACGAGUGCCGCGAAAAGAAGAUGGCCGCCGCGAGUAAGAGGGGCGGUGCGGCUCAGAAGGCGGGAAACAGAAGGAAAGGGCGCGAAGGUUGUACCAGGAGACCAACGGUCUCCUGGGAAAUGGAGUCCGUCUCUCCCUGGUAUGCUCCUGACUGGAGGGGAGGAGGGGAAAGCCCGGCGGGCUGAUUCUAUGCGCGGCUGAAACUCUGCUUACACCGAAUUAAAGGUGUAAGCUACUUAAAAUAAGGAAGGUAUUAAAAAUGAAAAAAAGGGAAUGAGAAACCCCUGAAAAGAAAUAACAUUAAACAUAGGACAUAAAACAAAGAUUUUAAAAAGGGAAAUACCCUGAGGGAAGCUGGACACUGUUAUUGUGUGUCAUUUUGGAAAACAACAGAUAACAAUCAUCAAGUAAUUUAAGACAAUUUUAAAUUUAAGUAAUAAGGCUAGGCAAUGUAAUUAGAAUAGACUCACCUGGGAGGCAAGCAGCAAAGAAAGAGGAAGUGGGAGGAGUCUGAUGGCACUAUAUUGCUCUAUGUUGUGUUAUGAUUGGUUGAAUUUUUUACAACUUUAUUAACUAUUUCUUUGCUGCUGGGAGUUUUCAGUAAAGAAAGAUAAGCAAAUAUGAAGCCUCCUGUCUUGCCAUAAAAUUAUCUGCUUCCUGUACAGGCCUGUAAACCUUAGAAUGUUUGCCUUUGUGCAUCACUGGACUGUAUGGUGGCAGCAGCAGGAGGAGGAAAUUGUAGUCAGAUGUAUAUACAGUGAUCGCCUAACUAUAAUAACUCGUCAUGAGCCAUUUGGAAAGAUUCUCGGCCCAUGGUCAUUGCGGUCCACCAGACUUUUAUCCAAUUUUACCUUGAUGUCCUGACCAAGCCUUUUCUAUUCUACUUCUGAUCCUCAUCCUAUUUUGUUUUUGUGUGUUUGUAUUUUUAUUCAUUCAAGUUUAUCUGCAACAUUUUUCUAAAUACCACUGGGAGACCUAAUACCGGUCAUGUGGAUUUCAACAAAUAGUUUGUUCUCCUUCUCUUGUGAUCAUCGCAGUGGCCAAGCUUCAAAAGGGUGGUUUCGCUGUGCUAAUCUAAGGAGUGUAGGUGGGGCUAUAUGACGUCUUGUCAUAACUCUGCGUGAACUCCUCACGCGGCAGGCUGCAAGUAAGGGAGGUGGGGAGAUCGUGAGGCAGUGCAUUACUUAGAGGGGGGUGUCUGCCCUGGGUGACAGGCGUGGGGUGGGUUCACUGUUUGUGGUAUUGUAUGGCACCCGAGUAGGGGAUUUCAUUUUCCUCCACCCAGGUCUAGCAUGGAUACAGGCAGUGGAGGCAGAGCUAUAUUCUAUCUGAACCCGUUACCUAGUAACUGUGUUUCUUUGUGUGUGGGUGGCUGUCUGUCUGUGUAAGCCACUGCCUGUAACUGUGUGUGACUAGCUCUAACUCUCUUACUGUCUGCCUGUGAGGGUGUGUGACUGCCUGUAACUCUGUGACUGUUACUGGUUGUGUGACUGACUGUACCUGUGCAUGAAACUGGGUGCAUGGGACUAUGUGCCUUUGGCAGUGUACGUGUAUAAACACACACCUGCAUUCACACAUGGGCCUACAAGCAUUUUUUAGAUCUGAAUUUAAUACUCCUAACAUACAGCCAAUACACUGUCACACAUGUCACUUACUGCCAAUACACCCAUCACAAAUAUCACACACAAUCAAUACACACAUAUAUCACACACAGUCAAAAUACCAACUACAAAUAUCACACACCUCCAUCACACUUAUCACAAACAGACAAGAAACAGAUACACACAUUACAUCAUAUUAUUGUGAGAUUUAUUACAGUCGAGCCCUGUCUUACAAAAGGCACAUUAAUCUGUUUAGUUGGGAAGCUCUGUGAUUAAUAGGUACAUUACUGGGAGUUGUAUAGUUGUGAAGCUCUGUCACAUACUCACACACUGCACAUUACUGUGAGCUUUAUUGUUGUGGAGCCUUUAUCAAUUUAAUGAAUCCCUAAUCAAACAAUACACCCUUAUAUUCACACCAGGGGGUGUGGUGGUGUGACCAGGUAGGGGUUCUGUGAAGAUUUUUCACAGAGUGCCUAAGAGCGUAAGGCUGGACCUGAUAGUGACUCAUUAAAACUGUAACAUCUAGUGGGAAGUCUUCAAUCAAAUGACAGUAAUGGAAUUCUAAGUUUUAUAGCUGCAAUAGCUGCAUUUGCUUGUUAAAUAAACCAUAACAUUUGCUAAAAUAUCCAGUGGUAAUUGCUCCCCAUUGAGAAUUAUCGUUCAUCUGCUCUUAGAAGACAACUUUUAAAAAUUCUGAUGUGGCCACAUAUUAAUGUAGAAAGGAAAUGAAGCAUACCCGUUUAGAGUGGAACUCCGCAGUCACUUUUCAAGUUCGAAAAGUAAGAAAAAUUAUUAAACAAAUGUAAUAUUCAUAGAUCUUUAUUUUUUCAAAUAUUUUAACUAUAUGUUAUUACUGUCAAUGUAAGGGUUGUCCUUGAACUUCAAAAUAAGUAUAUCCAGGCUCAAAUAUUGCUCACAAGACUGAAAGACUGUCAAGCACUCAUAAUCUAUGAUAUAUUUUAUAAUUUUAAUGUAUCUUUAUUUUGAUGGUUCUCCCAUGCUUAAUGGAUUUUAGCACCACCAUGAAUGGGGAGGCAGUUUUCUGGCAGUAGGUCAUGUUUCUGCUCUUAGAAUCUAGUUAUCUCUUGUUAUCAUAUGUUAAAACAGUGUAUUGAAUAGAUAGAAAGUGCUCUGUGCUUCUGGCAUCUUAUCACAUUAUGUGAUAUGAGUUACCUAUGGGAAAUUAAAAUCUAUACAACUGAAGCCAAAUAGCCAGGUAGUAACUGCCAAUGGCUAAAUCCUGAUAAAUACAGAAUUAGUCAUUGUGACUGAGCUCCUGUACUCAGAGUACCUCCGCCCAAUCCGCUUCCUAGCCUGGGAGGGAGCCUGGAGCGCUUCAACCCCAGUGGCCGAGGCUUGAGCUUUUCCAUCCGACCAGGCUGCAGCCAUUCUUCAAGGCAAGUAUUGUCCCCCCUGCCUGUUCCGCUGCAGCCCUUCUUCCAGGCAGGUAUCGUCCCCCUCUGCCUAUUCUGCUGCAGCCCUUCUUACAGGCAGGUAUAAAACUCUGCCUGCAAUGUAAUUUGUAUUGUGACUCUCAGACCUAGCUCUCUUGAAUGAUCCCAGGGCUAGAGGGAUCGUACAGCCAGCCAACAGGUAUGACAACUCUGCGACUGGGAUCUCUAAAAAUCCACACAGGACAGUUCCAAAACGAACUAGCAUACAAUACCUUAUUUUACUUGGGUCGAGCCCAUACGUUUGUUACAUCAUCCUUGCUAUGACAAACUCAAUAAAAUACAAAUAACCAAAACAUGUCAGAAAACAUACAGGGAAUUAUAAUAUCCUAACAACAUAUUUCUAAAGGGGUGAGAGACAAUGUUUAACACAAAAUAUCUCUCCUGCCUACAGAAUUAGCAAUAUGCAAAUCUACCUGAAUAUGACAGUUGCAAGCCUUGCUAUCCAGGUAGUGCAUAAUGCUGUUGCUACCAACAGAGUGCGCUAUACAGGCUCCAUAGCCAAAUCCAUCUAGUUGGUAGCAAUCAUCAGCAGGAAAGGAGAGCAGACAAAACAUUUAACACUAAACACUAAAUAUUUUACACACAACCUGCACCUAUAAUGGGCACAGGGUGACUAAAACAUAAUAAUAGUCCAGGGACCUACAUAAAUAGUCUGUCUGAAGCUCCUGGUGAUGGUAUCACUAUCAUAGUCAUUCACUGGUAGAAGAUCACCACUAGUGGCACUUAGUCACACAUUGAUUUAUAUUUAUAAAAUAUUUUACCAGGAUGGAUACAUUGAGAUUUAUCUGGUUUUCAAGUAUGUCCUGGGUCCACAAAACAUUGCAUUGUUACAAUAGGAUACACUAUUACAAAAAAAUACAAUAUAUAAAUAUUUAUAUAUAAUAUAUAAACAAGUAAUAAAUAUAUACAACCAUGAUAGGUGCAUUCUGUGCUGCUGUAUAUUACCAUAGAUCACUAACAUGAUUUUAGAUUCAAUGAAGAUUUGACUGUGUCCCUGAGGUUAUUCCAUAAUUGUGAAGCUCUGUAGGAAAAUUAGGAUAGAGCCACUUUAUUUUUGUAUUGCGGUAUGCUAAAUAUUGUGCUAGUACUGGAUUGGAGGUUAUAGGAGGUGGGGACAGCUGGGGAGAGCAUUCUACUUAGGUAGGGUGGGAGCUUUCAAGAAAAGAUGAAGUGUGCGUCAGGAUUCCAGCGAUAGCCGGUUUAGCUCUUUCAACAUGUCACACUGGUGGUUAAAGUACAUUCUAGUACAAAGCAGCAGAAUGAAUUAUAUAACAUAUUAAGUUUAUAAAGGUGGGUUUGCGAUGCAGAUGCAUACACAAGAUAUGUCUCUAGAACCAAGGGAUCCACUGAAUCAUGUUGGAUAUAUUCACUAAACCGUGAGUUGGCCUUCAUUUAAAAAAAAAAAAGUAUGCUGUUAAAGUGAAUUCUAUCAAUUUCAGUUGCCAGGAGCCACUUCAGUGCUAUACUCUUGUCAAUGAGCUAGAAUACAAUACUGAGGUCUAUGGAGAACCUCAUGAAACCACUGCCAGGAUUGGACAAAAGUUAACGGAGCUGCUUCACCUUUGUCAAUUUUUGUUAACCUCAGGCUUCACCAUGAGACAAUGUAGUCCCUACUUUUCCCAUGGUAUUUUUGGAUUGCAUUGGAAUGUAAAUUGAUACAGAUUACAUCUUUAUGAAUAAUGAAUAGUGACAGACCCUCUUUUUAACUAGCAAGAUUUUCCAUUUAACUAAAUAGAUCCUGAUGGCCGUAUUGGUGCAAAUACCAUCAUCUGCUAGUUCACUGCAACCAAAUGGCUUUAUAAUCCUUACAUAAAGAGAAUUUAAUUGUUUUAGCCCAGACUGUGGAGGGUAUUAUUAGACUCCAGACUACCUGACAGUUGCUGAGGACUAAAUUAAGCAUGAAGAAUGUGUUUAGGAAAUUGGGAUACUUUGCUAAAAACAAUGAUUUUACAAAAUCACUGGAAGAGCAAUGUUUUGAAGUUCAAUGAGGAAGGUUCAUGUAAUUAGCAUUUUCGCCCAUAAAUGUAUUUUUUUAAUGUAAAUUACAGAACUUGCCAAUGCGCUUAAUAGUUUCUCUGUGAAGCCCGCUGGUAUUCUGGAUUUCAUCUCCGCAGGAUCUGAUAAUGGUGACCACUCCAUAAAGGGUUGAAUAAUACUGUAAAAAUUAACACUGGCCUAUUAAAUAUUUGUGUGUGUGUGUGUGUUUCUUUAUGGGAUAGGUGUUUUAAUAUUUUAGAAACCUGUAAACUUGUCCCUAGAGAUACACAGGCCCCUUUUACCCCCCAUAUGCAGUAAGAACAAACAAAAAACAACAAGGGUUGUAUACACCUCUGCUCACCUCUCUGCUUCCUGUGAGGUCUUGCAGUGGAUAAUUGGGGACCUAUUGCUUUCUUUUGGGGCUUCCGUGUCAUGUGACAGAGUUUAACUCGGUCAGUGCAGAGGAAACUCUUCCAGUGGUUGUUCAUAUGACAGCCACUAGAGGUGGGCUUAUUUGCAGUUUUUCAAAAAUGUUUUACAUUGCAGGUGUGAAAAGAAACCAUGCUAGCUUUAGCUUAGUGCACCAAAAAAAAGUCAAAAUUGUGAGUGUAACCUGUAAAUUAGAAAUAAAUAUUAGUUUUUUUCCUAUGCAGCAAAUGAACAGUCCUUCACACCAUUCUGAACAUUGAAGCAGGUACUAAAUAUCACAAUACAUUUUUCUUUUUAUUAAACUCUGGGUUAAUUGCACACACCAAGAUACCCUAAUAUUUAACAAAAGUCAUGAAUAUAGUUUCACUUAUGGGAAUUUGCUUGCAACUAUCCUGUACUCGGCAAUUAAACUCUGCAGUGCUGCUUGACUGCUUUGUUACUGGUAUGUUUAUUGUUGUAGCUUUGGAACUUAAUAUCUUCUCUUUUUUUGCUCUUCAUGUCUCUCUGUAUUGUCAACGGAGGAUUGCAGAUAUUGACAUGGUCUUUAAGCUUAGAGACUUGUAGCAGUCCUACCAGUGUUCAUUUAGAUUGCCCUCAAAUCUGACUAAAGCAUGACCGCUUAAUCUAAAAUUUGCAAAUCUCUACUUGAUUUUUCAAAUUUGCAAAUGUAUUAAAUAAUUCUACCAGCUUUAAUAAACCAGGAUUUGCUGGCAACUCAGGAAGGAAUUUUCAUUUUUAGGAUAAAAUGCACAAAUUGUGGAAAUAAUAAUAUAGCUAUUUUUUGCUCACUAUUUUGGCCUAUAUUUAAAAUUCCUUGGUCAGUUUCUGAGAUUUCCUUAUUUAGUAAAUUACUCACAAGUUCCACAUUAUGAGGUGCCAAAGAUUCCCCAUUAUUAGUUUAGUCCUACAAAAGUAGGCAUGGAACACAAUUCAUCUUAGACAGGCAUACCGUUGGUUUAAAUUUCUAUUAUUGUGGUUAAUAUUUGCCUUUCUCAGCGCUAGGUAGACUUGGGACAAGAACACGGAUUGAAAGAGUUGUGAAUACCUAUUUAUUGUUAGGGAUGUGCAUGGGCAAAAAAAUUUGGUUAUGGGGGCGGGGCCUGACCGCCAAGCCGAGCGGAAGCGGUUCACAUCAGCUCCUGACCAAUACUCACACUAAAGCCCAAAUUCACUGCUUUGUAGCCCCUUCAGGCUUAUAAUCUACAACCGGAGACUCCUGGGCAUCUCUAUAAGCAAUUGGCACCCUGAGAUCUGGCACUUGCUUGCGUCAACCGACGGACAACACUCGAGGCCUAACCUGGGGCCUAGCGGAGGAGGGGGCCGAUCCUCCAACCAGGCCUGGCCAGGCAUACCGAGAGUGCGACCAGAGCCCUGUAACCCUCCACCCCGUGGUCCGGUGGGGGUUAUCCCGAACCCCACCAAUAUAGCACUCACCUUUGACAAUUCCCUGGGCGACCUCUGCACAAGCUGCUCCCACGCGGUCAAACCAAAAUGGCAGAUGGCAUGGCUGCCCCAUUGAAGCUGGACUUACUCCUGGAGGCCUUUUGGCAAAAGGGAGAGGCAGUGCUGCGCAGCCUUGAGGCAAUAUUCAUCUCCUGCAACCCAGCGGUCCAUGACCCUUCCGAAAUGGAAUGGAGUCACACCCAGGCGCUGGACGAGACGGAGAGCCAGACGGACUGACUCAGGUGCAAAGCCUACCAACAGAGCUUCCCCAAGGACGCCCCUGCCAAAACAAUACAUCUACGGCACCCCCAAACCACGCGCUGCCCAAGCAUUCAUGAGAAGAGGGACCCUCCCUCUUACAUGUCAUGAUAUUUUCUGUUUAAUUCUUGCAAAAAAAAGAAAAAAUGAGGUCAUAACUUUUGCCUGAAUGUCAUGCUGCAAUGCUAUGACUUAUCUUGUGUACCUGUUUAUGUAUUUUGUGAUGAACCUGACCUCAAUAAGACACAGAUUUAAAAAAAAUAUAUAUAUAAAUUUGGUUCGGUUCGGAAAUUCGGGUAAGUAAAAAAAUUUGUCUGCUUUGGCAGUUUGGACCAAUGACAUUCGGUUCGGCACUUUGGAAUUGCCGAAUGUUGUCACUUCAGAACUCUGCACUUUGGAACUUCGGCACUUCGGACAUUCGUAAGCAUCCGAAUGUCCGACAUGUAUGAAAUUCGUACGAAUGUACAUUCGGAAAGAAACGAAUUGCACAUGUCUAUUGCUCAUUUCAUUGGACAGGGAAUAGUGAAACCGAAUUGGGCAAGCAUGCAUUAUAUUGCACAAAAGGAAUUAGCUUAUUGGUCAAGAUUCCUGUCAUCAUUCAUGUAAUUUUCCCUCCCUCUCUCUUGUUUUGCCACUUUCCAGAAAUCCGAACCCUUUCGGAGCUUCAUCACUUGGGGACUUCGGCACUUCGGACAUUCGUAAGCAUCUGAAUGUCCGAAUGGCAUCAAAUUUGUACAAAUGUUCAUUCCGAACUAAACGAAUUGCACAUGUCUAGUUUUUUGUUUAGUCACACACCUAAGUGAAGUAGGAUGUUUCUGCUGGGUUCUAUUUUAGGGGAUUUUUUAGAGGUCACCUACAAUAUUAUCCUGAUGACACUCCAAUACGAUUAGCAUUAUGACCUUAUCAUGACAAGCAUUAAGCUAUUAAUUGGGUGAUUAUGAUGAUGUACAAGUUACUGUUUAUUCCUAAAAUUGUUGGCAAAUCUUUAGUUACUGAUGCAUAACAAACUUUUUAUAUUUUCAAGAUUGUUGUAUCACAAAAUAUGUAUAUGUAAGUAAUUCACUAACUAUGAAUGGAGGUUGAUAACGAUUUUGGUCACGUGACUUGCCAAAUUUCACAAAAAAACGUACACUGUGCUUAUAGAUAUGAUUUAUACUGAACUUUAAAACCACUUACAGGUGAAGUGAAUAACAUUGAUUAAAUCAUUACAAUCUUGGGUAUUCAUGUGGAUGUUACUUUAAUGUACCGCCUACCUAGAGAUUAUUGCAGACCAGGAACACCUCUUCAUGACAAAGGUGUUUCCUGAAGACAGUGGUCUCUUUCAGCAGGAUAAUACACCCUGCCACAUUGCAUAAAUUGUUUAGGAAUGGUUUGAGGAACAUGACAAAGCAUUCAAGGUUAUUGCUUUGGCCUCCAAUUUCCUCAGAUUUCAAUCCGAUUGACCAUCUUUGUCAUGUGCUGGAAUAAUAAAUACAAUUUAUGGAGGCCCCACUUAAAACUUGCAGGACUUAAAGGAUCUGCUGCUGUCUUGGUGACAGAUACCACAGGACACAUUCAAAGCUCUUGUGACCCAGCACUGAGUAUGAAAAAGCCAAGAGCAAAGACCUCUAAAACCAAUUUAUAUCUUGACUUUGAUAAUGUGGAUUUAUAUCAUUUGUAAAGAUUCUACUAGCCUGUGUUAUUUGGUUAUUUAGACAGAGAUAUGUUUUCUUUGAUCAUGCUCAGCAGUAAUUAAAACAGGAAUUUCCUUUAAUGUUUUGCUCUUUUGUCAAGGUUUGAUUAUGUGUAUUGAAUAAUUUUCUCAUUACAAUGGCCAAAUAGUAUAGAUUCAUCUCACGUUAUGAUACAUUCUGAUCUAGGUUCAGGAUCAAAAGUUGUGAUCACAGUGAGACAAAAAAAGAGGAUUUUACAUAUAUGUAAACUCAAAUAUUGUAAGAGUAAUGGUCUGGAUUUAUUAUAGUUAUGCAAUAUACAUCUUACUCCAUUAUCAAAAACAAGGUUAAUACCUUCCUAUAUGUUGAAGACAGAAUGUUCCAAUUUAUCUAUAGAUACAAAUCUUUAAUGAUUUCUUUUUCUUCCGGCUAACCUUCAAAAACUAUCCACUGACUGCAUGGUAAAGAGGCCCAUCCAGUGUUCAUGUAACCCUUUACUCACUGAUUUUGUUGACUGCCAUUAAACCUGUAGCAAUAUUAUUGUAAUUCUGUAUAUAACAGAACACUGUUUGUGAGGAUGAUUGGGCUGAUAAUUGUGAGCAAUUAACCCAUUCACAGUGAAUCAUCCCUUCAGCUGAAUAUAUGCAAUGGUUAUCUUUCUUCCUGAUGUAUAGUAAACAUUUUCUGUUUUUUCAUAGUGAAUCAUAGACAAAUAUAGCUGGUAUUUACAAACCUAUUCUAGUGCUACUAUAGUCACAACUUGUCAGUGCAGAGUUCUUUAUUUAUAGGUUAAAACCUAUUGUGUUAUCCGUUUUUGAUUGUUGAGAUAUUUAGAGAAAAACACAAAGGUAUAUUCAUAUAGUAUUUUGGAAAAAUAUAAAAACAUCCUAUUCCUAUUUUUUUUUCCAAUGAAAUAGUGCAAGAAUGAUGAACGUGACAACAAUGUUAGUGGUUAAAGAAAUACCAAUCGAUUUUCUUUUUCCCAUAUACAGUAUGUAGUAUCACUUCUUUAGCAGCCUUGCGUUUGCAGUAUUCUAUAAAUUGUGGUUGAUUUGUGUAGACCAGUCACUAACAAGGAAGUACAGUAGCUUUACUGUUCCAUCUGCAGUGGUUAAGCUCAGUCUGAAAACUGGAGCGUGGAAAUUAGGCAUGCAAUGCAGGAUGUCAUAGCCAGAUAACACUUUGGGUCCAGUUGAGCCCCUAUCUGGGGCUGCGACUCUGAAGAGGCCCUCCUCGGCUGGCAUACAACUCUCAACAAGCACACCCAGACAAACUCAGCCCCCCCAUGCAGCUGUCACCCUCUUCCAUACACUCUUACACGCGCAGACACACACACACACACACACACAGAAACAAGGAUUCUUUGGGGGGUGGGUUAUUCUAGCACCCUGCCUAGGGCACUGGACAACUUUAAUCCAGAGCUCAGAAUGUACAAAUAUCUUAUCAGUGACUAUAACAUGGUCUGAUCCCAAGAGUUACUCUAGUUAUAUUCACCUAGACUGCUGCAGGAUUCUGCAUCCACAAUAAAAAGCCUAUCAUUUUGGUUUAUGUGGUCUAACAUUGUCCCCUGUCCUGCAACGAGACAUAGCUACAGGGAAGUUUGCGAAUUGUGCAGUACUAAGUCACGGUCUGGAUGGAGAGUGGGUGCAGGGUUCUCUCACUACAUCAAAACAUUUUUCAUAAUGCAAAAUUGUUCUAGUACUUAUAGUGACCCUUUGAUGCAUGACUUGCCAUAACUGCCGUUGAUAGAAAAGAAUGGUCAUCAAAGACUUAAACAAUGAAUCAAAAUAAACUCUGUGCAAUUCAGCAGUUGUUUCAGUUAUUGCUAGUGUUUUGCUGCAGUCUGAUGCCUGUAGGAUAUAAAGUACCUGCAGUUUAAGUGGUUUUCAUGAUUUUGGUGUUCCAGCUCUAAUGAAGCUGUACAAUACAGCCGAUAUUUGCCAAAAUAUUGUUAAUCUUAAAGGAUCUAAAAUAAGAACUGAUGUAUUGUUAGUGCUAAUUAGAAUUCCUUUUAGUAAGAUCAUUGAUUGCAAUGGGCACAGGGUGUGAAUAGUACACGUAUGUGUACUCGAGACUCUGUGUACUCCUAUGAUAAUUUCAGAAAGAACAGAGCCCUGAAUAGGUUUAAUGGUUGGGUUGGUUUCAUCUCAUAUUGCACUUGUUGCUGAUUUUAACUAUAUGGUUGCCAAAUUCUCAACUAUUGAUCAUUAAGAAACAAUGGUUUUUUAUUAUUGUUAAAGGGUUAUUCCAACCACCAUGACUACUUCUGAUUUUAAGAAUCUGUUUCUGCUUGUAACACUGCACUUACAGAGAAAUAUGCACUAUUGUGCCAGAGGCAGAGUACAUACCAAGCGCACAUGGCUUAGGCAGCCCAGAACUACCCCCUUCCCCCUCACAUUUCAGCCCUCUCAUCCUCCAUGCAAUCCCUGAUGUACUUGAGGUUUGUCUUUGUUUUAUUCAAAUGCCUUCGCUCCCUUGUUAACCCCCAUUUCCUCCCGUACCUCCUCCAUGCAUGCACUCUGAGACGGUGAGAAGGACUCUUCGAGAAGGAUUUGAUUGGACCACAGAGAGGGAAGGUGUGACAUCAGAUGGGGAAUGGAAACCAGUGUGGGAAGCUUUACCUGGUUACAGGGAUUUCUUUUUUAAGUCUAGGAAAGAACCAAGUAAAUAAUGUCCAAGAGGGCAUUAUAAGUUGAAAUUAUUUUUUUUACCACAAAGUGUUAAAGUAAUCCUUUUAAGAAAAUAAUAAUUCACUGUAAGCUUGGUUUCUAUGAAAGCAUUUUGUUCUUCUCCAAACUUCCCUGAAAAUCGUUUUUUUUUUCUUGAUCAGUGGCACAGUAUCUCUUCUGCUGUCAACAUUAGGGAAAACAGUUAUCAAGGCAAAGCAGGUGCUAUUCGGGGAAAAUUGAUAAACAUGCUAAGAAUUGUUAUAUUGGUUUCCAUAGUGAUAUCUACUUAUCACUUUACCCCAGAAAAUCUCUUGUUGUGCCUUGAUCUGUGUCUCCCUUCAUGUUAUGCCCUCCCUGUUACUCAGUGAAGGUGUUUCUUUAACACUGUUCUGCACCCCUCCACCCCCCAAAGAUGAACUACAUAUAAGAGAAAGUAGUGGUAAUGGUGCUUGGAGGCUGUAUGUGCAGCAUUGCAUUAGCCAUUAGUCAUUAGACCUCAUUAGUAUAAGGACUCUGGACAUGCUAACGACUAACGCACUAAUGGGCCUCACAUUAAAGCCACUGACAGGUAAGUGAAUAACAUUGAUUAUAUUAGUAUACUGGCAUUUGUUAGGGGAUGGGAUAUAUUAGACAGCAAGUGAACAUUUCUUGAAUGUCAUGAGUUGAAAGGAGGAAAAACAGGCACGUUAGAAGAUGAGUAACUUUGACAAGGGCCAAAACUAGGUAAGAGCAUCUCCAAAACAGCAAGUCUUGUGGGGUGUUCCCACUAUGCAGUGGUUAGUACUUAACAAAAGUGGUGCAAGGAAGGAUAACCAGUGAACCAGAGCUGUGGUCAUGCUUUGAAACGUAUUUGGAUACUAGUCUUUGUGUGGUGUUUUACUUGUUGACUGAUGUUUAGUAAUUUAAGCAGUGCAGGUCUAGCAACUACAAUAUGAUGUAACCUUUCUACUUGACUGGUAUGAACAAACUGCAAGACUUGAGGUCUGUUAUUUGCCAAAUCAGCAGUAUGGAACUGCACUCAAUCCCUGUUCAAUCCGAAUCUGGGUGCAACCAAACCAGGUCUAAGUACCAAUAAACCAGAUGCUUAAUAUAGAAAAGCUUGACAAAGCCAAUGUAGGUCGAAACAUUGUGAUUUGGCUGUGGGUUAAUAAAUUGCCUUUUGUUGAAUCUUGGAGUGCCUGGACUUCUCUUCAUUUUCUAUAUUGAGGUCUGUUAUUAAUGCAUCACUGUCUCUGUUUGGGGACUUGCCAAAUUCCCAAAGUCCCCCGAAGGUGACAUCGCCACACCGGGUUCAUUGAUCGGGCUAGGGUAAAGAUAGGAUUUACUUAACUGAACCUGUCCCACGUGGGUGCGAGUAUCUUAAUCCGGCAGGGUCCUCUUCAGAGCCGACGUCACUGCUGUACUAUUGUGCAUGCCUGUAAUGGCUGUCAGGAUUGACUCUUGGACUCCGCCCUGAGUCUAAGAAAGUCAGGCGGAGGAGAAACAAAGUAGUCCCUACUUUGUCUCUGUAUAUCUGUUUACUGGGCUGGAAUUUCAAUGAAAUCCAACACAGUCAAAAUAAGCAUUUUCUAAAUAUUAUAUCUUUAAGAAAUACUCAUUUUUCAGGGGGAAAGGUGACAGUGCCGCUUUAAAUAACCUCUUAAUUUUUUUUAAACUUUCUCUCUUUUUAAUAAUAAUUUGCAUCCAUCUUGGCUAUGGUUUUGAGAUGGAAAAAUUAGUUUGCAUUUAAUAGAUUGCAACAAAAACAAAGAAUAUGAACGGACAAAAGCUUAUUAACUCAGCAGCAUGCCCUUCAGUAAAUUCCCUCUCAGGUCUCAUUUAAUACAUUGUAUCUUUAUUGAUUUAACCUGCUUAUGUGCAGACAUGUAUUCUGGUAUAAUUUACAAGUAUUUGUCUAGAAGGUUAAAAUUUAUUUAACUGUGUACUUUUUUUUCUUUUCUUUUUUGUUUAAAUCCAGAAAUUCCAACUAUAUCUAGUAUUCUACUCAGGUUUGGAGGAUGGAGGAUUUGAAUGUAAAUCAUUUUUUUGCACCUGUGUUUUUGUCUUAUAUAACCUAUAUGAUUGUGUCUGUUGACUCUGAAGUGCCAGUAGGGCACGAAAUGCGUUGGCAGCAUCACUAAUUACAUAAGCUAAAGUUUUUUUCUUUCCAUUUAUCUUUGUUGAUCAAGGUGUUUCUCUUCAUAUUAAGCCCGGCUUCCAUCCUUUGUUAUCUUGAGUGAAUAAGCCCUCCAUUUGUUUCUUGGAAUUUAUACAGAAGCUUUCUGAACUUAUUUUCAAUAUAGCUGGCUACAUGUAGAAUUGGCACCUACUCAGUGGAUCCAUUAUUGCACUCAAUUCUUCAUCUUCAGCCAGAAAGUUUUCAAUGAAAUUCAAAUUUGAAGACUUUACAUCUGCUUCAGGUGGAAUCAUUGAAGAUGAUCCUUCACUAGAAUUAAUAGGUUUUGUUCCUCUAAAAGCCUUUUUUCUCUGUUGAUCUUCAUCAUAAGUUGAGGGUUCCUUGUGUUAACCAGUUUAAAAAUUGGUCAUAACUGUGAAAGUUGUAAUUUAUUGGUACAUGACUCAGUCUUUUCCAGUUGUUUGUAUAAUCUCAAAUGGAUAUUCUGGACUAUCCCAAAGACAUUACAAUAUAAUACACAAUAUAUAGAUCAGAUAUAAUCAAUACACAUGAAUCCAUUAUUAAAAUAUGCACUAAUGAUAUUCAAUGGAAAGAUCUAGGUUUCAGUCAAUACCUGGUAUUAACCGGCAGCAAUCAAAUGUAGUGAUCCCACAAUGACUUGGCAUCCUGGUGGAGGUCAAAACUGAUCAGAUAAGAAAGAAACUAUGAUGUUGACACUUUACGGUAAUGAUCGGGAAAGGGGAAAUCUAAUAGGUUGUGGGGGUCCUUAAUACAGAAGGGACAUUUAUUGGCUGUGCCAUUCACUGAAUACCAGUGAACUGCCCAACUGUAGUUGAAAAUAUCCACUUUCUAAACUUCAGGUACAAUCCAAAAAAUGAAUCGAGCAAUAAAGGUAUAAUCAGGUAAUGGUCUCCAUAUGAAAACAUGUACCUGAAAGUCAUGAAGAACUCAACCUUGAAAAAGGCUGCUUAAGGUCCAUAAUCCUCACAAAGCUGAGAUUCACAGCAUGGGGGAGAAACAGGGAGGCAGGGUUGUUGUCAGCAAAUUGUACAAGUUACACGUUACAUUAUAAACUGGACUCCAGCAGUCCCUCAAAGCAAACAUGGUGAAUGCGUAUUCGAGGUGUUCUUGUAAAUGUGUAACCUUAUCGUUUACUUGACAUUUUCUAAGAACCUUUCCAUUAGAUUUAUGAGCCUAUUGUCCUCAUCUGCACAUUUCAUUAGUUGUUGCCAUGAAAUCAAAUACUUGUAAGGCACUGUUAGUAAAAUAGCACAUACCAUAUUAAAUACUAGAAACCAAACAAAGUAGAUUUAUUGAUAACUUUGCAGUUUUUUCCCCCAGUAUUCUAUUUCCAUAUAAAUAAAGCUAAGCAGGGCAUUUUAUUAUUUCAUAUUGCUACCGGUUUGCAUAUAAUGUUUUUGCUGAGUUAUUCAUGAGUCCUAAUUUACUUGUCCUGGUUACUUUGUUAAAUGAAUAAAUCUCUCAGAAACUUCAAUUGUCGUGUCGUGUAGUUUUGCAAAAUGAUGCCAGUAGCAUUCAAUGUGUUACGUGUUAAAAUCACAAAUAAACAUCCUACUAAAUGUAUUUCUUGUAUCAAAAUGUUUAACAUUUUAUUAAGUAAACUUAAUUAUCAAUAUGCAAAAAUUGGUAGCGCAGUUCUGCAUCCAAACCAAUAAAUGCAUGCAUUUUGUUUAGUUAAAUCUUGGCACCAUAACCACUACAGCACACAGGUUGGCACCUACUUUUUUAAACUUCCAAUAUUGUUUCAGUGAUCAGGAACCUAUUUCUAAAUCAAAAUUAGCCCUUUUACAAUAUAUAUAUAUAUAUAUAUAUGUGUAUAUAUAUAUAUAUAUAUAUAUAUAAUUGUUUUUUUGUCCUCGUUUGCAUCGAAUUCAUUAGCUGAGAAGCUGUGAGCAAUUAAGUCUAUUCAGUGGGCUUUAUGCUGAAAUAGUUGUAUUAUCUUGGCCAGAAUUAAUUCAUACUAUUCACAUGUGCAGAUGUUAUUGGUCAUUGGCAAUUUUUUAUUUUUGGAUCUAUGAAGGGGUAGUAAAGAAACAUGCGGUUUAAAAUACAAAAAAUUAAUUCACAUAUCAAUGCAUAUUUCAUCAUACACAGACAUAUGAGCUGGCAUAUUUUAUUGUGUUAAAGUAAAUGCAUUUCAAUUUGACAUGAAGCUAUACUGUAUGUUUGAAGCUUAUUUAAUAAUGUUUGGUGUCUUUGUUUGUUCUGUUAGGUUCUUAAGAAUUAACCAUGACUGACACCGUGAUAGGAAAUUCCUCUAACCGCUGGGUGUGUCCAAAUGACAGACAAAUGGCAAUGAGAUCCAAGUAUGUUUAAUUUGAAUAUUCUCGUUCUAUAUUGUUUUAUUUAUUGAUCAUACCUAAUUUUAUUUUACUGCCUUAGCCCUAUUCUUCCUUUUUUUUGCUUCCAUUUCUUUUUCUAUUUUCUAAACGAUCUAUUCUAUUUCCUCAGAACAUUUUGUAGCUGAAAGAGAGCCUGUCUCUUUUAACAGUAGUGACUGUUCACUCCCCUCCCUUGGGCUUCUCAUAAAGAUUAAAUUGCUAGGAAAUUCUCUUGAAGAAUGUACUGGAAGUUCAUUGAACGUUCAACUAAGUCAAAAGAUGGACUACUUUGUCUUAUGGUAAAUCUCUGCAUCGACAAAAGCUAUGCAGCACAUGAAAUAUUAAAGCGGACCUGUCACUUUUUAGUAUUUCAUAAAGAUAUAAUCUUUAUGAAGUACUGAAUAAGACUGCUUUGGAAUAUCAUUGAAAUUCCAGCACAAUCCAGAGAUACCAAAAGACAAAGUAGAGACUACUUUCUCUUAUGGUAAAGCCAGAGGUUGAAAAAGAAAAGAGGAGCUCCUUUGUUCUCUGUCCAAUCUCAGCAGCCAUCACAGAUGACAGCUGUGGGAUUCAAGCUUUGUCUAUGGAGAAUCCCGCUGUCUUGUGUUGUACUGUUGCGGAUGCACGAUGUAGCUUCUGGCAACUGAAGCUCCAGGACCCAAAGAGGACCUGCAUCCAUAGGCGGGUGUGCCGGGUGUGCCAGGGCACUCCCUAAUCCCUGCGGCUCACGCUAUGUGCCUUCAUGGGAGGCAGAAGAGGACCCGGGAAGCUCUAGCCAGCCGCUCUGCCGGGUUCCUCUCGCUAGGUCGGAGCGGACUAGCAGGGAUGGCACCUACAAAAGGUAAGAUGGGAAGGGGUCUAUUUCCUAAACGGUCCCCCCAACUCCCACAGUCCCUCCAAACAAAUAUACACAAACAGCACCCUCACACACACAGCACCCACACACAGCACACACUAACAUCACCAUCACACAUACAUCCACACACAUACAUCACCCUUACACACACAGCACCCUUACACAUAGCACACACACACAGUACCCUUACACACAGCACACACACACUAACGGUGUAUGUGAGUGUGCUUUAGGGUGCACACCCUUAUGCAAUAGGCUGCGCACGCCUAUGCCUGCAUCGUGAAGAUUGCAGUGGCUGCAAGGGACAACUGUAGGUAAGUAAAAUUUACCUCCCUAGCCCCCCAUAGCAAAAAUAUGCAAAAUCCCCCAAAAUUGACAGAUCCACUUUAAUAAAUAAAACUCAUGACAUAAUAGAAGAUAUUCAUUGCCGUAAAGUCUUUGCAUAUUUAUUAAGGGUUACUAAGAACAUAUAAAUAAAUAAAACUUUAAUCAUAACAUUAAUACAGAAUACCUUACCAAGCCAUUUGGCUAAUAGCCAACCUCCAAAAAACUUGGUCAUAUAGGUCUAUUCUCCUUCAAAAAAAGAACAACCGUACCCCUAACAAGGCACCAGUAUAAAAACAAUUCUUAAUUUCUAAAAAAACAACUUUUUUAGAAGACAAAUCAGUAAAUAAUAAAGAAAUAACUAACUAAAUAAAUAAUAGACAUAAUAAUAAGGGAGGACAGUGAUUAUGAUUUUGUGUCACUAACUCUGUUUCCAAAAUCUCAGACGCUGUCAGGUGAAAUGCUCAAGACACCUCUUUAUAGAGCUCAGAUUUGUGCCAUUUUAGCUUCUCGCGCCAGCAUGUUUCAAUCAGCUGAAAUAACCCCUAGCCCAGUCAUGGCUAACCUUGACACCAUAAAUAGUUUUCUGGACUACAUUUCCCAUGAUGCUCAGCUUUUAGACUCUAAAAGCUAGCUGAGCAUCAUGGGAAAUGUAGUCCAGAAACAAUUUAUGGUGUCAAGGUUAGCCAACACUGCCCUAGUCCAAACAAAAUUGCCUAACCUUGCAGAGCUGCAUAAGAAGCUCAUUGAAGCUUAUAAUCCAUUGCAUUUCAUGACAAAUGCAAAGCAAGUUUGGUCACGUCUGUGAAUAAGGCAUUUUCUUGCUCAUUGCAAGGAAAUAUCUAUGGAGGCUCCCUGGAUAUCACAGAUUUCCCAUAGACAUCAGUGUUGCACUCUCACAGAUCCACAAGAGUACAGCUUCGACACGGGCUCAUGGCAGAUGGACUGCCAAGAGCUUGUGAAAAAAUAUGACAGCCUGGACCAUCGCUGCACCCCGGACCACCGCAUCCCAUCUUUCUCUAUCACAAAUUAAAUUAUUCUUCUAAAUUACCAAUAUCAAUUCCAUCCCUAUUUAGUUGACAUUCAUUGCCUGAGCAUGUCAGUCGAAUGCCAUUCAAACUUUAACAACAUUGAUGAUAUUGCUAAUAGUAUUAUAAGAUAAAUGGUCCAGCCACAGAUGAUUCUUAGUUUUUGCCAAACUGCUCAAAAAUAGAUUGACAGCUAAUCAGAGAAAUGCUGGCACCAUAACCACUACAGUGAUCUGCAGUGGUUAAUGGUGAUUUAAAAAGCCCAUUUAACCCCUUAAGGACGGCAGGCAUGCUAUGCCGUCACUGGGGACCCGUUGCACAUCCAAGCCAUCCUGGCCUCUUAUCUGCUCGCCAGCGGUCCCACGCCGGCAAUCAUGAUGGGGGUACUUACCUGGCAUCGCAGGGAGUCCCCCCUGCUGCUGAUCUGGCCCUCCUGGGCCAUGUGAAUGCGAGGUUAAAAACUGGUUAAAAAAGGUUAAGUACAGUUUAAAAUUAAAUAGUAAACAGUUUAAAAUUAAAUAGUAUAUACUUAGAUCAUAUAUAUAUAUAUAUAUAUAUAUAUAUAUAUAUAUAUAUAUAUAUAUACACUUCCACUAGUGGGUGUUUUAAUAUACAUAAUUAUAUAUAUAUUAUCAAAAUACACGUAGAAUGAUAUUAAUUAAAUAUAUAUAAUCUAAAAAAAAUAGAUAAAUACGUUAAAAAUGAAAAAUAAAAAUGAUAAAUAAUUUAAAAAUACAUAUACAGUAUGUGUAAUUUCAUUCUAACUGUAUUUUCAUAUAUAUAUAUAUAUAUAUAUAUAUAGAUAUCAAAAUACACUUAGAAAGAAAUAAUAUAUAUAUCUAUAUACCUAAAUAUAUGUCACAGUGAGAAGCACGCAAGCGCCUCUAGUGGCUGUCAAUGAGACAGCCACUAGAGGAAAUAGGGGAAGGCUUAACCCAUUCACAAACAUAGCAGUUUCUCUGAAACUGCUAUGUUUAUUAAAAAAUGGGUUAACCCUAGCUGGACCUGGCACACAGACCACUUCAUUAAGCUGAAGUGGUCUGGGUGCCUAGAGUGGUCCUUUAAGCAUGCGUGGGAUAGGCAUAAGGCUAUCCUAACUAUAAGAUAAGGCCAGGGACUAAUGAAAGUAUUUAGAAAAUUGGGCAGACUAGAUGGGCCGAAUGGUUCUUACCUGCCGUCACAUUCUAUGUUUCUAUGUAACCAAUCUGGUGAAUUUCAAUGUGAAAAAAAACUAAAAAAUAUAAAAUGCUAUAUUUGACCCUGUAAGUUCCCAAAACACCAUAAAACCUGUACAUAGGGGGUACUGUUUUAUACGUGAGACUUCGCUAAACACAAAUAUGUGUAUUUUAUUGCAGUAAAAGCAAACAGUAUUAUGACAUCCACAGUUAAAAUGUCAUGUAGAACUAAAAAAAUAACAAUUUCUUAAUUUCUCACAUUUCUUUUAUAUUUUAUUCAUAUUAAAUUAUGUUUCAUACCUAAAUAUUUGAUGUUAAAUGAAAGCCCUAUUUCUCCUGAAUAAAAUGAUAUAUAAUAUAUAAGUGUGGGUGCACUUAAUGUGAAAGAGUUGAAUUACGGUUGAAGAGACAUAUAGUCAAAUUCCAAGUUUUGUUUAUGUUUUAUUUUGAUCAAAAUGUGUACAUUUGGCUCAGUCCUUAAGGGGUUAAGGACCUGGAAACAUAUGAAUAUUUUUAUAUUCUGCUAAGCAAGAUCCAUCACUGUUUUUUUAAAAUUUAAUCUAUAGUCAUAUCUAAUUCUUUCAGUGAGGGUAUUAUGUGUUGGAACUUACAUUGUCAGCAAUCAAGAAACUAUCGUAUUACAGAAUUCUGUUAAACAUCUGCACUUUUUAAUAAAAUGUUUAUUUGGAAAAGUAUUCUCUGAACAACAGUUUGUUCGUUCAAUAAAAUUAAACCAAGUGAUUCUCCUGUACUGUAUAUGGUAAUUUGACACCAUCUGCAGUCUUUUAAAAUAAUAAAACACAGUAAUAAAAAGAUUAUGUGUUCAUUUCGAUGCUUUGCUUAUAUUCUCAAUAGUUCCUGCUUAAAUAUCUGUACAAUAUGUGAGGCUCUUAUUAUGCUACCUGUUCAGGCACUUACGGAAUAAAAUACAAUAACACAGCACUCAAAGCUCUAAAUUUCACAAAUAUGUUAGAAGGACCAACUCUGAAUCUCCAAACAAGAGUAUACUCUCAUAAACAUCUAGUGCCCUCAUAGUGUUGUAACUAUAUAUGGAUUGAAGUGUCAACAAUACCAUAGUCCCUUUGGUAUUGCCCCUGUAACUACAGAAGAUAUUUUAAAUUCUUUGCCUCAUUUGGUAACUGAUCUUUUCCAUGCACCUCUACAGAGUACAUUACCAAAACGGUGUGCUCCAGGGCUUGACUUUAUGUGCAGAAGUGAGGGAGAGUCAUAAAAGCAAUUGUAAAUUCAGUUUUAGUCCGCAUUGAUCUUGCAAAACACCAUUGUAAUGGAUGCCUCCAUUCCUGGGGCUCAUGGAGCAAUCAUGGCGCUAUUUGGAGAGGAUGUCUUGGACUGGGUCUGUGUGCAUAUAAGGGGGCCAGGCCAUCUGAGGGCUGUGUGAGCCUGGGCCCGUUACAUGCACACAGACCCGGUCAGGGAGAUCUUUUGAGCCCCCUCCUGGGUCUUUGCAGAGUUUGCGCAGCAGGAAGGGGAGGAUGCUCUCUGCCUUCACCUAAGCGAUGAGUUCCGGCUUUCUGAGCGUUGCCGUGGUAACCACAGCAACACUCGAUUCCACAUGGCGCUGGGACUGGCGGGAAGAGCCUUCACCCAGUAUAGGUGAAGGCAGAAAGCCUCUGCAGAACCACCAGACCACCAGGGAAUAUGCUGCCCCCUCCCUGGAUGCUGGUAGGACACGGGGGGGGGGGAUAUACUAAAUCAAAUAAAAAAAUAUAUUACAAAAUAAAUAUUAAAAAAAGAGAUGCCCCCUUUUUAGCCCAAACAGCCCCAAUCCUGCCCAGCAAACACGCUCUCACACACACAAUGCAUCCAUCCACCCACACACACACAAUGCAUCCCUACACACACACACACAGACACACACACACACAUACACAAUGCAUCCCUACAUACACACACACACACACAAUAUUCAUACACACACACACACAAUAUGCAUCCCUUACACAUGCAGAAACACACAACACGUCCUUUACACACACACAGAAACAGACACUGAUUACUGGGACAGAGGGAAUCAUACACAUGGGGGGGCUGGGACAGAGGCGCAUGGGGGGAUGACACGCAUAGAUGGGUUGGGGGGGGGAUAAGACGCUUGGGGGCCCAGGGCAAUUUUCACAACGGGGCACAGUGAUUUGUAGUUACGCUUUUUCUGCUUGACUCCUAAGUCUUAUUCUGUACUGGCAGCUAUAAACAUUUUCUUCCAUAACAAAUCGAGACCCUUCCUGGAAUGGCAUCAUUCAUAUGAACAGUGCCCCAAUGAUCUUGGGAACUUUGUGCCAUUCUGUAAACCUGACUCUGUGUAAAGGUGACAUGUUUCUUUAUUGGAUACCUUUAUAAUGCACCGUCCGCUACAAAAGACACAUAUCAUCUGAUCACAUGCUUAAGAUCGCCAUCAUUUCAUUUCUCUGAUCUCUUUUCUUACUAUUAUCCAUUAAUAUUUGGAAUUCAGGAAACUAUAAAUUGUGACAGCAACUUGGAACAGAAGCAACAAAAUGCAUUUUGUCUUUGCUAAUGUCUCUAGCAAUGGUCAUACUUUAUAAAAUAUGUGACCCUAGGGGAUUAUUAUCUGAAAGAGAAUCCAUCAUUUAUUUUUUUUAACAUACCCAUGACACAAGGUAGCAUCAUAAAGUUUUAUAUGAUAGCAAAUAUAAGUGUCCAUUUUAUGUGAAACCGGAGUAUAGGGGUUUUCUGCGUUCACAGGGAUGGUUUGUCUUUCUUUCACUUGUGAUAGCACAAUCUGACAUUUUUCAAAGUGAUUAAUGUUACUCUGAGAUAGGAGAGAAGCAAUGAGAUACACCAAUUCAAUUGUAGAGGGAAAGAAGUGCAAGAAUUGACGCGUUUCAAACCAUUUCCCCAGUGAGCAUUGAUACAUUUGAAAUUAGAGGAGAAAGACUGGUGUAAGAGAACUUUACAAAACCAUAAAUGAUAGUGAUGAUAAGUAUUUAAAAUAUUAAUGCAAUGCUUUCACUCACAAGAAUAAUUGGAAUGCAGGUAAAUCUAGGCAGUGGUAUUAUUUAUAUCUUACUACUCUCCCCUCCCAGACCAGGGAGAAAAAACAGACAAAUAAAUCACCUUAGCAUGAACAGUAGGUAAAAAAAAAAUAUACAUGUUUAUUAGAAAAAGCAACAUUAUUACUUAAAAGGCAACACAUUUCAAGUACAUUGACUCUCAUUAUGUAAGGACUUUCCAGAGGCAAAAUAUAAUGUUGAAAAGAUACACUAAUCAAUAAAAUUGCACAGCUGGAUUUAUUAUUAUUAUUAUUAUUGGUAUUUAUAUAGCGCCAACUAAUUCCGCGGCACUUUACAAAUUUAUGAACGGGGGAAAUUUACAGUAAAUGAGAUAAUUACACAAUGACACAGGAACAAUAGGUAGAUGAGGGACCUGCUCAAACGAGCUUACAGUCUAGAGGAUAUUGUAAUAUAUUAUACUAGACUAUAAGGGUUUGGAAAAGGCAAAAACCACAAUGCCCAUAAUUCUUGAUUUUAAUGAUAAAAGCAUCAAAAUUAAAAAAAUAUUAAAAGACAAAGCACUAGGGAAUUCUAAAGGAAGGCGAGAUACUGAAAAUAUUCUCCCAGAUAAACCGAACAUUAUUUUCAGAGGUGCUCCUAAUGUUAAAACAUAUUUCACAAAAAUGUUUACAAAGAAAACUAUCACCUAUGACAAUUCUUUUUUAAAUAAUAAAAAAAAAAGGUUUCUAUAAAUGCAGGGACCGUAUGUAAUGCAAAAGUACUAAUAACAACAACACAAGAAUAUAUGAAUUUAAGUCUAAUCAUUCAGAAAAAAAGUAAAAUAAAAAAAAGCCUCAUCACUUGCAAUUCUUAAAAAGUUAUUUACAUGUUGGAAUGCCCAUGUGGCUUACAAUACGUGAGCAUGACCACUAUACAUCUAAAAACUAGAGUUGCUGAACACUGCAGAAACCUCUCCAUGGGAUAACCCCCUUGAUUAUUUUAUCUUUUUAAUUAUGUGUCUGUGGCUUCAGUAUUCAUUAAUGCUUCAUCUGAUGCUCAUUUAUACACAAUAUUAUACUUGACAUACAUGUGGAUUUAUAUAUUUCCAUUUUGGGAAUUUUCAUAUAUAUAUUAUUUAUUGACAUCAUUUUGUUUUAUUUCAUAUCCUUUUUGGUUUUAUUUAUUUAUUUUUAAUAUUUUCCUAUUUUUAAAUAUUUUUUUUGCCUUAUGACAUGCCCCUCUACCCUGCCUCAUAUAGGCUCCGAUGCCAUUUUGUUGUAGCCAGACCAUCACUAUCCUCAUAGAGCCCUCAUUUUUAUAAAUUAACUAUGCUCCCCAUUUUCCCUUUACUUAGGCUAUCCAGCCACCACCUCUAUUCUUUAACUUUAUAACAUGGUGGCCGUGCCUGUCACAUAAAGCGAGCCGUGGCGCAAUUUUACUAUAGCCCCAUAGAGCCGGUUUUGGCUCUCCAUCACUCGUUUUAGAAAUUAUCUCUCUUCCAUCCGACUAGGGCUGUACUUCACCGUUUUUAUCUAUUGAUGCUGGGGUCACGCCGAUCACGUGACACAGACCACGACCCUAUAAUGGUACACCUUCUACAUAAUUUUUUUUAUCUCUCUUAAGCCACAGACCUUGUUUUUGACUUUUAAUAACUUGAAUGAGGGUUGAAUUCCCCCUCUUGUUACUUAUGAAUGUUUAUUAUUAACUUUGAAUUAUUUUCAUGCAAACUUUUUGGACUAUCACCUGGCUAUGAUGCCUUGUGACCCUUUUUUUCAAAUUUGUUCAAUGCUAUAUAUACAUUGAAGGUCCUUUAUUAUUAUUACUAUCAUUUUAUUAUUUAUAUAGUGCCAGCAAAUUCCAUAUAGCUGUACAAUGGGUGGACUAACAGAAAUGUAAUUACUCUUGUCUGUAACACUUUUAAAAAGCUUGUUUACUGAGUGAAACCUGCUCGUGUUUUAUGUUCUUCUAUUUUUAUUGUUUUUAUAGUUGUUUCUCAAUAAAAUUACUGCAUUUUUAAUACCUUUGAACCUUCCUAUUUUCACCCUAGUGUUUCAACAUCAUUUUCCUUGGUAUGGAUUAUACCAUCUAUGCCUUUUGGAUUGAGUAAAAACAUUUUUUUGCUUUAAGUCAGUGAGUACAUUUCUUGUUAUUUUAAUUUAUUUAAUAUGCUGUAGGCACUAUAUUUUAUGUUUUUGUUCUAUGUAUAUACAUCUAAGAGUGUGAAAUGCACAUAUAUCAAAGACUGGUGGAUUCCAUUCCAUGUUAUUCACUACGAGUCACCAGAAGGCUCCAAUAAAUGUGAGUGUGCACUUUGGACACAUUAACUUCCCACUAAAAUAUCCAAAAUACUAUACUAAAGUAGUGUAAUUGCUUGCUUUUUUUCCCUGUGUAAAUGGACCACCCUCCUUGGGACCAAGACACCACGUUCAUAUCCACAGGCAGGGAUUUUUUUAUUUUUUUUUCACAUACAUUACAAAAAAAACAAUUAGACAUUAGACGUUAAACAUUAGAAGGAAAAUGACAUGAGGUAUGUGUAAGAACAUUACAAUUCGAUCACUUUCAAUACAAAAAGGAAGGAGGAUUUUAAAUAUAUAUAGUAAUUCCUAAGAGCCUUUUUUAUAUUCUAUCAAGUCCCUUCCUUAUAUAUUUAUACUUUUGAUGAAAUUUCCUACCUACCUAUAUUAAUCUUAAAAAAACAAAAAACAAAAAAACCCCACAAAAACAUAUAUUCAUUCACAAAAAAAAAAAAACACACUGCCCUUUGCUGAGAGUUAGUCGCGUAUUACUCCUGGGAACCUAAAAAAAGAACACUUAACAAUCAUUCUUUCUACCAAUCAGGCUCCGUAAAACUAUGGCUUUCUUAGAAAUUUAUGCACAGGUUCCACUACCCCAUCUACAAUUCCCGGACGUAUAAACCUUAAUGUAUGUUAAGUCUCAUUUCUUCUUCCUAAUUUUACAAUCCAUUUCUGCCAUUGUUCAAUUCAUGGAUUAUAAUAAUUAUCUUGUCUCAGUAUCCCUAUUUCCAUUUUACAAUUAUUCAAAACCUGAUGUUUUAUCAUCUCCCAAGACGGGGAAUCUGAAGUUUUCCAAAAUCUUGCAAGAGUGGCUUUAGUUUCUACAAGGAUGUGGAUAAUUAUUUUUUUUUUAUCCUUUUGAAUUGUGGGCCAUCCAAUAUGUAAUAUCAUAGAACUACAAGUAAAAUCGAGAUCCACCUCUAUUUCUUCCCUGCAGAAUUUCGCUACCUUUUGCCAUAAUUGAGAUAUAAUCGGACAUGACCACCAUAUAUGAACAUAAUCUGCUCUAAAGGAAGCACAACGCCAGCAAGGAUAUUGCCUUCCUGGAUAUAUUGUUGCUAAUUUAGCUGGAACAUAGUGCCAUCUAUUGAUAACCUUAUAAUGACUUUCCGAUAGAUUUAAACAAUGUGAAGCUUUCAUUACUGCACUAUUGGCCUUAAGCCAUUCGUUUCUCAUAAUACUGAUUUGUAAGUCUUUUUCCCAGGCUUUUAAAGCUGGAAAUUCAGGGGAUGACUUAUAUUUGCUACAGAUUUUGGAACAUUUAGAGACUAAAUUUUUACUGUAUUUGAUAUUUAAUAGAUUUAUAAAAAUGUGUAAUUCCUCAGAGAUCUCCACUGUUCUAUUUAAAAAAAAAUAAAAAUUUUUUUAUUGUUUUUCAAGAGUAUAUACCAUCAUAGUAUGGGGGAAGAUCUCCACUGUUCUGUGUCUCAUUAAGAAAUAUUUUAUCCUUAAGUACGUAAAACUUUCUCUAUAAGAAAGGGAGAAGGCUUGUUUGAUCUCUUCAACAGGUCUAAUCUGUUGUUGUUGGAAUAACUGAUUUAUUCUAUUAAUGCCUUUAUCUAACCAUGGUUCAAGAUUGAGAUCCUCAAUGUUAAUGGACAAUACGUACAGGGGUAGAUCAAUGAUGAUUUUGUCUAUGAUUUUAAAUCUUUUUUUCCAGAUUCUCCAUUGGGCCAGUAAAUUGUCUAAAAUUAGACCCAUAUCAUCUCUCUCACACUUGUGUAUAUUCCAAAAUAGAGCCAUUAAAUCCGGAACUUCCACUUUUUAGCCUCAAUUUUUGCCCAUGAUUCUCCCCUAGAGCUCUCUUUCAUAGAGGAUAUAAUAUGUGCCAAUGAACAAGAUUCAUAUAUAUCUGUAAUGUUGGGAACUCCCAUCCCUCCUAAUUUAGGCUUUAGAUUCAGAAUUUUUUUGCUAACCCUAGGUUUUUUUCCAAGCCAUAUAUAUUUAUCUAAGGCUGAUUGAAUCAUCAUGAGCCAUGGUUUAGGCAUUUUCAAUGGUAACAUGCGGAAUACAUAGCUCCAUCUGGGGAUCAGGUAAGCCUUUACAACAUUGAUUCUGCCUAUCCAAGAUAUCUCUGCUGUUCUCAUAUCUUUCAGUUGUUUAUUAAUUUGCAUCAUUAAAGGCAUAACGUUAUAUUCUAGAAUCCUGACAGGAUUACUAGAGAUCUUUAUACCCAGAUAAACAAUAAAAAAUUUUGCCCAUUCAAAACUAUAUUUCGCUCUAAUGUAUGAUUUCUCCUCCUUAUUUAUAUUUUUGGCGAGAAUAGUUGUCUUGUCUACAUUUAACUUAAAAUUGGAAUACUGCCCAAAUUCAUGAACCACCCUUAACAGUUCAUCUGUUGAUGUUAUAGGAUCUGAUAUAGUGAUUAAGACAUCGUCUGCAUAAAGUAACGUUUUAUAUUCCUCUUGGCCUAUUGUAAUUCCCUUAAUUUUCUCAUUAUGUCUAAUAUCACAAAUCAGGGGUUCUAUAUAUAGCAAGUAUAACAAUGGGGACAAGGGACAACCCUGUCUUGUCCCGUUCCUUAUAUUAAACCACUCAGAUGCUUGCAUAAAUUUUUAUAUCAGAAUUGAAUAAAGAUAUGGGGUGAUAAUUCCCUAGAAAUUCCAUAGGUUUAUCUGGCUUUUGUAUGGGAAUUAUGUUGGCGUAUAGGAAUUCAUUGGGUAUAUCUUUUUCUCUGACUAUAUUAUUAAAAAGAUCUUUAAGGUGUAUUGCUAGGACGUCCUGGAAUUGCUGAUAAAAUAUAUUUGGAUAACCAUCCGGCCCCGGUGUUUUUUUUUUUUUUUUAAGGACUUAAUUGCACUUAUUAUUUCAGUUUCUGAGAAGGGUUCAUUAAUAGAAUUCAAGUGUUCCCUUGAUAAUUUUUUUAGAAUUUUAUUUUGAAAAUAUAUUUCUGGAUUAUAAGGAUAAUUGGGUAAGUUAUAACAUUUUUGAUAAAAGGAAUUAAAUGCUUUACCUAUAUUUUCAGGUGUUAAUUGGGUCCCAUCCUCUGUAAUAAUUUUUUUUAUUAAUUUAUUCAAUUUCUCACCUUUGACUUUGUUUGUGAGCAUUUUGUUUGCUCUAUUUCCUCUAUAAUACCAUUUUAUUCUUAAGUAUUCCAGUUUUUUUGAAGUUUGUAGAAGUAAGAUUUUAUUGAUUUUAUUUUUUAUUAUUGCUAUUUUCUCACUUAUCUCUAUAUUUGGAUUAUUUUUAUUGGAAUUUGUUAAUUUAUAAAGAGAUACAUAUAAUUCUGUUAGAGGAGCUUCUUUAUGUUUUUUCUUAAAUGAACCUAAUUUAAUAAAGUGUCCCCUCAACACUGCCUUAUAUGUACACCAAACUAUAGUGUCUGGUGUACCUUUAUUUUUAUUCUCAUCAAAGAUACGGUUUGUUAAAUCUUUUAUUGUAUUUAUAUCUUGAGCCUCCUUCAGGAGUGUUUCAUUAAGUCUCCAACUAUUCCUAAUUUUAAUAUCUGGUGAAAUAGUAAAAUCGAGUAUUAAUGGGCUAUGAUCUGACCAGGUUACUUCUUGAAUCAGAACCUUUUUGAUCCUAUAUGAAACCUCUGAGUAACCUAAAAAUAAGUCUAAUCUAGAAUAAGUACAGUGUGCUUUAGAAAAACAAGUAAAGUCUUUUUCUAGUGGAUGGUUAAUCCUCCAUAAAUCUAAUAAUCCAUACUUAUUUAUCAGAGUUGAAAACUGAAUUGAUGAUUUCUUUCCCCUUUUAUCUUGAAUGACCCCUGUUAAUGAAUUCCUAUCCAACGUUCCGUCCAAGAUACAGUUAAAAUCUCCUCCCAUAAUAAUCUUGCCCUUUCUGAUUUUUUCUAGUUUACUCAAAACCAUUUGUAUAAACUGAACAGAAUUAGUAUUAGGAGCAUAGAUAUUUACAAUAGUAAAUUCUUCAUCUUGUAUUUUACAUAUAGCUAGAAUAAAUCUUCAAUUUUUAUCUAUAUCCUGGCAUGUGACUUGAAUAUCUAGAUAAUCUGUUACUAAAAGAGCUACUACACAUUUCUUUUUAUCCUCCAAUGAGGAGCAGAGUUGAGUUUUAAAGUUUUUUGGGAUAAAGCAUUUUGUAUCUCGCCUUAGCCAAUGGGUUUCUUGUAGUAAUAUAACUUUUGCGCCUUCCUUUUUAAUAUAUUGAAACACCGUGGCUCUUUUAAUUGGGUUGUUUAGUCCCUGUGCAUUUAAUGUCAUAAACUUAACCAUAAACUAUCCGUCUGUGACUCGCGACUAUGACCCUCAGCAAAAAAGCAAAAACAUAAAUUAAAAAAAACCACAUACCACACUUACAUUCAUAUGACCUCAUGUGAUUCAAACAUGAGCAAUUCCACAUCCACACUAUUAAUACAAAAUUCCAUCUCCACUCCCACUUAGUGGAAGACAGAAAAUGCAUCCCAAAAUCCUGGGUUUGCAUCCAAAACUCACCCCAAAAAAUAUGGAGUUAGAUUGGGGGAGCGUGAGGGAAACCCUCCUCUAGAGUGUCGCAGGAAGUCUAUAUAAUCCUUAUAACAAAGAGAAGGAAAAAAAAAAAAAACACUUCUUUUCCCCCUCUAGCCUAGUCUAGAAUAUAGUCAUAUUACAUAGUAGCCACUUCCAUUUCUUGAAUAGCGUUUUGAAUUAAUAAAACAAUAUCAAAAGUCAGAUAUGUAACCAGGCUACAAUCUACUCCAUUCGAUUAAGCGAACUACACCGGAAAGAGUUUAUCCUUAUAGCUUAGAGAGCAGUGUCAACAGUUCAGAAUGUAGUAGCUUCAAGACCCUAAAUUACACCUUAAACGACUCUCUUUAUAUAACCACUUUAUAUUGAUAAAAUCAAACUAAGCAAUCUGUGCAUUUUUCAAACAAAUUAUGUGCAGAGAAUUAUACUUAAUUCCAUUAUCAUAAUUACAGCAAAAAGUGUAGAGAGAAAAAAACCCCCAAAAAACCACACAUUUAUAUAUACAUUAUCCUAUUCCCCACUAGCAGACAGUUUACAAUGUGAUUAUUUCAAUUUCUUAUAUACCAACUUUAUAUUAAUGAAAUCAAUCUAUACAUUCUAUGACUUUUUCAAACUAAUACCAUAUCAUGCAAACCAUUAUAAUUGUUUUAACUGUUGAAAUUGCACCAAGAAGUGUCAAAGAAGAAAAAAAAAAAAAAGACAAUUUACAAUGUGAUUAUUUUCAAUUUCUUAUAUACCAACUUUAUAUUAAUAUAGUGAGUCUUUGUAAUCUAUGGCUUUUUCCAAGCAAUAUCAUACUGACCAUAUAGUCACAGGCAGGGAUUUUACCGCCCAGGUGCAUCAAUAGGAGAUUAACAGCUCCACACACUGUAAGUGCAAUUCUUUCUUUUUUUCUGCAAUCAACAUUAAUCUACUACUCAAUGUCCCCUGGUUUCUUGUCCUCUUUCUUUUGUUUCAUAUUGACAUGGACCUGAGGAUAUCAAGACGCUGCCCACUUUCCCCCAUAAAAUAGUUACUCAUGACCAGAUAAGAGAGAAUCUGGAUGAGGUUGUUUAAGCUGCCUACCACACUACGUAACAAGCGCUAAUUACCUUUCCUUUCUCAGAGACACCCCAUUUGCAGCAUGUGAAGGAGACUUUAGUUAAAAUGUAAAAAAUAAAUAAAGAAUAAAAAAACUGACCUUGAAAACUUUAUUCAUAUUACAAUUCAGAUUAGAGAAUACAACUAGAAUACAACUUACAGGACCAAACAAACCAAAAAUUAAUUGUACCAAUAUUAUUUGUAUUCUUAUUUGUCACAAGCUUGUUAUAAUUAAACAUCUUAAAGGGUUACUGCAAGUAGUUGUAUGUGAGUCUUCUCUCGAGACUUGGCUGUCAGUGUGGCUAUAUUACAUUUUAAUUUUUCCAGACUUUUUUUUUCUAUAAGGACUUUUUUCCAUUUGAAAAAGUUGCGUCACAUUAUAAUAGAUUUUUUCAGGUAUUAGUUUUGUUGCCCCUCCUCACUAUUAGGGUGAUGGGGGUAGGUAGGGACAUUUAUGUUUAUAAGGGUUGGUUGGGGGAUUGGGGACCCCUAGCCACUUGGGUAGGACAUACUACUAUGUGGGGGGUGGGCCCUUUAGGGCCAUCACAAACCAACGAUAGGUGGGAGACUUCUGAUAAUCCCCGUAUUAUUACAUCCACCCACUGUCAAUGAGUGGAAGCCUGGGGGUUCUAUAUGUCCUUCCCCAAAUAUUAUAAUAACUCGACAUGCUGACCAAUGGUGGAGAUGGUGGGAGCAUAAGUAUGUCUGCCCCUCUUUUUUUAUCACGUAUCCCCAUUCACUGGCCAUGGUUAGGGAUGGGGGGACUGGAUAUUAAUCUAUUCACACUCCAUUUCCUCUUUAACAGUACAACCCCCAAUUCUCCAUGGUUCCCCUGUUAUUUCACAGGAUCCAUAGCCAUACUUUGUAUAGGACUCAGAUGCAACAGCACUGAUUUUACUCCGGACACCGAAUGCAUCUGGGCAAUUUCUGCAGAUUUACUCAGGGCAACUGAAUUCCAACAGUUUUUGGCUUGAAUAAAUAUGAGACUUUCCAUUGCGGUCAGUCAGAAUUCGAUCAUUUUCAUCAGUUUAGUGAAUAACACCAUUAGAUUUUCAAGGGAAAGGUUUUUUUCUUUCUUUUCUUAACAUUAAAGGGACAUGCAUCACUUAAAAAAAUUUUUUUUUAAACCAACAAGAAAAACUUAUAAUAAAUGCUUAUAAACGUAUUAUAAACUUGGUCAGAUUGUAUUACUGGACACGGUUCUCGGGUAAGGAAGUUUAUUCAGCCUACACCCCAUCCCUCUUAUCUAACCCACCUCACAAUGUUGAAUAGCAUGAUUCUCUAUCACAUGCUGUUACAAACUGCUAUUUGUAUCUGGCCCUUUAAAUGGCAAAUUGCCCUGCUUCCCUGGGUUGUGGAGAAGCCUAUUUGCCAGCCUCCUUCCUCAUGACUAUGGCCCCUGGGAGAUUGUGAGAACUUAUGCACUUUUAUUGUGUGUAUGGCCCUUUAAGACAGCCAGUGGGCAUAUUGGGGCUUAUGGACUCUUUAUGGGACUGGUGCUGGCCCUUUAACUACCUUUUUGGGACAUCAGGAAGAUUGGGACACUGCCCCUUUAAGACGGUGUCCCCAGACUUGUUUGGGACACUGCCCCUUUAAGACGGUGUCCCCAGACCUGGUUAAAACCCCUUGUGCCUGGCUAUUUCCCAUUUGGUUCAGUAAAUGGGGCUUACUGAACUAAGUACCACACAGGCAGACCACCCAGAAGUGGAAGUGUGCGGCUAAUUUACCUCCCAGAAGCUGCGGUUAACCGCAACUUAAUUGACAAUGCUGGGUGGCCUUUGUUCGUUUGCCGAACACGUGGCGGCGGCUAUCUUUGUUAAUGCGAACGAGUUCAGCGGUAUGUGUAGCCAAAUUCAUGGAACUAAAAUCGGCUACACAUUUCCGCGAACACCGCUGAGCUGUACCUUUUCCCCUACUGAUUUUACAGCUGCAGAGACUAAGUCCCAUUCGGCGAUGGGACUUAGUCAUUUUUUCAGCCUGAAAUAGACCGACCGCACAGCCCAAAUCUAUGAAUCUGUUUUGGGCAGGAAAAUGUGCUUGCGGUCGGUCAUGAAGGGACCUCCAGCUAACUUUUUAACCCCUGGAUGGAUUUGGCUGAUUUUUGGUUAUGUUUGCUGAUAAUAUGUAAUUUUUAUGAAGAUUGGAUGUGUAGUUUUAAAGUUAUAGUACAUGUAUAAAAACUGUAUUUUUCCUGCUUGUGAUAAUUAUGUUAAGCAUUGUGUGCCAUAAUUAGAUCACAGGCAGAGGGGAGGAUUUUUGUGGGUAAUUGCUGGGAGUGUUUUCUGUAAUGUACGUAUGUUAUUGGUUAUCCUGUAAAACCCUGUGGGUGGUCCUAUGUAGGGAAAACCUGCAUAAAAGAUGGCCCUUUGGUGCCAAGUAAAACAGAUCUUCUUGACCCUCAAUACGUAGCCUUGUCUCGUUAUUGGAGGGAACUGCUAUAUCACACUGGGGAUUGCUAUGCUCUGCAUAUUCCCCUGAGCUUUUAAUCACUUAGCUCUUUUAAGAGCUGUUCCUGUUACGCUCUCCUGGAGGAGAGGUCUUCCCCACACGGUCCUGGAGGACAGAAGCUGAUCCAGGGUGGAAGGAAGACGGCGAGACUCCAGUUAAGCUACGGCGGUUGUGGAGUCUGCGGUGGUUGUGGUGUCUGCUGUAGUGUUUGGAGUCCUCAGGAAGCGCUAGGAGCAUCCAUCAACGGAGGGUACUCGGUCGGAGUACUGGGAGCUCCGUUACACAUGCCUUAGGAUACUGUUGGUUCCUUGAGUGUACCUUAAAAUCUACUAAAUACAGAAUUCUGCAUAGUUUUAUUCAGUAAUUUAUUUGCUGAAGCUAUUCAAACAUAUCUCAUUCCUUUAUAAUCCUUUAAUAAUGUCGAGGUUUGUGGAAAAACAUGUCAUUAUUAGAACUUAAUGGUCAUAAAGCUAAAAUGCAUUACACAAAAACACUACUCAUUUUUUGUUGUUGGUAAGUUUAUACAUAUAAGUUUGGGAGAUGAGAGCAGGUAGUAUACCUUUCACAUGGAACUUAUAAUAUAAAUAUUUUCUAGUGUUCGCCGAGCAGGGUUGUGCAUACAGAGGUUUUAGUAGAUAAGAUGAUAAUCUUAGCAAUGUGUAAGAAUUAACAAAAAAAAAAAAAAAAAAGUAACUAAGUAUAAGAAUCCAGAAAUUUUGUGCAAUGGAACUAAUAUUGCACUCGCAUUCGUUUAAUCAUUUCAAACUGCAUGAAUCCUCUAUGAGAUGGCACAGUGCAUUUUAGCUAUCCUAGUCUCUAGGGACGGAGAGAAAAUGUAAUCAGCUAAACUCAUUACAAUGUUAAUAAAAAGGGAAGUGUAAAUCACUCCUUACAUUAGAAUCAGCAGGUGCUCUCAAAAAAGUCUCCAUUUCAUGACAUUACAGUAACAAAUUACAUUGAAAGGCAGUUGAUCUAUUCUGAAAACAGUAGGAUUUUCUUGAUGAAUAUGAUUGCUGGCUGGGCUAAAAGCUGAAUUCAUAGCUUAGAAAUAUGCAGGAUACUAUGGGGCUUGAGAUGUAUUGGGUAAUUUCUGCUGUCAAUUAUUGCUUGAAUAUCAAGAUUUUACAUAGCUAAAAUAUUUAUUUAAAAAAAAGAAAAUACUAAAUAGGUUUAUCAUUAAUGGUUGGUAGAUUUUAACCACAUGAGGAUGUUUCAUCCAUUAAAUAUGUAAUCAAAAUAGCCAAUAAAUUAUUGUAAUGCCACUUGCAUCUACUUCAUGCCAAUGCCUCUAAAAAAUGAAUUGGAAAAGAUAAACACUGUGUGAAAUCAAUACUAUAUGGUUAAAAUCACCACUAUGACCUUGUUUUAAUAGGCAUUCCAAAUGAUUCAAUAUUGUUAGGAAAACUUUUUUUUUUAUCUACAAAAAAUCCCAUAGACUUUAAUGGUGACUUGGUAGAUUUUAAUAUUAUUGGGUAAGCUUUUCAAAUGAUUUCAUAUUUUUAGAUACACUUUUCAAAUUAGAUUUUUUAAAAUAUUAAAAUAUAAAAAAUAAAUAUUGUAUAAAAAAAUAAACAUUACAAAAUGAAAAUAUUUGUCAUAAUGUUAAAUCAUUUUAAAAGUUUACCCUCAAAUAUUAAAUAAUAGGAAAAUUGUGUCCAACAAUAUUAAAUUGGGCCUCUAUAAGAUGCAGUUGUUACCUUAGUAUAAAUAACAUCAAUUUUAUGUAGAUGUAAAGUGGAAAAGACAAGUUAGCGACCAGAGGUGUUGCUAAGGUCAAAAAACACUAGCCCAUAAAGGCAGCCUACAUAAUAAGAUCUAGAGCUACAGGCUCCACAUACAGGCUUUAAGAUUCCCUCUUCCCACCACCCCCAUUAUCAAUACCUCUGAUAGCAUUUGCAAACUCUCAAUACAUGAAUUGUAUAUUUUAAUAUAUUUAAAGGGAACCUUUUAGAAUGUUACAUAGUUAAAUACACUGAUCAGCCAUAACAUUAAAACAACUGACCUUUGCAGUGAAUAAGAUUGAUUAUAUCAUUACAGUUACACCUGUUAAAGGGUGGGAUAUAUUAGGCAGCAUGUGAACAGUCCGUUCUUGCAUUUCAUGUGUAAGAAGCAGGAAAAAUUGGCAAGUGAAAAGAUAUGAAUAAUUUUGACAAGGGCCAAAUAGUGAUGGCUAGUCUACUGGGUCAGAGCAUCUACAAAAUGGAAAGUCUUGUGGGGAGUCCGUGGUUUGCAGUGGUUAGUAUCUACUAAAAGUGGUGCAAGGAAAAACAAUCAAUGAACCAGCAUCAGGAUCAUGGAUGCCCAGGACUCGGUGAAGCAUGUGGGAAGCGAAGGCUAACCAGUCUGGUCCGAUCACACAGAAGACCUACUUUAGCUCAAAUUGCUGAAAAACUUGCUGUCUUGCUGGCCAUGAUAGAAAAAUAUCAGAACACAGUGCAUUGCAGUUUGCUGUAUGUGGGGCAGGGUAUCAACCGAGUGGUCAGAGUGUCCAUGAUGACCCAUAUCCAUGGUCAAAAGUGCCUUCAAUAGGGACGUGAGUGUCACAACUGGACCAUGGAGGAAAGGAGGAAGGUUGUCUGUUCUGAUGAAUCAUGUUUUCUAUUAGAUCAGGUGGAUGACCCGGUACAUGUUUGUCAUUUACUUGGGGAAGAGAGGAAACAGGAUGCACUAUGGAAAGAAGGCAGGCCGGCAGAGGCAGGGUAAUUCUUUGGGCACUGUUCUACUGGGAAAUCCUGGGUCUUGGUAUUCAGGUGGAUGUUACUUUGACACACACCAACUACUUAGAGAUUGUUGCAAACCAUGUACACCCCUUCAUGGCACUAGUGUUUCGCUGAUGGCAGUGGCCUCUUUUAGUAGGAUAAUGCACUCUGUUGCACUGCAAAAAUUGUUCAAGAAUGGUUUGAGGAACAUGACAAAGAGUUCAAGGUGUUACCUUGACCUCCAAAUUCCACAGUUGUUUAGACAGCAUGAGAGGAAUCUUCAAAAUAUUAGACAGGUGGUUUUAAUUUUGUGGCCGAUCAGUGUAGUAACAUAGGCUGAAAGAGACAUACAUCCCUCAACUUCAGCCUUUCUCAGAUCUGUUUUUAUUGUUGAUCCAAAUCUAGGCAAAAACCCAGUUUAAAGCGCUUUUUAAUCAACAGAUUUAGAUUUGUUUACCUCUCAUCAGAACUAUAAUGUUCCAUUCCUUUCAUCAAUUUUGUAGACUACCUCUGCAUGCUCUCUAGUGCCAUAAUAUCCUUCUUUAGAGCAGGUGCCGUUUAGAGUGUUAGUUGCUUGGACAGUGGGUAGUGAGGUUGAUUGACUGGGGCUGGAAGGCAGGGGGUUAAUAGUGAGCAGUGAGGUUGGGGCUGUGUUAUGUCCCAAAGUGUGGGCUGGCACUUAAUUAGUGAAUGUAAUGCUGUGAGUGUCCACUCAAUAAAUUAUACACACAGACAUGAGGUCUCAAAUCUAGAGGCAGUGUAUUACUUACUGUAUACAAGGUAAGUCAACACAAAGCGUUCUUACUAAACACAUUAUAGAGCUUCCUUUGUCUCAGUGUCUUUCCAAGUUGGCUGAAAUCAGUUAACCACAAAAUGACUGCUGCUUCCAGAGGACCAGUAUACCCUCCUUCUCCCAGCAUGCACUGCAGCAGGAAAAAUGGGAAAGGCAUAAUGCCACUUCCAACCUGGAAAAACUCUGAGACAGACGGUGAGUCUGUCUAAACAUCACAUCUCCUCUCCUUCCCUUUAAAAAGAUAAAUAAUAUUAAUAAAAAAAAGACAAACAAAAAAUGAAAAAGUAAACAAACACAAGUAAGAGAAAACAAGGAACUAAAUACAUAUAGUGUAGCACGGCAAAUCAAUCCAACAGGGUUACAUCUUCAGAGCAUUUCGGUGUCUCCCUUAACACUUUAUGAGCUCCUUGUCUCUGUCUUUGCAUAUCAGAUGUAUUCCACAAGGUUUCAUUGCUUUGCCAAAAAUAAGUCUGAUGUCUGUGAUGAGUAGACUUUCAAAGUUGUACAGCACUGUUGAUCCUCAAUGUAUGUGGAGUAGUAAGGGUUUGUUCCAGAGGACAUAUCAAUUUCUAUAGCGUCAGGCACAUUUCUUGAUUCCUCAUGAAUAUGGUCACCAACAACAUCAUUGUUUGUAUUGAGACUUGAGGGAUCAAGCCAUACACCAUGCCAUAUGUCACUGGCAGAGUCUGGUAGGGAAACUCUGGUUUGUUGAAAUGAUUGUUUGAGUUGGUGAUCUUUGGUGAAAGUUUGUGUCUUCUCAUUUGUGAAAUGUGCCACCGAAUACAAGUGCCGUUAGUGAGGUGAACAUGGUAUGAUUUAUUUCCGAUCAUUCUGUCUAUGUUUCCAGGAAGUCAAUGAGGCCAUCCUCUGUAAUUCUGAAUCCAUACAGGAUCACCAAUGUUAAAAGAGAAUAGAGAAGGAUAUGUUGUUAAAUGUUUUUUUUUCUGGACAAAAAAAAAUCAACUGCAACUUUGCUUAUGCUAUCCAAACAAAGACAAAUCCGGGGUCACCCCAGUUGUAGAGUGUGGUGUGUUUCGGUAUGUGGUCAAGAAUUCCAGCAGCUUCUCUUCAGACAUUCCAGUCUGGUCCAUAGUAGUUAGUAGGUGUUAAUUAAAAGUCUGAUCAAACCGUUCUGCCAGCCCAUUUGAGGAUGGAUAAUAUGGAGCUGUUUUGAAGUGGAUGAUGUUCCAAUAGCUCCAGAAUGGGUUCCAAUAGCUCCUUGCUGUAAGUUUGUAAUUUGAGAUUUGUAGGUCUUCGUAAUAGUGACAGGCCUAAUGCCUUUAAAUCAGUCCAUGAAAUGACAGACACAGCUGCCCCUCUAUCAACAUGCAUGGAGAGGAGACAAGCAUUGAGUGUCACAUCCACUGUAAUAGAAGGGGUUCUCCUAUCCAAUCGAAAUAGUGCAAUUGACUUUUCAUCAGAGUUGACGUUUUUGUGGCCAGUAUCUACAUGAAAUGUCUGUUUAGCUCGAUAUUUUGUGGCAGUAAUAGAGGAGCAUGAUCUGUGACAAACACGUUUAACUUGUCCAGUCUUCCCACAAAGUAUAACAAAAUCUGCAUCGUUGAAUUUACAAGCAGGUGCUUUAUGAAUAGUGUCACCACAACAGUAGCAUGGGUUUAGGGUAACUUGGAAAAGGCUGUAUAGUAUGUUGAGUUACAGAAUUACUGAACAUGUCUUCUCCCUGGCUCGCAGGGUUUUCUUGGUGUGCUUUCAGCAGUGUUUCGUCUUUAGAAGCUACUUCCAUGACACUGGCAAAUUCAGUAGCUUUUUGUAGUGUCAAAUAAUGUACUGUGAGUAAGUGUUUCUGUAUGGCGAGGUCAUUGAGCCACAUAACAAACAUGUCGCAGAGAGCGGUCUGUAAGUAGUCUCCAAACUGAACCAUAGAAGUCAUCUUACGUAAGCUAAUCAGAUAAGUCUUUAUGUCUUCUCCUGUAAGCUGCCUCGUACUGUAGAAUUUAAAACGUUCUGCAAUUUCUAAGGGCUUGGGAUUGUAGUGCUCAUUUAACUUCCCAAUUACUUAGGCAUUAGAUCUCUGAGUGUGCCAUAAGCAGUUUGACCUAAUGCUGUGAGGAAAACUGAAGCUUGUUUAUCUGUAGCAAUACUAUUUGCUUCCAUGUACUGCUCCGGCCUCUCCACCCAUGAACUCCAUAAUUCAGUAGCAGGUUCAAAAGGCCGAAUAGAGCCUAUUAAUGCCAUGUGUGUUUCAAUCCACAAUCCACAAGUCGCCAUUGUUAUGUCUCGAAGAGUGGGCUGGCACUUAAUUAGUAAAUGUAAUGCUGCGAGUGUCUACUCAAUAAAUUAUACACACAGGCAUGAGGUCUCAAAUCUAGAGGCAGUGUAUUACUUACUGCAUACAGGGCUGGUCAACACAAAGCUUUCUUACUAAACACAAUAUACCUACACCAUUGUCUCAGUGUCUUUCCAAGUUGUCUGAAUUCAGUUAACCAACAAGAUGGCUGCUGCUUCCAGAUGACCAGUGCAUCUUCCUUCUCCCAGCAUGCACUGCAGCAGGAAAAGAGGGAGGGGCAUAACGCCACUGAAAUUAAAGGAAACAAAAGUAAAAGAGUAACAAAACCUGUAUUACACAGGUUAGCUCUAUCCCUGCAUCCAUGCAGCCUGUGCAGUGAGCAUUCCUUACACUACAGAAGACAUGCCUCUAUUUCAGAGACUGUGAAUCAGGAACAUGCUUAAAUGUUAGAAGGGGGUGGCAAAGGAGGCUGGGUUACACUGCUGAAAUAAGCAAAAUGUUUUAUAGCACUGCAGGAAAACUACACAGAAUUGAAAGAAAAGAAACUAACCACAGGUAUUUGAUCUAAUUAGCUUUAAUUUAAGCUUAACUUAUUUAGCUGCCUGGAGUGUCCCUUUACGUACUCGUGGGUGAAUAUCAUCAGGCCCUCGGGUUUUGUUUACACUAACUUUCUUUAGUUGUAGCACCAUGUCUUAAGUCAUCCAAACACAAUUUUACUGCAGGUCAUUUUUUCAGCAAUCAUUUGCAUAUAUGUUGCCAUUGGUUCCUCCUCAAUAUAUACUGAGUAAAAAUAGUUUUUUAUAAUGUCUGCCUUUUUCCUGGUCUAACACACACCCAUUUUACAGGGAGUGCAGAAUUAUUAGGCAAGUUGUAUUUUUGAGGAUUAAUUUUAUUAUUGAACAACAACCAUGUUCUCAAUGAACCCAAAAAACUCAUUAAUAUCAAAGCUGAAUAUUUUUGGAAGUAGUUUUUAGUUUGUUUUUAGUUAUAGCUAUGUUAGGGGGAUAUCUGUGUUUGCAGGUGACUAUUACUGUGCAUAAUUAUUAGGCAACUUAACAAAAAACAAAUAUAUACCCAUUUCAAUUAUUUAUUAUUACCAGUGAAACCAAUAUAACAUCUCAACAUUCACAAAUCUACAUUUCUGACAUUCAAAAACAAAACAAAAACAAAUCAGUGACCAAUAUAGCCACCUUUCUUUGCAAGGACACUCAAAAGCCUGCCAUCCAUGGAUUCUGUCAGUGUUUUGAUCUGUUCACCAUCAACAUUGCGUGCAGCAGCAACCACAGCCUCCCAGACACUGUUCAGAGAGGUGUACUGUUUUCCCUCCUUGUAAAUCUCACAUUUGAUGAUGGACCACAGGUUCUCAAUGGGGUUCAGAUCAGGUGAACAAGGAGGCCAUGUCAUUAGAUUUUCUUCUUUUAUACCCUUUCUUGCCAGCCACGCUGUGGAGUACUUGGACGCGUGUGAUGGAGCAUUGUCCUGCAUGAAAAUCAUGUUUUUCUUGAAGGAUGCAGACUUCUUCCUGUACCACUGCUUGAAGAAGGUGUCUUCCAGGAACUGGCAGUAGGACUGGGAGUUGAGCUUGACUCCAUCCUCAACCCGAAAAGGCCCCACAAGCUCAUCUUUGAUGAUACCAGCCCAAACCAGUACUCCACCUCCACCUUGCUGGCGUCUGAGUCGGACUGGAGCUCUCUGCCCUUUACCAAUCCAGCCACGGGCCCAUCCAUCUGGCCCAUCAAGACUCACUCUCAUUUCAUCAGUCCAUAAAACCUUAGAAAAAUCAGUCUUGAGAUAUUUCUUGGCCCAGUCUUGCGUUUCAGCUUGUGUGUCUUGUUCAGUGGUGGUCGUCUUUCAGCCUUUCUUACCUUGGCCAUGUCUCUGAGUAUUGCACACCUUGUGCUUUUGGGCACUCAGUGAUGUUGCAGCUCUGAAAUAUGGCCAAACUGGUGGCAAGUGGCAUCGUGGCAGCUGCACGCUUGACUUUUCUCAGUUCAUGGGCAGUUAUUUUGCGCCUUGGUUUUUCCACACGCUUCUUGCGACCCUGUUGACUAUUUUGAAUGAAACGCUUGAUUGUUCGAUGAUCACGCUUCAGAAGCUUUGCAAUUUUAAGAGUGCUGCAUCCCUCUGCAAGAUAUCUCACUAUUUUUGACUUUUCUGAGCCUGUCAAGUCCUUCUUUUGACCCAUUUUGCCAAAGGAAAGGAAGUUGCCUAAUAAUUAUGCACACCUGAUAUAGGGUGUUGAUGUCAUUAGACCACACCCCUUCUCAUUACAGAGAUGCACAUCACCUAAUAUGCUUAAUUGGUAGUAGGCUUUCGAGCCUAUACAGCUUGGAGUAAGACAACAUGCAUAAAGAGGAUGAUGUGGUCAAAAUACUCAUUUGCCUAAUAAUUCUGCACUCCCUGUAGUAUACCUACACUUUCAUUUUCCAUUUGUAUUUUCCAAAUGUAUGUACUUACAAUUUUUUUUGAGGUCUGAGUUUUUUUUUUAAGGUUGGUUUUGGUCUCUUUGGCUAUCACUUUUUCGUUUUCUAGUUUAGUCCAUCUUAUUGCCUUUUUCCGUGCAUUAUUGGCUUCUUUAUAUUUUAUAUAGGAUACUUCUGAUUUGUGUGAUCUAAAUACUUUAAAUUCCCUGGUAGAGUUGAGUUAGAAAAUAUGCAUUUUUCUUGAUGCAUAAUUGAUUUGCAAAAUGAUAAAUGCGAAGAGGUGGUUGGUAUGAGUGAUGCAUGCAGACUAUUAAUACAGGGGUGAAAAUAUAUAUAUAUAUAUAUAUAUAUAUAUAUAUAUAUAUAUAUAUAUAUAUAUCCUUAAAUAUCUGCUAGCUAUUAGUAUUAAUAAUGCUUAAAGGGAUACUCCAGGCACCCAGACCACUUCUGCCCAUUGGGGUGGUCUGGGUGCCAACUCCCACUACCUUUAACCCUGCAAGUGUAAUUAUUGCAGUUGUCAUAAACUGCAAUAUUUACCUUGCAGGGUUAAGUCCUCCUCUACUGGCUGUCUAUCAGACAGCCACUAGAGGGACUUCCGUGUUCUUAGAACAUGAAAAGUGUGUUAUACGACACUGGACGUCCUCAUGCUAUGUGAGGACCUCCAGCGUUGCCGAUUGCCCCAUAGGAAAGCAUUGAAUAAUGCUUUCCUAUGGGGAGGUCUAAUGCACGUGCGUGGCCAUUGCCGCGCAUGCGCAUUAGGUCUCCCCCGCCGGCUCACGUGAGUAGGCGGAUACUGAUCAGUGCGAGGGACAUCGGCGCUGGACUCUGGUAAGUCACUGAAGGGGAUUUAACCCUUCAGCAACUUGGGAUGGGGAUGGGAGGGAGAGGGAGAGGGGCACUCCAGGGUCCUGCAGUGCCAGGAAACCUAAAGUCUGCUUUCUAACAACAAAUUCAGAAAUUAACCUUGAGUGGGCAGUACCAUUAAGUGAUAUUCCUGGAAGACACCCCCUUAACCACUGCCACCCUCAUCUAAGGUGGUAGCAAUGUGAUUUAUUUUGCCCCAAGUAAUCCUUUAGAGUUUUUACAUUGGUCCCACUUGUAUAUUUUUAUUGUCUGCCUUUCCCCCACCAUUCUAGGGAUGGCAGAUUCACCUAUAUUGUUUGCUGACGUCUGACUUCAAACCUGUGUUAUGUGGUAGAGAGUUUAAAAUUGUACUGAAACAGUGAGACAGACACAUACAUAAAAUAAUUCAAAAAUUAAAUUAAGAAUGGACUUCUGUUUUUAACAGAUUGCAACUUUUGAUUAUAUCACACUUUUUAGAGUGUAUCUUUAAACCUUUUCUGCUUACGUGGAAAUAAGGAUGCAGAUUUAUUCAAGUCUACAUUUCAUCAGUAAAGUCUUUAUAGGAAAUCAAGUUACACUUUUCUUUAUUGAUUAGUUGUGAAACAGAUGGUCUAUCACUGCACGAGCUGGAUAUCUGACACAGACUGGCUCCCCUAUCUUUCAUAUGUAAACAGCUCUAGCAUAUGGUAUUUAGUUGUAAUCAGGCCUGCACUGACCAUCGGGCAAACCGGCCAAAUGCCUGGUGGGCCAUGAUGGCUUUCGACUAACACCUACAAGGGUGAUAAAAGCAUCUCCCCUGCUGUCCUAUCCAGGGCCAGUGCUGGCCUUGAUUUAUAUAUGCAGGCCUUGAUUAGCAGAAUAAGAGAGGAGAACGAGGUCCAGGAGGCUCUAACCUGCACCUCCGCCAUGAUGCUGAGUAUUGCUUCCUUGGAAUUUCUCCCUUGGAAUUCCUUCCGACUAUUCCAAAUUUGCUUCUCCGUGUUGACUGAAUUUUUGUUGCAUAAAUCAUGACACAUUGAAAUAUGGCAUGUGUUGUUCAACUGAGGUUGUAUUUACCUAAUUUUAAGACCUGCUAAGGAACAGGUAAUUGUUCUUAUGUCCCGUUAUAUAAAACCAUAAAAUUCAAAGAGGGUGUACUUUCUUUUUUCCAUGAGUAUGUAUUUUUUAUAUCAUUUUUUUUAUAAGUUUUACAAAAAAAAAAAAACAGAGAGAGCACUAAACUCUAGAGGGUGCAUGUCUACAGGGUUGGAUUGGGAAAAAAAUCAGCACAGGCAUUUGAAGCAGCCCACAAUGAGGGACAUGGUUUAGAGAUGGGGCAUGUCAUAAUGAAUAACAAGCACGCCCCCUCAAAUAUAGUAUGUUUGUAUGAUGGCCUUCCAGGUAGAGUCUAGCUUAAUUGCUCUCGUAAAAUUCCAUGUAUUUUAUGCAAUGCAAGCACACUUAAUGGCAUGCUUGCACUAUAUUUGCUGAUGAAUUAUCUCUAGCGUUAGUGGUACAGUUAUGUAGUCUGCAGUAAAGUUGCAGUGUACAGAAGAGCACCACAACAUGACACUAUUGCUACAAAAUAGAAAGUUUGAAUGGACACUCCUGACCACUAAAUCACUUUAUCUUGCUGGAAUGUUUUAUGUGCGAAGAGUGUUUACUCUGUAAAAUGAGGGGAAUAAAUAGCAGAUUUCAAUAGAAACUGGUACUUUUAUACAUUAACAUUAGUAUACCUCCUUGGUUGUCUAUCAGAUAACCGGUCAUAUUACUUUCUGGUUGUUUUGUUCAGUGGAGCCAAACUCAAGAGUCUUGCACAGAUCACCUACAUUGCAAAGACUUCUCAUUGAGCUUCAUUGGUAGUCUGUGAUUAGACUACUACAAGUCUGGGCUGGAGAAUGUCAACGCUUUCCGUUUCAGCUUUAAAACUACAGGGACCUAGCACCCAAACCACUGCAUUAAGAUCAAGUGGUCAGGGUGCCUAUAGAGUCCUUUUAAAUGAUAAUGUAAUGUAGGACAGUGGUUUAUGUCUGCAUGAUUGUAGUGUGUAAGGGUUGUGUAGAGGUUAGGGGAGGUUCACAUGUAUAUCCUAGUACUUGGAUAUACAUGUAAACGUGCUCUCUGACAAAUGCAAGGUGAGUAAGUCCCACUAAUAUCUGGGAUAUGCAUGAUUCAGGUUAAAUUAACUUAUUACAGGCCCCAGACUACAGAGAGGUGCUCCAUGGGUUAUUACCCAUUCUAUAUGAGUAUAAACACAUGGAUGACACAUGUUCCUAAACCACUGUGUGUGUGUGUGUGUGUGUGUAUCUCUAUACAGAUCAUUUUAUAUCAAUUAAGACAAAACUGGGGCAAAGUACUAAAUCAGGACAUAUUACUGUAAAGAGAUGGAAUAUUUCUGCAAAUUGUAGCAGAAAAUUAAAAAUAUAAAACAUGAUUUAUUUGCAAUAUAUAGGCUGUGGAAUUUAGGAAUUGCUUUAUUUUACUUUUUUGACUAUUUUAUUGAACUGCAAUAGAUCAAAGUGAAAUAUGAUUAUUAAUUGAGAAUAACAAUUAAAUUCAGGUUAACAUUUAGUGUUUCAUUAAGCUAAUGGCUUCAUGAAAGUGUUACUGGCUUGAUGAUUAACUUACUAUGUUAAACGUAAUAUCUUUUUUUUGCAUUUUUUCCUCUCUGUCUCUAGAAGUCUUUUAAUUAAUGCUGCUGAUUACAUCAUUUGAAUCUGUUUGUAAUUAAAGUAUACCUGUCAAUAGUACUUUUACUUAUAAUCUAAUGAAAGAGCAUAACAAUUCAUUUAUUCAUAAUGUUAGCAGAAAUGCUAGCAAAUCUAGAGUUUUGAAAAGAAAAUGUUUAACAAUCACAAUCUAUUAUACAUGUAGAGAUCUCUGUUCUACACUAGAUAUAUUGUAGUUGCUGUGAUUAUUCCAGGUAUCUGCUUCUUCCUAUAGAGUAUAAAAAACAUAGUGACCAUAAAUUCACACUCCAAUGUUAACCUCUUAUGUAAUUUCAAAUUUUUAUAAACAUUCUGAUUGUGGUCUUGUAUUGUAAUAUAUAUAUAUUGUCACUAAAAUUUAAUAAACAUUAAACAUGUAAAUCGAAAUGUAGUGACACAAUUUUGAGAUCAUUCUGGCUAUGAAGCCCUUAUGUUUCCAAACAUAUACAGGGGCAUGAUGUAUUUGUUGCAGUAUUGCAUUUUGAUAUUUAUAUUUUGACCAUCAAAAAAUAAAAAUAUCAAAACAUCAACCAAAAUGGUAAAUCAAAACAGUCACCAAAAAUACAACAAAAAUUGCAUUUCAGAGCACCUUACCUUGUAUUUUUAAUAUGAAAUAAUCAGUAAAAGCAAUUAGCAUGUUUCAGAUAUAAGCAUUAGGCAAUUUACAACCUGCUAUUUGAUUAACAAAUUACUACCAGAGUACAGAAAAAAUAGUAUUUUUAAUUCUUUUAGUAUUUUUAAGUUUUUGUUAAUUUAGUCGAUUAUGAAACUGUCAAACCUGUUUCAUGUAAACAAACACUCCAUUUGCAUUUUGUAUGGUUCAUGGUUUGUAUGGUUCACGUUAAAGUCCUUCUAUCACAACUUGAUUCAUAGUUUAGUGAAAAUUCUGUGCUUUGUGGAAGAUAACCAUUUAGGUACAAAGAUUCAGUGGUAUUCAAUGUUACCGACUGUCUAACGUUUUGCACAUCUAUUAAUAAAGUGACCGGUUUCUGCUAUAUUUCUGAUGUUUUCUUUUCUCCUAUUUCCCCCUCUGCUUUCCAACAGUGAAAAGGGAC